rnacentral:lncRNA from 1 species
CAGCGUACACGCAGAGAGUGCCUACAAUAUUCAUCAAACUAUAAGGUGAAAACCCAAAUAUUACGAAAGGUCGAUGUACGGACCAAGUCAAGCCCCCUCUUUUCUCAACUUCUUCAAACAAUAUGUCUUCUUGAUUAUAGUAAAAAAGUUGUACAUUUAACCUUGGCAAAUCCUCAGUAAAAGGCGGGUCGUGAGACGGUAUCUUGCCAAUACACUCGAAUGGUCCCAGGUAAUGUUUGCUACCCGUUUGGAGACAGACGUGGCGAAGAUUUGGUGCGUUUGGGAUUACAGAACGGAGCACGUUACGAAACAUUGCGCUGUUGAUCUCGCAAUUCUCCGCUUGAGCGGGACGACCUGCCCACGUCAUGUAGAAAAUGUGGGUGAUGUUAGUGAGUUUUGAGAGCUUGGAUCGUGUCUCGUCCGGGUCGGAAAUGUCGCAUUGGAUGUACUCAAUAGGGUAUGCGGCGCUCCAGUCAGGCCUAGGACGUCGGGCCACUCCGUAGACCUUCCACGGGCCACCGGGGGUGUCUGACCGGGGCAAAAUCUCAGCUAGGCAAUUGCCUACGAUUCCUGUCACGCCUACUACAAGUCCCACAUUCUGGUAGUCCCAAGGUUGCUCAUAUUCUUCCAAUUUUUUCUGUACAAGUGAAAAUUAAAUAACCAUCGGGGGGUUUAAACAUAGGCAAAUUAGACAAUUGGUUAGGGUUUCAUAUGUUAAGAAAACCCUAUUUCAGCAGUCUAAAUUUUAUAUUAUUAUAAUAGAAAGACCUUUUUUCUUUUAGUAUUUUCUUGAUAUACUCAAAUUAAGGGUCCGCCUAUGUUGCAACAGUUGCAACAUACCACUACUUUUGUCAUUUUGUAAUUGAACCAUUGGAUCCAAGGCAAGAGUGGUAAAAAUAAAUCUAACGGUAGGGUGUAUUUAUUUUGGUUUUUUUCAUUCCAAACCCUCUUGUUUUUUGAAAUACCAGGAAAAAAAUAUAAUAAUUAUUAUUUUAUUUAUUAGCUUAGUUGUUAAAUGAUAUGAAUAAGAAAUAAGUAUGAAAUUUAAGAGAACUUUUAUUAUUGAUAUUAGGCAAUUACAAUACAUGAUUUAAUACUAUAAUGUUUCAAUUAAGACAAAAGUUAGCACACUGUAGUGAAUGAUAUAAUUGACUACAAUCUAACUUUUAAAACUUUCAAACAUAGGUAAGUAAUAAAUUAAUGUAAACAAUAUUAUAACAAUAUACAAUAUUAUGUUCUAAACACAUUCUAAUAGUGCCUUUAUUAAAUAAGAAUUGAAAUGAGCUAGAAUUGUAAUAAGGAAUUUGAAUUAGAAUAAAUUAUUUACUUGAGCUAUAGGAAUUGGAAUCAGAAUGAACAACAUUCCAAUUGAUGUGUUUACUUUAUUUUAUAAUUGGAAUAAACUAUUAUAAGUUAUUAAAAUGCCUUUUAUUAAUUGUGUCCCUAAUAUUAUUUGUAUAUAUUAUAAUUAAAACAAUAAUAAUAAUAAAACUAAAAAUAAUAAUUAUGAAAAUAAUGUUAAUUAAAACAAAAAAUAAAAAAAUUUAACAAUAACAAAAUAACAACAAAAUUAACUGAAAUAAUAAUAUUAAUAAUGAUAAUAAUAAAAAUAAUCUGCUGUAUAAAAAUUAUUAAUAAGUUUUAAUAAUAAUANNNNNNNNNNNNNNNNNNNNNNNNNNNNNNNNNNNNNNNNNNNNNNNNNNNNNNNNNNNNNNNNNNNNNNNNNNNNNNNNNNNNNNNNNNNNNNNNNNNNNNNNNNNNNNNNNNNNNNNNNNNNNNNNNNNNNNNNNNNNNNNNNNNNNNNNNNNNNNNNNNNNNNNNNNNNNNNNNNNNNNNNNNNNNNNNNNGAUAUUAAUAAUAAUAAUAAUAAUAAUAAUAAAUUAAAAUUCUUUUCAAAUGUCAUUUUAUUCCAAAAAUGGACUUAUAUGUAAAAGUUUAUUAUUUUUAGUGGCUAUUGAAUUUUACAGAAAAUAUAAGGUAGUGUAGUGUAAUCAACCAUAAAAAGACAAAAAUUAUUGUAUGUUGAAACUGUUGCAACAUAGGCGGCUCCUCAAAUUAAUAAAUAUUUUCAAUUUUAAUAGAAAAGCUUAUUUUUUAUGCAUCUUUUUAAUUGAAAAGCUUAUUUUUUAUGCAUCUUUUUAAUUAACAAUUAUCCUAUAAUAAGAAUUAUUACACAAGUUCUAUAUUUGAUAACAUUAAUUUUAAAGAGCUAUAGUUAAUAAUAUUAUCUAAUAAUUAAUUCAUUAUUAAUUUUUCCAAUAAAAAUCAUAAAAUUUUUUGUGUUUAAAAAAAUUAAUUAUUAAACAUUACAAAAUUACUUACCUUAGCAGCGCCAAUAGCACCUGCCCCGCACCAGCUCAUUUUUUGCUUAAUUUGGAAAAUUGAUGGUAAGUUUGGUUUUCGCUUCUAGCUAUAUAUAGAAGACUGCUGGCAUAUAAACAAUUUCACAUGCCCUUUUCUAGUUGACGUGGCAAAGUAAGUUAUGAUACGGAUAUGCACGAUUUUUCUGUAAUUGAAUUGAUAAAUAUUGACACAAAAAAUAAAUGGGUCAACAAGACAUAACAUGAUGAAUAACCAUAUCGUAUUCAUGUUACACUAAUCCUCAACACGAUUACGUCCGAAUGACAAGAAUAUUAAUUUGUCAAUUUAUCAUAUUUUACAUUUUGAUCAUGAAUGAGCUCUUAUUUAUUAAUUAUUAUGCUAUAAUGAUUUAAAUUUAUAAUUGUUAGUUUAUCUAAUGAAAUUUUUAUCAUAUCUUGGAUUAGUUUCAAUUUGUAUGUCAUUUAUUAUUUUUUCAAUCAAAUGAUUUAUUUUUUAUUUUUUAAAAUUUGAAUUAUGAUAGUAUUUCCACCGAGAAUUGGGUUGUCAAAUGUGUUGCGUCCUAUCAUGUCACCUGUUUAUUAUGUGAAUCGUUUCCAUAUUUGAUUUUUUUGAUAUGAUUAUUACUCGUGUCUUAUCCCUAAUUUUUUAAAAUUUAAUACGACGCAAUUACAACACGACAAAUGCGACAUAGCUAGACGAAUUGCCACCUUACUUUCUAGAGGGUAAUUGAGUUUGAGUUAGAUUAUGUGAUCAAUAUUGAAAGAUCUAAUAUUAUAAGGUGUGGUGAAAUAAGGAUCCGACUAAAAGGCCGAGCUUCCUACUAUCAUUGUUAGACGAUUUGCAUGCUCGCAGAUUUAGAAGUUGUUACUUAUUUAACAUGUUUCGACUCUUGAAGAUCUGCUAUUGAGGCAUUUCACAUGUUUAUAAGGCAAUAAUUGAUAUGACUCUAGAAGCCGCAACAUCGUCUAUUUCAUUACUAGAUGGUGUAAAACUUCAAACAAACACAACAUGCAUAUAUGGUUCGGUUAUUGCGAAAUUAUCCAAAUUAUCCUCAAAUUAUGAAUCUCAAUCAUUUACUCACAAGAACUUAGUACAUGUUGAUAAAGGAACCCACACAAACAGUUACAAAUUAAGUGGAAAAAAAAUCUUUCCUUCUUUGUGUGAUUAAAAUAGAAUGUGUAUCACAAAUAAAUAACUAAUAAAUCAACACAAUCAAAAACAAUAAAUUAGUCACAAGAGAUACAGAUUUUUAUGUGAAAAACCCAAAAAAGGAAAAACCAGGGACCGUAGUCUAAUGUAACCUUUUGUUGGAGAAUUAACGAAUAAAACACACAAAAAACACACUAUUUUAUUUCUUCAACAACACUCCUCACCAAUUACAACGCUUAUUUUUCACUCUUUACACCUUAGAGAUUUUGCUACUUCACUUGAUUCAUAAACCAAAGGGGAGAGGUGGUAUUUAUACAUGAAACAAACUAAUAACAACCAUUCAUUUAUUCAACUACUACACAAAUCCUCACUAUUCAUUAAAACCUACCACUCACCUACUUCACCAACCACACCUAACACAAAUAAUUCAAACCUCACCAACCAUACCUACUCAUGGAACCUUCCAUGAGUUGGGCUUGAAUUUAUUCAUCUUGGAUCAAGUUUAUGAUCCAACACCUCCCCUUAAACUUGAUCAUGUGACACCAAGCAAACUUCUUAAUCUUACGAAGUCUUCUUGCUUGAGUGGGUUGGUGAAGAUAUCAGCUACUUGAUCUUGUGAUUUUACAUACUUGAUUUGCACUUCUUUUCUUGCAAUACUCUCUUAUGAAAUGAUAGCGAGUAUCUAUGUGUUUGCUUCAAUCAUGAAAGACUGGAUUCUUGGAUAGGGCAAUUGCCGAUUUGUUAUCAACACAAAUCUCGUUUGGCUCUUCUUGUGGCAAACUCAACUACUUCAGCAAAUUUCUGAGCCAAAUUGCAUGACAAACACUUGAUGUGGCAGCUACAUAUUCAGCUUCACAGGUGGAUAGCGUGACAAUUGGUUGCUUCUUUGACAUCCAUGUGAAAGCAGUAUCUCCCAUGAAGAACACAAAUCUUGUGGUGCUCUUUCGAUCAUCUACAUCUCCACCCCAAUUGCUAUCGCUAUAUCCAACAAGCUUGUAGUCAUUAGAAAAUGAGUAUAACAAGCCGCAAUUAGUUGUACCGUUGAUAUAGCGAAGGAUUCUUUUUGCAGCUUUAAAAUGGGUGGUCUUUGGAUUCUUCAUGUAUCGGCUCACAAGUCCAACAACAUAAAGGAUAUCUAGUAUUGUCCAUGUCAAAUAACGUAGGCUUCCGACCAAACUUUUAAAGAAUGUUGGAUCUAUAUCUUCGCCUUCAUCAUGUUUGGAUAAUUUGACUCUGCAUUCCACUGGUGUGCUUAUAGGCUUGCAAUCAUUCAUCUUGAACUUUUUUAUAAUCUCUUUUGCAUAGCUUUCUUGGGAGAUAAAUAUGUCUUCUUCUUUUUGCUUGACUUCAAUGCCAAGAUAAUAUGCCAUCAGUCCGAUGUCAGUCAUCUCGAACUCUUUGAUCAUCACUCUCUUGAACUCUUCAAAUAAGCUUGGAUCACUUCUAGUGAAGAUGAGAUCAUCCACAUACAAGCACACAUUCAAAAUGUCUCAAGCUUUUUCUUUGACGUAGAGAGCAUGUUCAUAUGGGCAUUUGGUGAAGCCGUUCUCUUGAAAAUACUUGUCAAUUCUGCUAUUCCAUACCCUUGGUGCUUGCUUUAACACAUAAAGAGCUUUCUUCAAUCUCAAAACUUUGUCUUCAUGUUAUUUCACCACAUAGCCUAAUGGUUGUUCGAUGUAAACUUCUUCUUGAAGGAAUCUAUUCAAGAAAGCAAACUUCACAUCCAUUUGAAAAAAUUUCCAUUUGUUCUGAGCAGCCAAAGAAAUAUAAUAAUAAGUCUAAUAGUUUCAAGUUGAGCUACAGGAGCAAAUACCUCGUCAUAGUCUAUGCCAGCCUUUUGACUAUAGCCUUUUGCAACUAGCCUCGUCUUGUGCCUUUCAAUUUCUCCCUUCGAAUUUCUUUUUGUUUUAUACACCCAUUUGACACCGAUCGUCUUGUGACCUUUGGGAAGUGUAGUAAGCUCCCAAGUAUAAUUUUUCACAAUGGUUUUGAUUUCUUCAUCCAUUGCAAUUCUCCACUUCUCAUCUAGUGCAACUUUUUGGAAGUUGACUAGCUCACAAUCAGCAAAGAGGCAAAAGAGAGUGAGAUUAUCAUGUCUCUCAGUUACCUCAUAAAGAUCUUGAAGACUCCUUGUACGUUCUUCGGUUCUUUCAUUUAAGAAAGAUGGCGGUGAAUCUCCGCAUAUGGUUGAUACUGGUGAGAUAGGUGGAGUAGCAGGCUCUUGUUGUUCAUCUAUUUGUUUUAUCUGUGUAUGAUCAUCUUCUUCAAUGGGAAAGAAGUUGAAAUCAUUCACACCAGAGCCAAAAUCCCAUUCUCCUUCUUCAUCAAAAACUACAUCUCGACUGAUCACGAUCUUCCCGUUGUUUGGAUUAUAAAGCUUGUAUCCUUUGGAGUUGUUGUCGUAGCCGAUGAAGAUGAACUUCUCACUUUUGUCAUCUAGCUUGGCUCUACUUUCGUCUGGUACAUGUACAUGGGUAAUACUUCCGAAAACUCUUAGAUGGGAGAUGCCGGGUUUUCUUCCACUCCAAGCUUCUUGUGGCGUCUUGCCCAACACGCUUCUUGUUGUAGAUCGAUUGGAUAAGUAGACUGCACAUGCAACAGCUUCAGCCCAAAAUUCUUUAGGUAGCCUCUUACUCUUAAGCAUGUUUCUUGCCAUGUCGAGGAUGAUUCUGUUCUUCCUUUCUGCAACACCAUUUUGUUGGGGGGAUCUUGAAACUGUCAAAGGGCGUCGAAUUCUAUUUGCUUCACAAAACUCUUAAAAUUCUUUGGAAGUGAACUCUCCACCUUGAUCAGAUCUCAUGGCUUUAAUCUGGCAUCCACUUUCUUUUUCCACUGCAGUUUUAAAACUUCUUGAAACCUUCAAAGACUUCUGAUUUUUACUUAAAAAAAUACACCCAAAUUUUUCUUGAAAAAUCAUCUAUGAAGAGAUGGAAGUAGUUACUUUUACCAAGGAAGUUUGGAUUGAAUGGACCGCACACAUCAGUCCGAGCUCUUGAGUUUGACUCCUUUGGAAAGCUCUUUCUGAACAUCCUUCACAAAGUUGAUCAAGGUGAUUGAUGUAUGGUAAGCCUUUCACCAUGUUCUUCUUAGAUAGUAGCUCCAGUCAGCCAAAGUAGAGAUGCCCAUAUCGAAGAUGCCAAGUCCAAGAUUGAUCUUUGUGACAGGCUUUGAGACAUUUUGCAACAUCAUUUUGAAUAUUUAAAAGAAACAUUCUCACCUUUGUAAUUAGAUUUCCUUUGUCAUCUCUUAGGAAAAGACUAUAAUCUUUUAAAUAAAAAUCAUAGCCUUUUUCUAAAAGUUGACCUAAACUAAGGAUGUUGCUUUUUAUAUUAGGCAUAUAGUAAACAUUCAAAAUUAUUUGAUGACUACCAUCUUUUGCAUGAAAAAGAAUGUUACCUCUACUCUUCACUGGUACUUUUGAAUCAUCUCCAAAAGCAACACUGUCAUUCACAGAUUCACUUAGUUGCACGAACAUGCUUUUGUUUCCACUCAUAUGAUUGCUAGCACCUGUGUUAAAAUACCAUGUAUUUUCUUGACCUCCACUUGUGUCAUUGCGUGCUAGUAAAAGUGUGCUAUCUUCACCAUUUUUCUCUUCAGCAUAGUUCACUCUCUCCUCAAUUCUGGUGCUUGGCGCUGGGCAUUCUAAAACAUAAUGCCCAAACUUUUGACAAUUAUAGUACUGUACUCGGGAUUUGUCAUACCUCGAUCUUGGAUUGCUUCUGCCUCGUCCUCUGGUUGAGCUUUCUCCUUUGGCAUAAUUGGAGUUGUUGAUGAAAUUCCAACCUCGUCCAUGACCAUGACCUCUACCUCGCCCUCGACCUCUACCUCGGACGUAGUGCAUUCUCUCGUUAUCGGAGCUUUCUUCUCUUUUCUUUGGAUUGACUUCCAUUGUGAGAAGUUGUUCUUCCAUUCCUUACUUUUUUUUUAGUUUUUCUUCAUAGGCUUGCAACUUUCCUUGAAGUUGCUCGAUCGUCAUAUCCUCCAGAUCUCUUGUUUCUUCAAUUGUCACAACAAUAUAGUCAAACUUCGAGUCUACUGAUCGAAGUAUCUUUUCAAUGAUCUUUACCUCUUUUAACUCCUCACCAUUUCUUUUUAAUUCAUUGGAAACAGUCACUACCCGAGUAAAGUAGUCAGAAAUUGACUCCGACGCCUUUAUGUGUAAGGACUCAAGUUCUCCUCGUAAUAUUUGGAGACGAACCUUCUUAACUUACUCCGCUCCUUUGUAAGAGGUCUCUAGUUUCUCCCAUGCUUCUUUUGAGGAGGUUGAACCAGCAAUAUUUUCAAAAGCAUCUUCAUCUAAUGAUUGAAAGAUGAGAUACUUUGCUUUAUUCUUUUUUUCUUCAAGUCUUUUAAAUUCUCCUUCUGUGCCGCAUUUAAAGUGGUUUCAUUUUCUGGCACAAUAAAGCAUUUCUCCAUGACAUCUCAUACAUCAUGUGCACCCAAUAGAGCCUUCAUUUUAAUACUCCAGUUGUCAAACUUACUUUCUUUUAAUUGUGGAACUUGAAAUGACAUCAUACCACCGUUUGCCAUAACUCACAAAUUGAGUGAGAAUUUGGAGAUUUUGAAUGCACAGAUGAAUCCGGCACGUCGAAAAACCUUGGGAAGGACUCGGGUCAACGUCGGUCAACGAUUAACGUCGGUCAACGAUCAACGAUCAACGUCGGUUUAGUAGUCUUGGUUCGAUCUGGCUUGGUUCAGCUCUAGUUGGCUCAGUUCCACUUGAUUCGGUUCGGCUCAGCUCGGUUUGGUUUGGUUCAGCUCAGCUUGGUUCAACUUGGUGAGUCGACUCAGCUUUAGGACGGAAAAGUUCCGGCGGUGAUUGUGGGCGUGUCCGGCCUCCGAUCGGGAUGACUUUUAUGGCGUCAUGUUCCUCUCAUCUAGAUCUUCGAUUUGAUAUGCUAUAUGACUAUAUAUAGCAUCGAAAACUAGCUCUGAUACCACUUUAUUGGAGAAUUAACAAAUAAAACACACUAUUUUAUUUCUUCAACAACACUCCUCACCAAUUACAACUCUUAUUUUUCACUCUCUACACCUUAGAGAUUUUGCUACUUCACUUGAUUCAUAAACCAAAGGAGAGAGGUGGUAUUUAUACAUGAAACAAACUAAUCACAACCAUUCAUUUAUUCAACUACUACACAAAUCCUCACCAUUCAUUAAAACCUACCACUCACCUUCUUCACCAACCACACCUAACAUACCUAACAUAAAUAAUUCAAACAUCACCAACCAUGCCUACUCAUGGAACCUUCCAUGAGUUGGGCUUGAAUUUAUUCAUCUUGGAUUAAAUUUAUGAUCCAAUACCUUUCACUAUAUUAAUAAUUGGAUUAUAGCAUAAAUUAUUCUCUAAAUAAUGCUAGAGGUUAACAAUAUCAAGAAUCUUAAUAAUCUUGGCUUAUAACAGGCUAAUAUAUGUCUCUCUAACAAAUAAAUAUUUUAAAUAAUAGUCAACGAGAAAAUAAAACAAAAAUCAAGACUAGUAGGAAUAUAGAGGGCAAUACGAAUAAUUUACCAUCCAAUUUUGAAAGAAAAACGGGCUUGAAAAUACCUUCCAAUUGUCCAAUCAAAAAUUGAAACUCUUAGCCCCAAAUUCUAGUUUACGCCAUUGUUCUUCCUUUUCUCUCUCUCUCUCGUCUUUUUGCGCUAGACAAUACCAUUGUUGCUGCUUGCUUUGUUUUCUUUUGUACACGUGAUUUUCAAAGCCAAUUUAAUGGCAAUUGUCUAUUGUGCUAAAAAGUCAACACCGAAGCUAACUUUUGUUGAGCAUAUGCAUAUGGCUAGCAACUUUGGACCGCAAUUGCAUGUGCUAGCAUGAAAUUUCUUACUCUUCACCAAAGUCAGCACUGAAGCCAUCAAAAUUGAAAGAUGGCCAAGAUUUUUUCCAUGCAUUCAUAUUGUAAGUUUCGCUUAUGAAUAGAGAAGUAGAGAAAAAUUCAUUUACGUGGACAUAGGAUUUACAUUGAACCACAUAAAUCAUUGUGUCCUAUUUUCUCAGCACUUUUUUAUCACCACAUUUAUAUUUCUCCAGAAGCCGCAAUUAUCAUAAUAUUGAUAAUUGCUCAAUUUGCGCUUCCACAACAUAUUGGCUUCAACUUGUUUCCUUUAAUUACUUAACCACCCAAACUAAUGCAAGCUUUGGGCCUUGGCUACCCAAAUAAGAUGGACCCCAACAGUACAAGUGAUUGUGAAUCUUGGUAUACUAAUAAUUGAAGAUUUCUUUUUCUUAGUUUCAGGAAAUAGUAGAAGUUGUUUGUAUGAAUGGAAGUGAAACUAGGUUGGUUGUGGAGGAUAAGCAGAGUACCGUUUAGAAGUCAUAACUUAAAGUAUGGGUGUCUGUUUUGCAUGUGCAAUAUGCUAUUCUGAAGCUUGCAACAAGAUGAACCAAAGCCAAAAUCAUGGCCGAGCUAGAAAUUCCUUUUUUUUUAGGUUGUUUUGCAGUUUAUUUAUUUUUAAAAUUUUUCCUAUUGCUUUCAGGAUUUUUUUAUUUUUAAUUUAGAUAUCGAAUUUGAGUGCCGUUUGCUUUAUUUUCCUUAUUUAGAUAAAGAGAAUUUUAUUAUAUAAUAAUAUUUCAGAUUUGCCUAUUCAGACUUUUUGAACAAUAUUUUUAUUAUUCAGAAACUUUGUUUCUUUUAGUUAUCAAUCUUUUAUGUUUUCGCAUCAUCAAUAAGAUUUUUUUUUUUUGCUCGUCUCAUUGAUCCAUAUGAAUAUUCAUGAGGGUUAUUUGAAUAAAUUUUUUUUCUCAAUAAAUCUACCAUCAUGCAAAUUGUGUUUGGUCCUUGUGCAAAAUGCAAAAAUCAUAGAAAAACAUAUGUCAGUAAAAUAAUUCUAAUGUAAUUUAUAUUCAUCAAAUAAUUAAGAAAAUAUAGUAGAUAUAACUUUUAUGAAAUCAACAAGGGGAGAUUGAAAAAAGAAAAAGCGUCUAAAGCUUCAAUUUUAUUAUGGUUUGAUGACAAGUUUGGUUUCUUCUUCUAGUCUUAUGUACAUGGUAAAAGCUUAUUUAGUCCUAUAUUUGGAGAUUAGUGUCUAUUUAGUCCCUGUAUCUUUAAAAAUACCUCAAAAUAUCCUUGCUGUCAAAUUAUUGAUACCACUGCCAUUACUUUCUAUUCCUUUUGACAUGUUUAUACAAUAUUAUCCUCUUAUAAUAAUAUUUUUUCGACGUUUAUAAAAACAAAAAAAUUAAAUUACCAAUUUAAAUUUAAAAAUAAAAUAAAAAACAAAAAGAAUAUAUAUUAAUUUUUUAUAAUAUCAUGUAUAUACAAAAACAAUAUUGUAAAAAAAUUAAAUUAUCAAUUUUCUAAAAAUUUAAAAAAAAUUAACGUAUUAACUCCUCAGCAGAUUGUUUCACAAAAAUUAUUAUAUAAUCUUUUUGUUUUUAUUUUUUUGGGAUUAAAUUGGUAAUUUCAUUUUUUUGUGAAUGACAGUGUUGCUUUUGAAGAUGAUUCAAAAGUACCAGUGAAGGGUAGAGGUAACAUUCUUUUUCGUGCAAAAGAUGGUAGUCACCAAAUAAUUUCGAAUGUUUACUAUGUGCCCAAUAUGAAAAGCAACAUCCUUAGUUUGGGUCAACUUUUAGAAAAAGGCUAUGAUAUUUAUUUAAAAGAUUAUAGUCUUUUCCUAAGAGAUGACAAAGGAAAUCUAAUUACAAAGGUGAGAAUGUCGAAGAAUAGAAUGUUUCCUUUAAAUAUUCAAAAUGAUGUUGCAAAAUGUCUCAAAGCCUGUCACAAAGAUCAAUCCUGGACUUGGCAUCUUCGACAUGGGCAUCUCAACUUUGGAGGACUGGAGCUACUAUCUAAGAAGAACAUGGUGAAAGGCUUACCAUACAUCAAUCACCCUGAUCAACUCUGUGAAGGAUGUUUACUUGGCAAGCAGUUCAGAAAGAGCUUUCCAAAGGAGUCAAACUCAAGAGCUCAGAAGCCACUCGAGCUCAUUCAUACUGAUGUGUGCAGUCCAUUCAAGCCAAACUCUCUUGGUAAAAGUAACUACUUCCAUCUCUUCAUAGAUGAUUUUUCAAGAAAAACUUGGGUGUAUUUUUUGAAGUAAAAAUCAGAAGUCUUUAAAGGUUUCAAGAAGUUUAAAGCUGCAGUGGAAAAAGAAAGUGGAUACCAGAUUAAAGCCAUGAGAUCUGAUCGAGGUGGAGAGUUCACUUCCAAAUAAUUUUUAGAGUUUUGUGAAGCAAAUGGAAUUCGACGCCCUUUGACAGUUCCAAGAUCCCCUCAACAAAAUGGUGUUGCAGAAAGGAAGAACAGAACCAUCCUUAACAUGGCAAGAAGCAUGCUUAAGAGUAAGAGGCUACCUAAAGAAUUUUGGCCUGAAGCUGUUGCAUGUGUAGUCUACUUAUCCAAUCAAUCUCCAACAAGAAGCGUGUGGGGCAAGACGCCACAAGAAGCUUGGAGUGGAAGAAAACUCGGCAUCACCCAUCUAAGAGUUUUCGGAAGCAUUGCCCAUGUACAUGUACCAGACGAAAGUAGAGCCAAGCUGGAUGACAAAAGUGAGAAGUUCAUCUUCAUCGGCUACGACAACAACUCCAAAAGAUACAAGCUUUACAAUCCAAACAACGGGAAGAUCGUGAUCAGUCGAGAUGUAGUUUUUGAUGAAGAAGGAGAAUGUGAUUUUGGCUUUGGUGUGGAUGACUUCAACUUUUUUCCCAUUGAAGAAGAUGAUCAUACACAGAUAAAACAAAUAGACGAACAACAAGAGCCUGCUACUCCACCUAUCUCACCAGCAUCAACCACAUGCGGAGAUUCACCUCCUUCUUUCUUAAAUGAAAGAACUGAAGAACGUACAAGGAGUCUUCAAGAUCUUUAUGAGGUAACUGAGAGACAUGAUAAUCUCACUCUCUUUUACCUCUUUGUUGAUUAUGAGCUAGUCAACUUCUAAAAAGCUGCACUAGAUGAGAAGUGGAGAAUUGCAAUGGAUGAAAAAAGCAAAAUCAUUGUGAAGAAUAAUACUUGGGAGCUUACUACUCUUCCCAAAGGUCACAAGGCGAUCGGUGUCAAAUGGGUGUAUAAAACAAAAAGAAAUGCGAAGGGAGAAAUUGAAAGGCACAAGGCGAGGUUAGUUGCAAAAGGCUAUAGUCAAAAGGCUGGCAUAGACAAUGAUGAGGUAUUUGCUCCUGUAACUCGACUUGAAACUAUUAGACUUAUUAUUUCUUUGGCUGCUCAGAACAAAUGGAAGAUUUUUCAAAUGGAUGUGAAGUCUGCUUUCUUAAAUAGAUUUCUUGAAGAAGAAGUUUACAUCGAACAACCAUUAGGCUAUGUGGUGAAAUGACAUGAAGACAAAGUUUUGAGAUUGAAGAAAGCUCUUUAUAGGUUAAAGCAAGCACCAAGGGCAUGGAAUAGCAGAAUUGACAAGUAUUUUCAAGAGAACGGCUUCACCAAAUGCCCAUAUGAACAUGCUCUCUACAUCAAAGACAAAGCUGGAGACAUUUUGAUUGUGUGCUUGUAUGUGGAUGAUCUCAUCUUCACUGGAAGUGAUCCAAGCUUAUUUGAAGAGUUCAAGAGAGUGAUAAUCAAAGAGUUCGAGAUGACUGACAUCGGACUGAUGGCAUAUUAUCUUGGCAUUGAAGUCAAGCAAAAGGAAGAAGACAUAUUUAUCUCCCAAGAAAGCUAUGCAAAAGAGAUUAUAAAAAAGUUCAAGAUUGCAAGCCUAUAAGCACGCCAGUGGAAUGCAGAGUCAAGUUAUCCAAACAUGAUGAAGGCGAAGAUAUAGAUCCAACAUUCUUUAAAAGUUUGGUCGGAAGCCUACGUUAUUUGACAUGCAAAAGACUAGAUAUCCUUUAUGUUGUUGGACUUGUGAGCCGAUACAUGGAGAAUCCAAAGACCACCUAUUUUAAAGCUGCAAAAAGAAUCUUUCGCUACAUCAAAGGUACAACUAAUUUCGGCUUGUUAUACUCAUUUUCUAAUGACUACAAGCUUGUUGGAUAUAGCGAUAGCGAUUGGGGUGGAGAUGUAGAUGAUUGAAAGAGCACCACAAGAUUUGUGUUCUUCAUGGGAGAUACUGCUUUCACAUGGAUGUCAAAGAAGCAACCAAUUGUCACGCUAUCCACCUGUGAAGCUGAAUAUGUAGCUGCCACAUCAAGUGUUUGUCAUGCAAUUUGGCUCAGAAAUUUGCUGAAGGAGUUGAGUUUGGCACAAGAAGAGCCAACCGAGAUUUGUGUUGAUAACAAAUCAGCAAUUGCCCUAUCCAAGAAUCCAGUCUUUCAUGAUCGAAGUAAACACAUAGACACUCGCUAUCAUUUCAUAAGAGAGUGUAUUGCAAGAAAAGAAGUGCAAAUCAAGUAUGUAAAAUCACAAGAUCAAGCAGCUGAUAUCUUCACCAAGCCACUCAAGCAAGAAGACUUUGUAAAAUUCAAAAGUUUGCUUGGUGUCACAUGAUCAAGUUUAAGGGGAGGUGUUGGAUCAUAAACUUGAUCCAAGAUGAAUAAAUUCAAGCCCAACUCAUGGAAGGUUCCAUGAGUAGGUAUGGUUGGUGAGGUUUGAAUUAUUUGUGCUAGGUGUGUUAGGUGUGGUUGGUGAAGUAGGUGAGUGGUAGGUUUUAAUGAAUGGUGAGAAUUUGUGUAGUAGUUGAAUACAUGAAUGGUUGUGAUUAGUUUGUUUCAUGUAUAAAUACCACAUCUCCCCUUUGGUUUAUGAAUCAAGUGAAGUAGCAAAAUCUCUAAGGUGUAAAGAGUGAAAAAUAAGCGUUGUAAUUGGUGAGGAGUGUUGUUGAAGAAAUAAAAUAGCGUGUUUUUUGUGUGUUUUAUUUGUUAAUUCUCCAACAAAAGGUUACAUCAGACAACGGUCCCUGGUUUUUCCUUUUUUGGGGUUUUCACAUAAAAAUCUGCAUCUCUUGUGACUAAUUUAUUGUUUUUUAUUGUGUUGGUUUAUUAUUUAUUUAUUUAUGAUACACAUUCUAUUUUAAUCACACAAAAAAGGAAAGAUUUUAUUUCCACUUAAUUUGCAACUGUUUGUGUGGGUUCCUUUAUCAACAUGUACUAAGUUCUUGUGAGUAAAUGAUUGAGAUUCAUAAUUUGAGGAUAAUUUGGAUAAUUUCGCAAUAACAGAACCAUAUAUGCAUGUUGUGUUUGUUUGAAGUUUUACACCAUCUAGUAAUGAAAUAGACGAUGUUGCGGCUUCUAGAGUCAUAUCAAUUAUUGCCUUAUAAACAUGUAAAAUGCCUCAAUAGCAGAUCUUCAAGAGUCGAAACAUGUUAAAUAAGUAACAACUUCUAAAUCUGCGAGUAUGCAAAUCGUCUAACAAUGAUAAUAGGAAGCUCGGCCUUUUAGUCGGAUCCUUAUUUUACCACACCUUAUAAUAUUAGAUCUUUCAAUAUUGAUCACAUAAUCUAACUCAAACUCAAUUACCCUCUCGAAAGUAAGGUGGCAAUUCGUCUAGCUAUGUCGCAUUUGUCGUGUUGUAAUUGCGUCGAAUUAAAUUUUUAAAAAUUAGGGAUAAGACACGUGUAAUAAUCAUAUCAAAAAAAUCAAAUAUGGAAACGAUUCACAUAAUAAACAGAUGACAUGAUAAGACGCAACACAUUUGACAACCCAAUUCUCAGUGGAAAUACUAUCAUAAUUCAAAUUUUAAAAAAUAAAAAAUAAAUCAUUUGAUUGAAAAAAUAAUAAAUGACAUACAAAUUGAAACUAAUCCAAGAUAUGAUAAAAAUUUCAUUAGAUAAACUAACAAUUAUAAAUUUAAAUCAUUAUAGCAUAAUAAUUAAUAAAUAAGAGCUCAUUCAUGAUCAAAAUGUAAAAUAUGAUACAUUGACAAAUUAAUAUUCUUGUCAUUCGGACGUAAUCGUGUUGAGGAUUAGUGUAACAUGAAUACGAUAUGGUUAUUCAUCAUGUUAUGUCUUGUUGACCCAUUUAUUUUUUGUGUCAAUAUUUAUCAAUUCAAUUACAGAAAAAUCGUGCAUAUCCGUAUCAUAACUUACUUUGCCACGUCAACUAGAAAAGGGCAUGUGAAAUUGUUUAUAUGCCAGCAGUCUUCUAUAUAUAGCUAGAAGCGAAAACCAAACUUACCAUCAAUUUUCCAAAUUAAGCAAAAAAUGAGCUGGUGCGGGGCAGGUGCUAUUGGCGCUGCUAAGGUAAGUAAUUUUGUAAUGUUUAAUAAUUAAUUUUUUUAAACACAAAAAAUUUUAUGAUUUUUAUUGGAAAAAUUAAUAAUGAAUUAAUGAUUAGACAGUAUUAUUAACUAUAGCUCUUUAAAAUUAAUGUUAUCAAAUAUAGAAUUUGUGUAAAAAUUCUUAUUAUAGGAUAAUUGUUAAUUAAAAAGAUGCCUAAAAAAUAAGCUUUUCUAUUAAAAUUGAAAAUAUUUAUUAAUUUGAGUAUAUCAAGGAAAUACCAAAAGAAAAAAGGUCUUUCUAUUAUAAUAAUAUAAAGUUUAGACUGUUGGAAUAGGGUUUUCCUAACAUAUGAAGCCCUAAGCAAUUGUCUAAUUUGCCUAUGUUUAAACCCCCUGAUGGUUGUUUAAUUUUCACUUGUACAGAAAAAAUUGGAAGAAUAUGAGCAACCUUGGGACUACCAGAAUGUGGGACUUGUAGUAGGCGUGAUAGGAAUCAUAGGCAAUUGCCUAUAGGGAUGGCAAUGGGGCAGAUAUGGGUUGGAUCUACUUUGCUCCAGAUCCAAAUCCAUAAUAACAAUCAAGAUCCGUAUCUGCUCCAGAUUCGUUAUGAAUCCAUAUUUUUCGCUCCAUAUCCAGAUCCAAAAAAGAAAUAAAUAUCUAUAUCUGCUCCAAAUCUGAAAAAAAAUUAAAAUCCAAAUCUGCUCUAGAUCCGUCAUGAAUUCUAAAAUUCCGUAAUAAAAAAGUAAUAAUUUUUUAGAUUGAAAAUUGAAGGCUAAAAUGUAUUGAUAACAAAUAAAUUAUAUAAUUUUUCUCAAAAAUAUAAUAAAUAUUGUAGCUUAUACUUCUACACCAAAACAACAAAUAAGAAAGAUAAUAAAAUAUCAUUCAGAAGUAAUUGCAAGAGUAAGAUCAACCUAAUAUUCUAUUGUCUCUUUCAUCAUUUUAAUAUCCACGAUACAUCUACCCUCAUUCCUACAACAUUAGAUAAUGACAUAUAAAUUAAAUAUGAUUUAUAUUCAGUCCUUUAUUAUUUUUAUUAUGACCAUAUUUGACUAAAUAUAUGAAUAACUAUAUUCCUUAAAAAUUAUUUGGCCAAUAUGAUAAAAUAAAUUACCAGGUUAUAUUACUUGGAUUGCAAUUUGAAAAUUGCAUGUACAUGCUUUGAGGCUGGUUGACCUUUAAAUUUACAAAACUAACCUUUAAGUUUUAAGAGUUUAAAUUCAUGGUAAAUACUACUAAUAUGUUAUGAAUAAAAUUUAUUAUCAUUAUCAUUCCACAAUUAUUAAGAAACUUUUAAAAUAAAAUAACAUUAAAAUAUGAGUGGAUAUGGAUAUGGAUUUAGAUAUUAAGAUAUAUCUAUAUCUGCUCCAGAUCCGUCUUAGAUCCGCUCCAGAUCCGUCUUAGAUCCGCACAUCGAUAUCCUAUGUUUUUCUGCUUUAAAAAAUACACCUAUGUUUUUCUAAAAAAAUCAUCAAUGAACAGAAGGAAAUAGUUACUUUACUAGGGAAGCUUGGCUUGAUUGGAUCACACGCAUCUAUAUGAGUGAGCUCAAGUGGCUUCUGAGCUCUUGAGCUUGACUCACUUAGAAAACUCUUUCAAAACUGCUUGCCAAGCAAACAUCCUUCACAAACUUGAGUAGAACGAUUGAUUAAAGGUAGGUCUUUCACUAUGUUCUUUUUUAAUAGUAACUCCAGUCUACCAAAGUUGAGAUGCCAUAUCGAAAAUACCAAAUUCAGGAUAGAUCUUUGUGAUAAGUUUUGACACAAUUUGCAACAUCAUUUUGAAUAUUUAAUGGAAACAUUCUAUAUUUUAAUAUUUUUAACUUCAUGAUUACCAAGAGUUAUUGAGAAUAGGCUUCGAACACUCAACGUUUAGUUUUUAUAUUAGCUAAAUGACAUAAGUCCCGAAGAAUAGUUGAUAUCGAAGGGCACCGAAUUGCAUAAAAAGUAUAAUUUUCAAGAUUUGAUCAUUUACAACCCUUUACAAGUAGUAAUAUUAGUAAUUUAAAUUAAAAAUAAAUAAAUAGAUGUCAAAGUGUUACCUAUGACCCCAUGAACCAGUAUCAUAGCAUGGUUUAUUUACUUAAUUUGAAUUAAGAGAUCCAAUAGCUUAUGAAGAUAAUAGAAUAUUUAGAUUUAUAAAUCGAUACUUAUCAUAGUAAGAAACUAACUCUAAAUAUAUAUAAUAUGAACUGUAACAUAAAAGGAAACCUUAGACACAAUUUACAUGCAGAAAAUUCACAGUUAAAUAGUUUAGUUGAUUUGUUAAUAAAUUUAUUGUUUGAAAGCUUUAAAAUGAACAUGUUAUUUUGUUUUGUAAUUGAGAAAAUUGGAGCAUAUAUAGUAUUUAAUCUGAGCUCGUUUCUGUAAGUAAAAUAUUGAAAGCAUACUUAGCAUACAAACAUAGAAUAACAAGUAUGCUUAAGAACUUUGUUGAGCUAGAAUAUACACUUAACUAACUCUGCUGACUGGACUUAAACUUACAUGUGCUAAGUAUGUAGCUCUCUUAUAUGAAAUAGGUGCUUCCUUAACAGCCCCCUUAAAACUUAAGAGGCAUAUAUGCACGUUGAGUUUUGCUCUAAAAUAGUUUAAGCGAACAAAAGAGCUUUUGUCAAAAUGUUUGCAACUUGCUUUUCACUUUGCUAACGCUUUAUCUUUAGCGGAAUGCAUAUCCAACUCAAUAUAUUUGGUUCUUGAGUGAUAAAUUGGAUUUUUGCCAUCUCUGUUACAUUAACAUUAUCACACCAAAUUAUAGGUAAUAAAGUGCAUUCGACCUUGAGUUCCAUGAACAGUGACUAAAGUCGUGUUAUUUCUGCACUUGCAGAGGUAAGGGCUUUGUAUUCACUUGCUGCACUCGACCUUGUAACUACUGAUUGCUUCUUAGACGAUCAGGAUAUUAAGUUGAUUCCUAAAUAAAUGCAGUAUGCACCUAUUGAUCUCCUGUCAUCAAUGUCACAUGCCCAGUCUGCAUCAAUGUAACCUAUGAGUUUCAUUUCUCCCCCAACUAAGAAUUAUAGCCUAUAAUCAUCAAUUCCCUUUAAGUAUCUAAGAAUAUAGGCCAUUAAAUAUUGAAGUGUUGGAGCUAUCAUCUACUAACUUAGUUUACAUAUAGCAAAGCUAUUUCUGGUCUGGUUAAAACCAGAUACUGUAAACGUCUAAUUAAGCUUCUAUAACUUGUUGUAUCUUUAAUUACUGACCAAAUAUCGGUUAAACUCCUUCUGAAGCAUUGAUACUGCAACCAUUGGAGUGUCAUAGCUUUCUCAUUCUAACAUAUCAACUUUAUUCAAAAAAUCCUUGAUGUACUUCUUCUGAGACAAAUAGAUACUACUCUCAGCAUAAGAAACUUCUAUUCGAAGGAAGUAUGGUAGUACUCUCAAGUCUUUCAAAGCAAAUAUUCCACUGAAAUCUAAAAUGAACUUUUCUAAUUCUUUAUUGUUAGGGCCUAUGAUCAUUAACAUAAAUCAAGAUUGGGCCUUCUAUCUCUUUUUUUCAAUAAAAAAAAAAGAUGUAUUAGUCGUAGAAUUCUGAAAUCCCAAUUAGUAGUCAAACAAUUCUUCAGCUUGUUACACUAAGCUCUGGGAGCUUAUUUUAAGCCAUACAAUGCCUUUUUCAAUUUGCACACAUCGCUAAAUUUUUUAAUAUAAAAAAAUCUUUUAGAUCAAUUCUCCAUUUAGAAAAACAUUGUUCACAUCAACUUGUCUUAUCAUUCACCUACAUAGUACAACCAAACUUAAUACCACUCUCACUGUAGAAGCAUUUAUAACAAGGCUGAAUAUUUCAAAAUAAUCAACUCUUUCAAUUUGUUGAAAUUCCCUUGCAAUAAGCCUAAGUUUGUACUUAGUUAUGCUUUUAUUAUUGUUUUGUUUAAUUCCAAAAACACAUUUGUUGCCAAUAAUCUUAAAGUGGUACUAAAAUCCAAGUCUCAUUCUUUAACAAGGCUUCUAUAACACCGCAGCCCGAACUCCGAGGGCAAAUCCGAUCACAACUCGCAUGUGAAUUUAAAUAACCCUUUACAAACGAAAAUAAUUCAAACCUCCAAUAUAAUAGGCAGCGGAAUAAUCUGAAAAUUUGGCCAAACCAUCUAUCAUCCUCAAUUCAAGUCUACCUUCUCACUCAUUAUGAAUCAUUCCUGACUUCUGGAAACCAAAUCAUAAUAAACUAUAAUGAGUAUAAAACUCAGUAAGCAAACUAGUUUUUCUUAUAUCAAAAUACAUCCAUACUUAUACAUAAUGCAAUUGGAUGAUAUGUCAUGAUCUUUUGGAAAUACUGUAAAACAAAUUCAUAAACAUCUAUUUAUGUCGCUUUCAAACUUUUUCAUUUUCUUUCAAUGAAAUACAUAUUCUGCAAUUGUGGCACUUUGUAUUGUGCGUGGCACUUUGCACCAUGCAUGGCACUUUACGGCACUUUGACCCUCAAGAGGUGGCCCAUGCAUAGUCUCAAGAGGUGGCCCACACAACUUCAAGAGGUGGUCCCCAAUGCAAAAUCUCAUAGAACAAAAAUUUCAUUUGUUAAAAUCCACUUUCUCAUUCAUAGAAAAAUCAAUGCUUUUUCAUACUUAUGCCAAUGAACCAUCACACAUACAUAUGCCCAUAUACAUAAUCAUGUUCAACACAUACCAACACAUCACAUAGACACAUGGGCAGAGACAUCUAAAUCCAUAUUCGUAUAUGUAUCAAAAUAGGCUUUUCACACAAGUCAAACAUAUAUAGAAUAAGUUAAUAAUUGUCAUAUCUUGUAUUUGUUUAAGGUGUUGGAGGUGAUUGAGGCUCUUAGAGGCAUAGAGGUGUGUUAAUUCAAAUUCUUUUGUCGAGGUAAGUAACUUCAUUCCUAGUAUACUGGAUAUGUACAAGUAUUUUGAGAAAAUAAUUCAAACCUCCAAUAUAAUAGGCAGCGGAAUAAUCUGAAAAUUUGGCCAAACCAUCUAUCAUCCUCAAUUCAAGUCUACCUUCUCACUCAUUAUGAAUCAUUCCUGACUUCUGGAAACCAAAUCAUAAUAAACUAUAAUGAGUAUAAAACUCAGUAAGCAAACUAGUUUUUCUUAUAUCAAAAUACAUCCAUACUUAUACAUAAUGCAAUUGGAUGAUAUGUCAUGAUCUUUUAGAAAUAUUGUAAAACAAAUUCAUAAAAACCUCUUUCUAUCGCUUUCAAACUUUCUCAUUUUCUUUCAAUGAAAUACAUAUUCUGCAAUUGUGGCACUUUGUAUUGUGCGUGGCACUUUGCACCAUGCAUGGCACUUUACGGCACUUUGACCCUCAAGAGGUGGCCCCCGCAUAGUCUCAAGAGGUGGCCCCCAAUGCAAAAUCUCAUAGAACAUAAAUUCCAUUUAUUAAAAUCCACUUUCUCAUUCAUAGAAAACUCAAUGCUUUUUCAUGCUUAUGCCAAUGAACAAUCACACAUACAUAUGCCAAUAUACAUAAUCACGCUCAACACAUACCAACACAUCACAUAAACACAUGGGCAGAGACAUCUAAAUCCAUAUUCGUAUAUGUAUCAAAAUAGGCUUUUCACACAAGUCAAACAUAUAUAGAAUAAGUUAAUAAUUGUCAUAUCUUGUAUUUGUUUAAGGUGUUGGAGGUGAUUGAGGCUCUUAGAGGCAUAGAGGUGUGUUAAUUCAAAUUCUUUUGUCGAGGUAAGUAACUUCAUUCCUAGUAUACUGGAUAUGUACAAGUAUUUUGAUAUUAUUAUUAUAAGUAUAAAUGUUUUUAUACUACUUAAAAGAUUAAUGGAUUUUCAUAACAAAAUUAACUUAUGAAAAUGUUUUCAAAACCUAAAUUCUUUUUAACAAAGUAUUUUAUAAAUGCUUUUAAAUAUGUAAAUUAUUUAUGACAUGACUACCUUUUAUGGUUUUAUCUAUAAAAUAAUUUGCAAGCCUAAAUUGUUGUUAUGGACAUUUAUGAAAUUGAUACGAAUGUUUUUGUGCUUAUGAAUGUUUUUGUCCUUAUGAAUAUUUUCAAUUAUUUAUGAUUGUACGGGGGCCACCUCUUGGGACUAUAUGGGGGCCACCUCUUGGGACUAUAUGGGGACCACCUCUUGAAGGCUAAAGCAUCGCAAAGUGCCACAUACAGUGCAAAGUGCCACGUAUAAGUCAUUAUGUUUUGGCUCAUUGUCCGUAGUUAUUCUGAUUAUGAUUCUGAUCGUAUAAUACGAUAUAUGUUUGUUCUGGACCAGUACUGGGUUUUUGUUAUGAGUGUGCAUAUGAUAUUCUGAUUCUGUUUCUGGCCGGGUCACCGGUACUAUAGGUGACACUAUGUGACAUGAGCUAACCUUUUGUUUUCUGUGAAUGUGAUAUAUGAUUUGCUUUCGUAAGUAACUAUGCUUUUGAUAUUCUGAAUUACAAUGAAUUUAUGUUAUUUUAUCAUGAUAUAUCGUUUUAUGAAAUUUAUGGAUUAUGAUAUAUGUUUUAAUUAAAGGAAGGCUUGCAAUAUUUUUGGUAUCGAUAGGCUUAGUGAGUUAGGAAUGGUUUUACUUACCGAGUUGACGGCUCACCCCUCGUCAUUACUUUUUGUAGAUUAAGUUCCAUUUGAGAGGUGUGCUUAGCUUUGGAGUUAGAGAUUUUGUUUAUGUUUGCUGUUUGAAUAAGAAGAGGAAUAGACUCACGUUUUUUUUUAGUUUAUUUCUGUUAUGAACUUGUAAUUUGGAGUUUGAGACUUUUGUUAUUGCUAUGUUUCGGGAGAGAUUAUUUAGUGUUAGACGUAUGAAUUUGUGGAUUUAUUUGAAUAAGAAUUUGAGGUAUUUUCAGUUUGGAAUUUAUGAGUAAGGAUUACGAUUUGUAAGUAACCUCCUUCUUUACGUGCUCCGCACGUGUUAGAUUUGUAACACCCCAGCCCGAACGCCGAGGGCAAAUCCGACCACAACUCACAUGUGAAUUUAAAUAACCCUUUACAAAUCUUCUCACUCAUUAUGAAUCAUUCCUGACUUCUGGAAACCAAAUCAUAAUAAACUAUAAUGAGUAUAAAACUCAGUAAGCAAACUAGUUUUUCUUAUAUCAAAAUACAUCCAUACUUAUACAUAAUGCAAUUGGAUGAUAUGUCAUGAUCUUUUAGAAAUAUUGUAAAACAAAUUCAUAAAAACCUCUUUCUAUCGCUUUCAAACUUUCUCAUUUUCUUUCAAUGAAAUACAUAUUCUGCAAUUGUGGCACUUUGUAUUGUGCGUGGCACUUUGCACCAUGCAUGGCACUUUACGGCACUUUGACCCUCAAGAGGUGGCCCCCGCAUAGUCUCAAGAGGUGGCCCCCAAUGCAAAAUCUCAUAGAACAUAAAUUCCAUUUAUUAAAAUCCACUUUCUCAUUCAUAGAAAACUCAAUGCUUUUUCAUGCUUAUGCCAAUGAACAAUCACACAUACAUAUGCCAAUAUACAUAAUCACGCUCAACACAUACCAACACAUCACAUAAACACAUGGGCAGAGACAUCUAAAUCCAUAUUCGUAUAUGUAUCAAAAUAGGCUUUUCACACAAGUCAAACAUAUAUAUUGUUUAUUGUGAUUCGUUUUAAAGUCUAGUUUACUUACCUCUUGGCAUCCUCAUGCAACAAAUGUGUAUUGAUAUCAUCAACCUAAAAUCAUCAAUAAAUAUCUCAUAAGAUAUAAUCAAGUCUCAAUCAUAAACUCUAAUGUCCUCAACUAUCUCAAUUUAAGCAUCUCAUAAGCUCAACCUCAAAUGUCCUCAAUAAUCAGUUCUCAAAACAAAACAGUCCAUAUUCUCCGAUUUUUAAUAAAUUAUUCCCUCAUUGGAAAAAUCUCAAAUUUUACAGAUCAUAUGCUGACAUAUUGAAAGUUUAUUGAUAAAAAUUUCAUAAUUUGAUUCCUUCAAAAACUAUUGAAAAUAAUUAACAUUUCAGACAUCAUCAAUACUGUCAAACAAUGUUCUGUUUUGAACACACUUGUUUCAAAAAUCCAAAACAAUUUAUUUCUUUAUCAUAAAAUCCUGAAAAUUUACAGAAUCAUACUAGACAUGUAUAAAAAUCAUGGAUCCAAAUUUCAUAAUUUUUGAAGAAGUACAGUUAUGGUAAAAAUAAUUUCGUAAUUCACGUUAUUUAUUGAAAUCAGAAAUUUCCAGGUUUUCAGACUUGAUUUUGAAAAAUCGUAAUUAAUUGAAAUCUUAUCCGAUUAACUUGAAACAAGUUUCAAAACAUUCUAGAUGAUGUCUAGUUUAACAAAUCCAAAAAUCAGAAUCAAAAUCAAUUUGUAAAAAUUACUAUGAGUUUCGUAAUAAUUCACUCUCAGCAUACUUCUGCAAAAUCUUAGGUUUCUACUUCUAUUGCAAUCAUGCUUGUCCACAACAAUUUAAUAGAAACCAAUAAUUAAAACUUACCUCCAAAACUUCUCCCAACAAUAACAACUUGAUCCCAUAUGUUGCCUAUGGCAGAACUAAGAAGAAGAAGAAGACUUUCUUCUUCUCUUUUUCUUUUUUUUUUCUCUUUUCUCUCCAUCUCUCUCUCUCUCUCUCUCUCUCUCUCUCUCUCUUUUUCUUUUCCUUCCUGCCGUUUUUUUUUCAACCGAUCUCUCUUUCCCUCUCUCUCUUAUAAUGGAAAAUACAUCUUAUUCUAUUUAUACUAGGGUAAAAAAGAUUACUAAAAACUAAAAAGACUUAAAUACCCUUAGGAGAAUUGGGGUAUUACACCUUCUAUGUAACAAUGUUAUAUCAUCUAGUUUGUAAUUACAAUUAUUUGGAAUAGAAUUAUAGCAAGCCUUGGUAAAGGCAUUUAAAUUUAUGAAAAUCAAGAGAGACAUUUGUAAAAGAAAGCAUAGAGAUUGGUUUAUUCAACUAAAAAUGAGAUAGGUAAGAUACAGGUGAUGAGGAAAAAGGAUUGAUCUCAACAACAGAUUGUAAACACCUUUCUGAGUAAGGCCUUGUGGAAGAACUUGUCCCUUUCUACCCUUCACAAAGCAAAUAUUUCUAUAUAAUUUAAAAAGGGAGGAUUAUCGGAGUUGAGUUUAGAAAUGCUCAACAAAUUCAUUGUAAUUGAAGGAACAAGUAGCAUGUCUUUAAGUUUUAUGGUAGUGUGCAUGGAUGAAUUAUUAGAAGCUUUAAAUGACGAAAAAACAUGUCCAAUAUGAGUCAUAGACAAAUCUUGACCAUUUUUAAUAAUAAGCUGCUCAGUAUCUUUAAACUCUUCUUUGAGAUACAUAUUCUCCAUGUUAUUGGUCCAAUGAUGAGUUGCUCCAUUGUCCAAAUGCCAGCCAUCAUCAGUUGUCCCUUCAAAAUUAGCCACAUAAGCUACUCCAGGUGCAUAAGCUUCAAUCCUAGAGUACUAGUAAGCUCCAAUGUAGGACUAUAUGCCAAUGGCAUAUAAUUGAAAUGUUCAUAGUCAUCAUAACUUUGAUGAGAAGCAGAACCAUCAAAGUUAGCAAAAUAAGCUGCUCUUAGUCUUUUGCCUUUGCCAAAACUCCUUGAAAUACAAAUAUAAUCUUUAACAAAUCUGCCAACAAAUAUCUACACUAUGACCCGUCUUGAAACAAAUCUGACAUAUUAGUUCUUCUAUAUUUACAAGAGUUCCUCGUGCUCCAUUCAAUUUAGGAAAUCCAUUCUUAGCAAAUGGAGAUGAAUGCCUAGGUACUUGAAAUGAAAGAAGACCAUCAGAGUUUUGACUAAAAAAUUGUCCUAUACCAUAUCAAUUUUUAAAGUUUCCAACAGGCAUUCUUUGAGUAUGAUUCUUGCUUCUUCUACCAAAGAACAUGUUUCUACCUUCAAUGUGUUGUUUUCUCCUAAAAUUGUCCCUAAGUUGAGCAUAGAAUGCCUUGGGAUAAUAUGCAUUGCUAUAUGUAUAAUUUGCAUUAAACACAUUCUUAUAAUCCUAUUCUUGCUCUAAUCUAGUUUCAUGUGUGAGCAGCAAAGCACAUGCAUCAUCGUAAUUCAUAUAAGGACCAGUUAUAAGAGUAGCAAUAUCACGAUAUCCUAGUCUUAGUCCAUUAAGUAUUGUUAAUAUAAGAUCUUUCUUUGUUAGAGAACUAUUAGCACUAGCAAGCUUUUUAGCUAUUGAUUUCAUUUGGUCAUAGAAAUCUUAAACACUCAAUGAUUCUUUUUUAAGAGUCUUUAAUUCAUACAUAAGUUGAACUACUCGAGCUUCAGAUUGCACUCCAACUUUCUUUUCUAGAGUCCUCCACACAUUAAAUGAACUUUUGCAAUUUAUAACAAGGCUUAGAGUAUCUUCACAAAUCAAUGAAAAUAACCAUUCAAGUAGAGUCUGAUCCUAUGAUCUCCAAUUUUGAUAUUCAAGAUUAUCAACUUUCUGAGUAGAUCCGUUAGCUUCAGCCAAAAGAAGAUGCUCCCAAGGUGCUGAUUUUCUUCCAUCAAUGAAGUCCUUCAAUCAAUUGCCUAUAAUGGAGGCCAAGACCUGAGAACACCAUAGCAAGUAAUUCGAAUGAUCUAGCUUCAUCAGAUUAUUGAAAGAGAAAUUAAUUUGAGUUUGCUAAUUUGUAUUAUUUGUCAUUGAGUUUCUAGUGGAUGUGUGCAUAUUACUAGAACUAGCUUUGUUUGCCUCUAAUAUCAUGUUUGAAAGCUUUAAAAUGAACAUAUUAUUCUGUUCGGCAACUGAGAAAAUGAAAAAGAAUGUUCUAGAUUUUUUUCUAAAUCUUGAUUCUUUUUCACUAACUACAAAAUCUAAAACAUUACAGCAUAUACGGCAUUUAUAAUGAGCUCGUUACAGUAAGAAAAGUAAUGAAAACAAACUUAACAAACAAAAAUAGAAUAACAAGUAUGCUUAAAAAUUUUGGUGAGCAGGCAUAUACACACAACUAGCUCUGCUGACUAGACUUGGACUUGCACGUGCUGAGUGUGUACUCUUUUAUAUGGAAUAUGUGCUUCCUUAACAGGUAGAAAUUUAAAAUUAAAAUUUGACAAGAUUAAUAAUAAUCUUAAAUUAUUUUUAGAUAGUUUAAGAGAAAAUAGAACUAGUUUUAAAAAUUUAGAAGAAGAAUUAGAUUUAUAAAAGAUCAAAAUAUUGCAGAAUUAGAUAAGAUCUCAAGAAUAGAAGAAAAAAGAUUAAAGCUAAAACAAGUAGAUAAAGCUAAGGAUUUAGAUGUUAUACCCAGUUGAAAAACUUUGGAUUAUUUCAUUUCAAUCGAUUAUAUUUUCACAAUCAACUUUUACUUUUUCUUUUUCUAGCCAUGUGAAUCGGUUGGUUUGAAAGGAAGUGGUUUCGACGACGAACCAUUUAGAAAAGUUUUGGUCUUGGAUUAGGCUUUAAUUCAACAUUGGGUUUAGUUAUAACUUGAAGGCAUGUAAUCAGAAAUGUGUUAUGAAUGUUUUUUCUAGGUUGACAAUUUAGUACAGUAUAUUUAUUUAAUACAUUAACAAAUAACAAUAAGAAAAGGCAGCUUUUUGACUCUUUCUACCUGAAAUGAAACUUUUGAUUGAUUGCAAAGCAAAGAACAAACAAGAGCUGCAUUUAUUCCAGCCAAACAAUCACGGCUUGAACUAUUAAUUAAAAGUUUUAAGUGAGGCACCAAAUUCAAAAAAGAAAAUUACGUAAGGCACAAUCCUCUGACUUUGGAGCCUAUUAAUCCAUGUGAUAAACGAAUUCUUAUAAUUCCGGAAACCCGUGCUCCUUACUCUUGUUCAUGCUAACUAAAUAACCCGCACCAAUAGUCAUCACCAUAUCUGUAUAUGACCAAACAACAACCUCAUUCAAUUUCGUUGGCCGAAGCUGAUUAUCUCUCACAAUCUCCUCCCACAGACUUUCUUUACCUUUCAUAAAAUUUUAGGAAAUUAAUUGACAAAAUAAUAAUAAAAAGAUGAGAUUGAGAGAAGUGAAAUUAAGGUUCAUGGUAUGGACAUGACAAAUGGGUAUGUUGAAUUAAUUUUAGGGAGAAUAUCCACCGUCCACCUGUUUUUUACACAUUUUUCAAAAAUACACAAUUCUUUCAUUUUUUGGCUGGAAUCCACCUAAAGUUAUAUUUUGUUUCACUUUUCCACUUCCGUUUGAAAUCCGUUAAGAAAACUAACGGAAACUUAAAAAAUAACUAUUUUAACCCCAAAACGAAAAUUACAAUUUCACCUUAAAAAUUACCAAAAAUAAUCAGAUUAAAUCUAAUUAUUUUUUUCAUUGGUCAAUAAAGAAAUUAAUUCCACAACCAUCAAAUGCAGGUUUUUUUUAAAUAUGUUUGUAAUUAAAAUGCUAAAUUAUAACAGUAGUAUUAAAAAUAGCCCAAUCUCGCAAACCAUCAAUUGAAUUUAAGAUAAGUAGAGUUUUAUUAUUCUUUGAAUUAUAAUCUCUAGUAGUUAAGUUUUUUUGUACUUCAUUAACGUACCAAUAAUGAUAUUCAUCAUUAAAUCUUAUUAUUUUUGGCAUUUUUUAGGGUGAAAUUGUAAUUUUCGUUUUGGGGGUAAAAUGGUCAUUUUUUUAAGAUUCCGUUAGUUUUCUUAACGGAUUCCAAACGGAAGUGGAAAAGUGAAACAACAUGUAACUUUAGGUGAAUUCCAGCCAAAAAAUAAAGGAAUUGUGUAUUUUUAAAAAAAAGUGUAAAAAACGGGUGGACGGUGGAUAUUUUCUCUUAAUUUUAACAUUUUCGCUUAAUUGUAUAAGGUUGACUUCAAUUAUGGGAAAUUUAAGAAUACAUAUUGUUGUUAAAAAAUUAGUCCUCAAAAUAGUUUUUGAUUGCAGUAUUUAAACCCAUCAACUUCUUCUAUACACCCAUUUUAAAAAAUAAAUUUAUCAUUAAAGUUUUAAAAUUUUAAAUUUUAAAUUUUAAAAUUACCCCUCACUAAUCACUUUCUUUCUUACUUUACAAUUACAUACUCUCCCUUUAAUAUUAUGCAAAUUAAACACUUAAUUUCACUAUCUUUGAAUUUUUAUUUUAUUUUAUUUUAUUUUUUUAUCUUUCUGAGUACAUCAUGAUCUAUAUAUUUCAUGCUUUCUAUAUAUAAGAAUUUUUUAAUUUCUUAAUAUUCAUUAGCUUUUAUGCUUGGUAAAAAUUAAUUUCUUAAUAUUCAUUAAUUUUAAUUACUAAUAAAAUUUUGUUGGUAUUCAUUUUUAAAUGAUGGGUUUUGUUCCUCUUAGUUAGUAAUACUAAUUAUCUACAAGUAAAAGAAUAUAUCUUAAUGGAUGAUAAGAAUGAACUUAGAUAAGAAGAAGUAGAAGUCGAAAAAGUUAAGGAAAAAGAAAGAAAAUGAAGAGUUCUUUUUUGCUGAAAAUAUGUUUUUUGUUCCUAGAUGCCUUUGGCUAUUUAUAGCCUUACAAACGUGACCAAUAAUGCAGCAAAACAACUGCAACAGCAAAGCAAAAUAAUAGGAAACAAACAUGCUACCACUUAUGCUUAAGUUAAGCAGCUUAUUCAUCCAACUACCUAACUAAGUUGACUAAGUCUGCCGACUUGACCAUCUCAACAAAUGUGACUUUAUCUGCUUCAUCAUCAACAAUGAUUUUGCCACCCACGAACAUAUUGCAUGCAUGCAUAAUUUGCACAUAUCAUUCCCCCCCCCCCCCCCCCCNNNNNNNNNNNNNNNNNNNNNNNCCCCCCCCUCCCCAAGGAUCCUUGUCCACAAGGUUGAAAUCAAGGUUGAAAUUAAGAUAGGAUUUGGAGAAACGCCAUUCAGUUUCCCAGGUUGCAUCUUGUAAGGGUGCACCCACCCAUUUGACCAAAAUUUCUGAUUUAGGCUGGUAUUUUCCCUUGUGAAUCACACGGCGAUCAAGUAUCGUUUCUGGUUGCGGAAGGAUGGUCAAAGCAUCUGAAACCGGAGGUAGAUGUGCUGAAGUAGGAACAAUUGAGCCUAAAUGCUUUUACGAUAGACCAACAUGGAAUACGUUGUGGAUUUGGGAGCCAGGGGGUAAAGCCAAUCGGUAAGGUACCGUUCCCACUCUUUCUACAAUUCGGAAUGGACUAAAAAACCGAGGGGCGAGCUUCGACGACUUGUCAAAAGCCACAGAAGUCUGGCGGUAUGGCUGUAGUUUCAAGUACACAUAAUCUCCCACAACGAAAGUGACUUCACGUCGGUGAUGGUCUGACUGACUCUUCAUCCGUUCUUGAGCUAGUCGAAGGUUGUGACACAGUUCGUAUGAUAUAUCGAUCACGUAGGUACUCAUCUACUGCUUGCACUCGAGAAGUGCCUCGAACAUAGUUCAAUAUGCUUGGAGGUGGAAUUCCAUAAACUACCUCAAAAGGUGUCAUCUUGGUGGAAGAUUGAACAGCCCAAGGAAGCCAUUCCAACCGUUUCUUAGGAUGAUCACCCACAAAACACCACAAAUACUGUUCCAGAGAGUGAUUAACUAUUUUAGUUUGACCGUCGGUCUGGGGAUGGUAACUGGAGCUCAUGCACAACUUAGUUCCUUAUAACGCGAACAAUGCUCGCCAAAAAGAACUAAUAAACACCUUAUCUCGAUCAGUAACAAUUUAUGUUGGAAUACCAUGGAGUCGUACAACAUUGGCCAUAAAUGCCUUGGCGAUAACAACUGCAGUAAACGGAUGUUUGAAGGCCACAAAGUGAGCAUAUUUGGUCUAUUGAUCAACUAUUACCAUAAUAACCGUAUAUCCAUUAGAAGAUGGUAAUCCUUCAAUAAAGUCCUUUGAGAUGGCAGUCCACAUUUGAGCCGGAAUGGGCAAUGGUUGAAGUAAUCCUGCUGGUCUCAUACAAUCAGUUUUGAACCUCUGACAAAUAUCACACUAUUGUAAAAAUUCCUUCACUGAACGUCUCAUUUGGUUGGGGCAAUAUAAAACUUUGCUUGAGGUGUGAAAGAGUUUUAUGAAACCCAAAAUGCCCACCAAUGGGUGAAGAAUGACACUCGCUCAUUAUUUUGGGAAUUAACGUCGAGGUGGGACUUAAAUAAACUUUAUUGCAUUUGAACCAAAUACCAUCACGUUGGAGAAGCUGGUAAUGUGAAUGGGAAGGACUCCUUUAAAGUAAAUCCUUGUAAAAUGAAUCAUGUUGAACUUCUUCUUGAAAAUUGGUCACCAAUCUGCUCGUGGCAUAGAAAUUGAUAACAAAUGGAACUUAACUACGCGUGAUAAUGAAUCUGCACCCUGAUUCUCUGGCCCUUUCUUAUACUUAAUUUCGUAAUCAUAUCCUCAUAUUUUUUGCAACCAUCGAGUUUACGCUGGCGUAGUAAUCCUUUGCUUUUUUGGUCGGUGUGAACUGUAAACGGUUUCCCAAGCACGUACGGGCGCCAUUUUUUUAUGGCUUUAACAAUUGCCAACAUCUCCUUCUCAUAGGUGGAUAAAGUUAAAGCUGAUCCCUUCAAUGCUUCACUGAAAAAAGCUAUUGGUCGAUCUUGCUAAGAGAGAAUUGCUCCAAUACUAAUGCUGCUAGCGUCACACUCAAUCAUAAAUCAUUAGGAAAAAUCGAGCAGGCGUAAAAUUGGUGGUGAUGUUAAAGCCUCUUUUAAUUUCUUAAAAGGUUUCUCUAUCGCCUCAUUCCAAUGAAAUCCAUCCUUAGUUAGAAGCUGAGUUAAAGGAGCAGCAGUGCCCCCAAAAUUUCGAAUGAACUUCUUGUAGUAUCCAGCCAGCCCCAAGAACCCACGAACCCCUUUUACUGAUAUUGGCCUAAGCCAUUAAAUGACAGGUUGGAUUUUGGCCGGGUCCACUGCGACUCCUUUCUCCGAAAUUAUAUGCCCUAAGUAUUCAAUCUGUGAAACACCAAAUCGACACUUAGAUUCUCUUGCAAAUAAAUUGUUAGUGGAUAAAAUUUGUAAGACAAUUUGCAAGUGAGUAAGAUGGUCUUUCCAUGACUUUGAAUAGACCAAGAUGUCAUAAAAAAAAACUACGAUAAAUUUUCGAAGAUAAGGACGGAAGAGGUCGUUCAUAAGACUUUGGAAAGUUACGGGUGCAUUUGUGAGACCAAAUGGCAUUACCACAAACUCGUUAUGUCCUUCAUGUGUUUGAAAUGUUGUUUUUUGAAUGUCCUCUUCUUUGACUCAAAUCUGGUGAUAUCUCGACCGUAAGUCUAAUUUAGAAUAAAAUUUGGCACUAUGGAGCUCAUCUAAUAAUUCAUCAAUCACAGGAAUGGAACACUUAUCUUUGAUAGUUAUAUUGUUCAAGGCGCGGUAGUCAACACAAAAUUGUCAGCCUCCAUAUGCCUUUUUUACUAACAAAAUAGGUGAUGAGAAUGGACUGUUACUUGGCCUUAUCAACCCGGAUUGUAAAAGUUCUUGCACUAUCUUCCCAUUCUCAUAUUUCUGGUAAUAAGGAUAACGAUAUGGCCAUACACUCACCGGUCCUGUAUUAGGCUGCAGUGGAAUUGAAUGGUCAUGGAAACGCCUUGGAGGUAAGCUUGUGGAUGAUUCAAAUACAUGGGAAAAGUUGGCUAGGAGUUGAGUAAUUUGGGGUGGAUAUGUUUUUGGUUGGCUGCUGCUGCAAGAGGGCAUUAUUUGGAAGAAGAAACCAGUGCUGUGUAUUCCAUUGAGCUCUUUAUCAGUUAACGCACCGAUGCUGGUCCGCUUCAAUCCUUAGAAAGUGUAAGGUACUCCUCCGACUUUAAAAUUCAUAGUUAGCUAUUUGAAAUCCAUUUCUAUGGGACCAAGAGUUUCAAGCCAUUAUGCUCCCAAAACUAAUUGGCAUGCAAUAACAGGGAGAACAUAAUAAUCCGCUGUCACCGAAUGCCCCUGAAUGGUGAGGGUGAGCGAUUGACACUACCCAACACAGUCUAUCUUCUCAUGAUUUGCAACCAUAACUUGAAACUUCGUCUUUAGUCACAGGUAUGCUGAACUUGGAGACUAUGGAUUGAUCAAUAAAAUUAUGAGUGCUGUCACCAUCUAUCAACACCAUUACAUCCUUAUUUUUCAACUUGCCAAGGACGCGUAUAGUCUGGGGAUGUUCUGUUCCAGCAAUUGCAUGAAAAGAUAUCUCAAGUACAGUGUCAUGGGCUUCUUGUUCUUGCUGAAUGUCGUUGACAUCCUCACUGUCCAAAUGGGGUAAAUCUUCCAUCAUAAAUAAUCGUGGACAUUCACACUGAUGGCCUGGAGUAAAUUUCUUAUAACAGUAGUAGCACAACCCAUUUUCACGCUGUUCUCAUGCCUUUUGAUUUGUGAUUCGGCAGAAUGUUAGUGAUGGAUUUAUAGAAUUUUGGUUCAGGCGCUGGUUCGGAGGAGGUUCUAACACACUUGCCGUUGGGUUGGGCAGUGGCCUUUGCGUGAUCAAGGAAGAUUGGGAGUGAAUCGGUUGGCUUGGUUUCCGUUGAAGUUGGUUCCGUUCUUCAAUCAAUCGCGCCACUCCUAUUGUAUCAGCCAAAGUACGAGGUUAUUUGAUCUUAACAUCCAAACGAAUAUCAUCACGGAGUCCUGCCACAAAGCAACCAAUUAAAAAAUUCUCAGGUAAGCCAUCAAUUCGGUGAGAGAGUCUUUCAAAAGCCUCUUGAUAUGCUGCCACAGUUGUGGAUUGCUUAAGACGAGUCAAAGCCUCCGAUGGGUCCUCGUAAUUCGUUGGGCCAAAACAAAGGUGCACUGCCUUAGUGAAUUCGUCCCAUGUGAGUGGUCCACAAAACUUUGUUAGCCAUAUGUGCCACUGUAGUGCAAUACCUUCUAGGUGAAAAGAGGCAAUCUGAACUUGUUGGUCUAACGGGGUAUUUUUAAAGUCAAAAUAUUGUUCUGCUUUGUGGAUCCAUCUGAUUGGGUCAUAUCCAUUGAACUUGGGAAAAUCUAACUUGAGGUGGUGGUGGGAACGUUCAUGGAUGGUGUUUUGAUGAGAGGUUUCUUCAAGUGCAAACGGGUUGGUCUCGAGUUGGCUGGUAUUUGCUUGGCUGGUGUUUUGGUUUUGGGAGAGACAGAGAGCUUGAAGUUCGGUUAACACGGCUUGUAAAGCAGCAUUGACUUGAUCGAAGCUUGCCUCGUGUCGCCCCAAGGUUGUGGCGAUGUCGUUGCAGAGUUCUGCAUUCGUUUUGCCACAAGUGUCCAUCGUUGAAACCUGGCUCUAAUACUACUGAUAAGAAUGAACUUAGAUAAGAAGAAGUAGAAAUUAAAGAAGUUAAGGAAAAAGAAAGAAAAGGAAGACUUUUUUUUCGCUGAAAAUCUAUUUUUUAUUCCUAGAUGCUUUUGGCUAUUUAUAGCCUUACAAACGUGACCAAUAAUGUAGCAAAACAAUUGUAAUAGCAAAGCGAAAUAAUAGGAAACAAACAUGCUACCACUUAUGCUUAACUUAUUCAUCUAACUACUUAACUAAGUUGACUAAGAUGUUGUUUGUUAAAUGUCUGAAUUCUGAAAUUUUAUUAAUUUCAGACAUUUUUUAAAAUAUGAUUGUUUGUUUUUUGGAACUUAUGUCUGAUUUUAAGACAUUUACAUCUGAAUAGAAAAAGUAAACUUUUGUGACUUUUAUCUGAAUGGAAAAAGGUCUGAAUGACAAGUAAAUAUUAUAUUAUGAAAAUAUCUCUGUAAAAUAACUUAUUUCCUAAAAUAUAAAAUCUAAUCCUAUUUUUUUGUUUUAAUUUAUAAGAACAUAAAUGUCAAAUAACCAAGUUUAAGAUUUUUUUAUUGUAAAAAUAAAUAAGAUGCCACUUAUAUUCAGAUAUUUAAAAAAGAAAAACAAACAUGUCAUUCAGAUUUUUGUAUUCAGACCCAUUCAGACUUUAGAAAAAUUCAGACCCAUUUAGAUUUCAAACAAAAAAACAAACGCUACCUAAGUCUGCCGACUUGACCAUCUCAUCAAAUGUGACUUUCUCUGCUUCAUCAUCAACGCCGCUUUUGCCACCCACGAACAUAUUGCAUUUGCACAUAUCAAUGGAUUGAUGGGAAUUUGUAAAAUUGAAAGAGAAAGAGAAGACAGGAUAAAUUACGUAAUUUUUUAAAAUUAUUUAGUUUAUAAAAUUUUUAAUUAAAAUGAGGAUUUAGAGAGGAAAUUAGUGAUUUCAUAUAGCCUUAUCCUUAAUUUUUAGAGUACAAAUAUUAAUACCCUAAUAAUUUUGUGCGUUAUAGCUCCUUGAGUAUCUUGUAUUACAAGUGAGUGAUCCAAAUUCAAAUUGAUAUUUGACUUUCCACAUUAUGGUAGGACUAUACUGCAUAAUCAAUACAAAGGGCACACUCAUGUUUGGGCUUACAUGUAAAUCCUAAUGACCUAGAUUAUAUCUAAACCUAAUGUUGGGGGAUUUUAACUCCACCGAAGAUCUUGAAAGCAAAAAUCCCAAACAAAUUAUUAAUAGAACAUAUAGAUGAACAAUAAAACCAAUCAUAUAACACAAAAAUUUAUGUGAAAACUCCUACACUCGACAAAAUUAUGCAACUAAGGAUGACGAGAGAAAAAUUAACUAUGUGCAAAAUUAUUACAAUUACUUUAGUAUUUUCCUCAAACCCAAAGCCCCAAUAACACUCAUUCUCUCAAUAGUCUUAUUGUUUCUCUCAUAUUAGAAAUUGUCUACUUGCUUAUUUUUAUAUGAACAAGCAAAAUGAACAUCCUUAUAUAGUGAUUGUUUCUUAUAAGAGAAGUAUUCAUUAUGUUAUACAAAUUGUAUUCCUCCUUGAAUAAGUUAAGUCUCAAAAGAGAAAUUAUUUAUUCUUUAAAUAAGAAUACUCUAAAAUAAGAAAAUAACCUAGAAAAUCCUUAUAUUGGAAAAAGAGACACAUUUCCUAGCAAUCUCGACCUUGGCAAGUUUUUCAAUCAAGCGAUAAAAUAUAAUCCACCGUGUAUCCACAAAGCAUAUUGUCUUCAUCUUCUUUACUGUACUAAAAUCACAUUCACAUAGGGCUUAUAAGAAUCACUCUAUCAUGGGUAAAACCUUGUUUUCUAUUCAGCAGCCAUAAUUCACCACACUGAGAAUCAUCAUACUCCACUUUAUCUAGAGUACGCAUGUUUAACACAUCUUGAUCACCUUACUAAAAAUCCCACUCUCAUGUUUCCCUUCUUUGAGUGUCCUCAACUAGUAACAUAAAAAUUCUGCCACACUCCUUGUAUAAAUGUCAAACUAUGCCUUGCGUGCAAAUCUUAUAGACCCACUUGCAAUAACAUAUCCUCUUCCAUGGCAUGCUAAAAAGGAUAAAUCAAUCUAUUGUAGAGAAAAAAGACACGCCAGUAGCUGAGAUAAUCAAUUUUUCAUAUAUUAAUUUAAAGCUACUUGCUAAAAUUGCUUCAUUCUAACAAUCUUUAUUAAGGUGCCUUGAUUAUCUACACAUCUCUAGGAGUUUUCACUAGUGGGAACAUGGUUUACAUCGCAUUUGCUUUCAUUGUGUAACAUAGAUUGGAUGAACAUAUGUCUUUGACUUCAACAUGUCCCAAGCCAAAAUUUGUUCUCCCAUCAAACUUUUCUAUUUUACCUUUACUAGUUUUGAAAUCCUCAUUGUUGACAUAUUUGCUCUGUAUUGCAACCUUAGCUCUAAUAGCACUUGUUACAAAAUUUCAAUUUCACUCAAGAUCUUGCAAGUAGAAAUAUCAAACAAAUAAUAUAUAGAAAAUAUAGAUGAAGAAUAAUACUAAUCACGCAAUACAAGAACUUUACAUGAAAAACUCUAAUACCAGAGAAAAACCAUGCUGCCAAGAAAAGUGAGAGAAAAAUUAUUAUGUGAAAAUUAUUGUAACUACACUAGCAUUUUCCUCACACCCAACACUCUAAUAGCACUAAAUCUCUCAAUAGACUUGUCGUUUCUCUCACAUUAGAAAUUGUCUACUUACCAAUUUUUAUAUAAACAAGUGAACCCAACCUCCUUAUAUUUAGUGAUUAUUUCUUGCAGGAGAAGUAUUCAUUUUUCUUAUACAAGCCGAAUUCCUCUUCAAAUAAGUUAAUCUCAAAGGAAAAUUUACUUAUUUCUUGAAUAAGAGUUCUCUUAAAUUAAAAAAAAAACAUAGCUAAGAAAUUAUUAUUAAAAAAAUGACACAUAUUUCUUAACACCUAAUGUAGUAGUAAAGAACCAACCGCAACACUAUUUUAAUUUUGUUUACAUUAUAUCUAUUGUUAAAGUUUCGAUAAGAUUAAAUAUAAAUGUAAAUUUUUAUGCAUACGCAUUAAAAUCGACAUAAACAAUUUUCCACUCUUCCCCAAGAAUAAUGAUAGUAGGCUAUCAACAAUCUUUUAGAUUUUCUACUAACUUUGAGUAUUGACCCUUUUGACCUAGUAAAAUUACAAUUAUACCCCCAACCUUAGGGAAUAAUUAUGAAAAGAUGACAUAAUUGCCCAUAAACUUUAUUUUAAUUUCAUUUUCUAACCCAUUUUCUUUCUCUCUCUGAAUAAAGCUCUCCAGUUAAAAAUUUUUGGAUGAUUUCAUUUUAAUCAGUUAUAUGUUCACAAUCAACUUUUCUUUCCCUUUUCCCUCUUCUUGUCCUUUGAAUCAGUUGGUUUCGACGGACGAAGAAAUUAAAGAAGCAUUGGACUAGGAUUAGGCUUUGAGCAUCGAGUGGUCAUAACUUGAAGGCAUAUGAUUCAGAAAUGUAAAAUGAAUGUUUUCUCAGCUCGAAAUUGAGUACUGUAUUUAUUUAACUCAUUAACAAUAACAAAGGCAGCAGUGUAUUUUUAUAUCUUUUUUCUGCCUGAAACGAAACUUUUCAUUUAUUGGAAAGCAAAGAACAAACAAAAACUGCAUUUCUUCCAGCCCAACAAUCACAAUUUGAACUAUUAAUUGAAAGUUCUAACUAACGCACCAAAUUGAAAAUAAAAAAUUACUGAAGGCACAAUCCUGUGACUUUUUAGCCUACCACUCCAAGUAACGAAGGAAUUCUUAGAAUUUCUGUGACCCAAGAACCCGUGCUCCUUACUCUUGUUCACGCUAACUAAAUAACCCGCACCCAUAUUCAUCACCGUAUCUGCAAACGACCAAACAGCAACCUCAUUCAAUUUCGUUGGCUGGAGCUGGUUCUCUCUCACAAUCUCCUCCCACACACUUUCUUUACCUUUCAUAAUUUCCUCCAAUCUCACUCUCUCACAACCCUUUCCAUCUUCAAGCCCAUAAUCCUCAAUCUCAAACUGCUCAGCCAACACUUUCCUAAAAUCUUCCACUUAAAAACAUCUCCAUUGGUGCAGUUAAAAUCUUCGUUCCUUGCAUUUGAAUCCAGUGCCGCCCAAAUUUGCUGCUCCGCAAUCAACUCUGCGUCCGAAACUUGUUGGAAGCCUUCCCAAGUAUCUAUAGUGCCAUAAAAUAGUAAAGGAACGCCUUCGUGAUUACAAAUAGCAGCGUACACGCAAAGAGUGGCUAUAAUAUUCAUUAAACUAUAAUGGUGCGUUUACUUCAUGGAAUGAGAAUUGGGUGGAAUGGGGUGGAAUGGGAAUGAACUGGGAAUAGGAAUGGACAUUUUCAUUCCCAACCCUCCAUGGGAAUGAGAUUCUCAUUUCUUAUUCUCAAAUUGUGUGGGACCCAUAUAUUUUUUUCUCAUUCUCAAAUUACAUUUUACUAAGUAAACAUAGAUUUUAUUAUCAUUCUCCAUUUCAUGAAGUAAACACGCCAAAAGAUAAAAACCCAAAUAUUCCGAAAGUUCGGUGUACGGACCAAGUCGAGCCCUCUCUUUUGUCAACUUCUUCAAAUAAUAUAUCUUCUAGAGUAUAGUAAAAUAGUGAAAUGUUUAAACUUGGCAAAUCCUCAGUAAAAGGCGGAUCGUGAGACGGUAUUUUACCAAUAAACUCGAGUGGUCCCAUGUAAUAUUUGCCUCCGGUUUGGAGACAAAUGUGGCGGAGAUUUGGUGCGUUUGGGAUUACAGAACGGAGCACGUUAUGCAACAUGGCGCCGUUGAUCUGGCAAUUCUCAGCUUCAGUGCGACGACCGUCCCACGUCACGUAGAAGAUGUGGGUGACGUCAGUGAGUUUUGAGAGCUUGGCUUGUGUGUCCUCUUGGUCGGAAACAUCGCAUUGGAGGUAUUCAACGGGGUAAGCGGCGUUCCAGUUAGGCCUGGGGCGUCGGGCCACUCCGUAGACCUUCCACGGGCCGCCGGGGGUAUCUGGUCGGGGUAAAAUCUCAGCUAGGCUGUUGCCUACAAUUCCUGUCACACCUACUACAAGUCCCACGCUCUGGUAGUCACGAGUUUGCUCAUAUUCUUCCAAUUUGUUUCUGUACAAGUUAAAAUUAAACAAACAUCAUUUUAAAUAUCAACAUGCUAUAUGUACAUAAACUUAGAGUAGCUCUUUGCCUUAGCAGCGCCAAUAGCUCCUGCCCACCACCAGCUCAUUUUUUUUUUUGGUGAGUUUGGUUUCUGAUUCUAGCUAUACAUAGGAUACUCCUGUGCAAGAGUAGGCCACGGAUAUGCACGAUUUUUCUGCAUUUAUGUUGAUAAAUUUUAACAUGAUUAAGAAAUAAGUUAAAAUGACAUGACACUAUAAAUAUCUGUGUUGCAUCCGUGUUGAACUAUUUCAACACAAUUACGUCUUUAAUUAUGACAUGAAUGCUAAUUUUUCAGUUUAUUAUAUUUUAUAUUUUGGCUGAGUUAUUAUAUAUUAAUUAUUGCCCUAUAAUGAUUUAAAUUUAGAAUUGGUUUAUAUAAUUAAAUUUUCAUAUCUUGGAUUAGUUUGAGUUUUUAUGUCAUUUAUUUUUUUAAUCAAAUAAUUUAUUUUUAUUUUAUUUGUUAAAAGUUAAAUUAUGAUAGUAUUUCUAUUGAUAAUCAGGUUGUUAAUCGUGUAGUCAUAUCAUAAUCGUGUCAAAUAGUAAUAUGUGAUACUCAUCAUGUCAUGUCACCCAUUUAUGAAGUGGGUUGUAUCGUGUUUGAAUUUUUUGAUACAAUUAUUAAACAUGUAGGAUCUGUAUUUACUAAAAUUAACAUGAAACAAUUACAACACAACAAAAAUACGAUUCAGCUACACGAAUUGCCACUUUAGAAGGUAAUUAAGUGUUCAGUUCGAGUUAGAUUAUGUGAUCAAUACUGAAAGAUCGAAUAUGUUUAGGUGUGGUAAAAUGAGGCUCCAGAUAAGGUCCAAGCUUCGUACAUAUCAUUGUCAGACAAUUGGUGCUCGCAGAUUUAGAAGUUGUUACUCAUUUAAUGUGUUUCACUUCUAUAAGGGUCUAAUAUUGAGGCAUUUCGUUAUCGGAUGCUGUAAAACUUCAAAUUAACACAACAUGCAUAUGUGGUCCCAUUAUUGUGAAAAUGUCAAAAUUAUCCUCCAAUUACAAAUCUCAGUCAUUUAAUUUGCUCACAAGAACUUAGUACAAGUGCUUGUGAAACUUGAUAUACGAAUAAAUGAAUAUUUCCUUUCCUUAAUUUUAGGAAAUAGCUGAACUUGUUCUAUGAAUGAAUAGAAUAUUUUUUUCUCAUUGAUUAAUCCUUGUGAAUAUUUACGUGGGUUAUUUGAAUGAGCAAUUUUUUUUCUCUAUAAAUAUACCAUUAUGAAAACAUUUUGGCCCUUGUGUAAAAUAUGAAAAUCCUAGAAGAAAAAUGUGAAUAAAAUAAUUCUAACGUAAUUUAUACUCACCAAGAAGGUGAGAUAGAAAAAGAAAAAGCGUCUGAAGUUUCAAUUUUGUUAGUGGUUUGAUGAAUCUCUACUCUCACCUUGUUAGGUAAUUAAUAGUAAAACAAAUUAAUACUUAAAUGAUGAGAUAUGGAUAAACGAAUUUAUGAUUUAUGGUACAGAUGGGGUGAAAAAUGGUCUUUGUUGACACCAUUUUGGUGUUAGCAACAUGUUUUGCUGGCAUCGAGUUUUAUUAUAUGCAUAGCCCGAGUCAAUGUCACACUAAAAUUAGAAAACAGCAUCAGCAAUUUACGUUACUAUGGCAUAUAUGAAAACCAUUUUGACUCCACGACAUCACGUACAUAAUGAUUUUAGGGCGUGUUUGGUAUCCCGCACAACAUAGUAUUAAAACACUGUUUCGCAUUAACUUAAUACUAACUCAUGUUUGGCGUUAAAUUCAACUGGCGUGGUAUUGCAUUAACUUGGGAAACUAAUGCGGUCAGAUCCGCAUAAACCAAACCCGAGGGGGGGUUCGGGUUUACGCCGCAUCGUAUUAGAGCAAAUCAAGAAAAUAAAAUUGAGAAAAUUUUACAGCAUGUUCACGAUGAAAUUCAUAUCACCCAAUCUAGUACCACCAAAUCGACUUGGCAAUCAUCGCUCGACGCCAUCACCGACGCUUUUACACUGCCGCGCGACACCAUAGCCAUUGCUCCAUGAAGACACCUUCACUGUGGAGAAGAUAAAGCUCAGAGAAGAAGAAGAAAGAAGGAGAAAAAGAGGAAAAGAAAAAGGGAAAACAAAUUGAAGAAGACAAAGAAAAUAGAAGAAAAGGAGGAAAAAAGAAAAUGAAAUGAAGACGAAGAAAGAGAAAAAGAGAACAAAAAUGAACGAAGAACAAAAAGAUCUGGAGAAGACAAAGGUAGGAGAAAGAGUAAGCAGAUAAUGAUACAUUGAAAAGCAUUACCUAAAGAAAAAAAAAGGAGAGGGAGGAAAUUAAAAUAAAUAAAUAAAACGUUAAUAACUAUUAUUUUCUAAAUAUAUAUCAUUUAAAUUAAUUAAAAAAAAUUAAUACAGUGAAGUACCAAACACAAUAUAAUUAAAAAUUAUAAAUAUUAUUUUAUAAUUUAUAUAAUAUAAAUUAAUCACAAAAAAUUAAUACAGUACAGUGUAACACCAAACAUAGUAUAACUAAAAAUUAAUACAGUACAGUGCAACACCAAACAUUGUACAACAUUAUUAUAAUACAGUGCUAAUGCAAUACAACAUAAUACAAUACAGCAGUAUAAAAAUAAUGCAAUACAGCAUAAUACAAUACAGUGUGUCAAACGCACCCUACGGUAUCAAAGGAAUUCUGAUUUUAUGAUAUCAAUGGAUUGAUGAUUCCAUGGUAUCAAAGAAAUUAUAGUUCUGUGGCAUAAACAUUUAUUUGAGAAAAAUAAAAAAUAAUGCAAAACAGAAAUUACAAAUUUACAAUUGUAAUUUGAUUUUUAGUCUCCAUUGAACAAUAUGAAAGAGAAUUACAUUGUUUAUAUGUACUCAAAGUGCCAUAAACAUCCAACAAAAGAGAUACAUAGUCUUAUUUAAAAGUAUAAUCUAACAACAUUAACAAUUUAAUCAAUUAUGCUAAAGUUCAUAAAAUAAUCAAUGAAAAAAUCCAUAAACUUUCUUCAAAAUCUAACAGCAGCAACAUACUUGAGAAGUCAGCAGCAUCUUUAAUAACUAACAACCAAAUUUAACCAUCACAAGCAAAUCAACACAGCACAUUCCUGAGAAGUAAUAGAGGAAUAAAAAGGCAAUUAUACAUCAUCGUUCCCAGCAAAAGCCAUAGAAUAAAGGCAGCCAUAUAGUUCCCCAAAUAGAGUAACAUCAACCAAAACAAGACAAAACACAUCUCUUUUUAACAAUCUACAACUCUUCCUUGACAAAACCUAUCAAACUGAAAGAAAAAAAUAAUUUAAUGUGGAAAAUAGCACCACCUUUUUUAGAAGGUGGUGCCCACCACUUUUCCCUGUUUUGAAUGCGGUUGUUGCUGCAUUCUUUGAAUCAACAAAAAUAAAAAGAAGAAGGAUUUGGUGCCGACCAAAAAAAAAAAAGAGAGAAGAAAAAAGAGAUGCCGGGCCGAAGAAGGAAAAGAAAAAAAAAAUUAAAUAAUUGAUGAAUAGUGCCAAAACUUGCUCUAUAAAUAGAAACGAAGAGAAUGAGCAAAUUCAUUCCAUUGAGAGAGAAGCAUUUCUUUCUUUUAGAGUUGAGAGUAUUAAGAGUUUAAUAAACUCUUGAGUGAUUAGUGUUCUGAGAGUUUGAGUGGAUUGAGAUUUUGGGAAAUGAGCUAAAGUACUACAAUACUUGUAACUCCUUUUCACUAGUAAAAUAUUUCCUUCUGUUUUCGCCCGUGGACGUAGGCUAAAAGUCGAACCACGUAAUUUCUAGUGUCCAUUUUUGUGCUUGUUCUUUAUUUUUCUUCCAAUUUUACUUUAGCUGCGUGUCUGCUUCACCCAUCAAUUUCCUAACAGUGGUAUCAGAGCUAUUAGUUGUAUUUUUGGAGUUGGGUACUAUUCACGUAAGGGUACUAUUCACAUAUACGGUAUUGUUCACGUAUACGAUACUAUUCACGUAUAUGGUAUUGUUCACGUAUACGGUACUAUUCACGUGAAACGGUGGGAGCGAUUCAAGAAUUUGGCGGUACAAAAGAAGGGAAUAGUGGUGUAAGUAAAGCAACUGUGUGAUUUUGUACAUGUCUAGGAAAGUUCUGUCACAAAGGCGAUAAGAGCUUAAGGAGUUUGGGUUUUAAGUGAGACCAUUGUGACCCCUCCAAUCUUUCCUGGGAACUUUCCUGGUGUGCAUUCACACACAUACUCACAACUAUUCAAGGUGGUACACUAGCUUGUGUGCAGUAUUUAUCAACAAAAUGGCGGCAAAGUAUGAAAUUAAGAAAUUUAACAGAAACAAUUUUUCGUUGUGGAAAAUGAAGAUGAAAGCUGUAUUGAGGAAAAAUAAUUGUUUGGCAGCAAUUGGAGAAAGGCCCAUGGAGAUAACUAAUGACAAGUGGAACGAGGUAGAUGGUAACGUCAUUUCUGAUCUACACUUGACACUUACAGACGGAGUAUUAUCCAGUGUGGCAAAGAAAAAUACAGCGAAGGAAAUAUGAGAUACUCUCACAAAAUUGUACGAGGCCAAGUCACUACACAACAAAAUCUUCUUGAAGAGGAAACUUUAUACUCUUCGGAUGGCGGAAUCUACAAUGGUGACCGACCACAUCAACACCUUAAAGACUCUAUUUUCACAACUCACAAUGUUGGGUCAUAAUAUAGAGGAAAAUCAAAAUGCAGAGCUUCUACUUUAAAGUCUACCAGAUUCGUAUGAUCAACUCAUCAUCAACCUGAUGAACAACAAUCCAGUGGACAGUCUAGUUUUCGACGAUGUUGCAGCCUCCGUAUUAAAUGAGGAGAGCAGGCGGAAAAAUAAGGAAAACAAACAAGUAAGUUCGCAGCAAGCGGAGGCACUAUCGGUGACGAGAGGGAGAACAACGGAACGUAGCCUCAGUGGGAGUCAAAAUCACGGUAGAUCAAAAUCCAGAAGUAAGAAGAAUGUUAAAUGCUACAACUGUGGCAAGAAAGGGCACGUCAAGAAAGAGUGUUGGAGUAACCAGAAGAGAAGAGAGGGCAAAGAACCUGAGUCAUCAAAUGCUCAGGGUUGUGUAGCAAGUACCUCGGAUGAUGGCGAAAUUCUUUACAGCGAGGCAACAACUGUUUCAGAAGGCAGAAAAAUGACUAUCUGAUGUCUGGCUUAUAGACUUAGGAGCUACCUGGCACAUGACCUCUCGGAGAGAAUGGUUCCACACAUAUGAACCUAUCUCAGAAGGAUCUGUAUAUAUGGGUAAUGAUCAUGCCUUGGAGAUCGCUGGUAUUGGUACUAUCAAAAUAAAAAUAUUUGAUGGUACAAUUCGCACAAUUGGGGAAGUACGACAUGUCAACGACCUAAAGAAAAAUCUAUUGUCUUUGGGACAAAUGGAUAGUCAUGGGUACAAAACUCAUGUGGAGAAUGGAAUUAUGAAGAUCGUUAAAGGCGCGCUUGUAUUGAUGAAGGCAGAAAAGAUCGGUGCUAAUCUAUUCAUGCUUAAAGGAGAAACACUACAGGAGGCUGAUGCGUGUGUCGCAUCAAAUGGAGAAGAGUCAACGAUGAUGUGGCAUCUCAAACUUGGCCACAUGUCAGAACAAGGUUUGAAGAUUCUCUCUGAGCGAAAAUUGCUUCCGGGGCUCAAAUCGGUAAGUUUACCAUUUUGCGAGCAUUGUGUUACAAGUAAGCAGCAUAGAUUAAAAUUCAGUAGAUCUAUUGCUCGAAGUAAAUGCAUUCUAGACUUGAUUCAUUCUGAUGUUUAGGAAUCACCGGAUAUAUCCAUUGGAGGUGCAAAAUACAUGGUGACUUUCAUUGAUGAUUCUAGAAGAUGUUGGGUGUAUCCAAUUAAGAAAAGUCAUAUGUAUUUCCAAUAUUUAAAGAAUACAAAGCGCGAGUGGAACUUGAAUCUGGUAAAAAGAUCAAGUGCUUGAGGAUAGAUAAUGGUGGAGAGUAUACAGACGGCAAGUUUCUUGCUUUAUGUAAGCAAGAAGGUAUUUAGAGACAGUUUACGGUGGCAUACACUCCUCAACAAAAUGGAGUGGCAGAGCGGAUGAAUAGAACUCUUACAGAACCGAUAAGAGUUAUGUUGAGGACUGCUGGUUUACCCAAUUCAUUCUGGGCAGAAGCAGCCAAAACUGCCUGUUAUAUAGUAAAUCGAUCGCCAUCUACAGCUAUUGGGCUGAAGACAGCGAUGGAGAUGUGGAUUGGAAAGCCAGCUGAUUAUUCCUACCUACAUGCAUCUGGAUGUCUUGUGUACGUGGUGUACAAUGCCCAAGAAAGAACAAAGCUGGAUCCAAAAUCUAAAAGAUGUAUCUUCUUGGGAUAUGCUGAUGGAGUAAAGGGGUAUCGUCUGUGGGACCCCACUGCCCACAAGAUCGUCAUCAGCAGAGAUGUUAUCUUUAUAGAAGAUCAACUGCAAAGGAGAGAUGAAAAUGAUAACAGUGUAAAAGAAAAGUCAGAGACUAUACCGGUAUAUGUGGAAAAUAAUCCAGAAGAUUCAGAUUCUUCUGAAGCAACACCAGAGCACGAGGAACAAGAACCAGUUGAGUCCGAGGCUCCAGAAGUUCGUCGGUCAACUCGUGAGAGACGACCGCCAACGUGGCACUCGGAGUAUGUCACAGAGAUCAACGUUGCAUACUGUCUUCUAACAGAGGAUGGAGAGCCUUCAACUUUCUAUGAAGCUUUAAACAGCUCAGAUGUUGCUUUGUGGAUGACAGCAGUGCAGGAAGAAAUUGAAGCUCUACACAAGAGCAAGACAUGGGAACUUGUACCACUACCACACGGAAGAAAAGCCAUUGGAAACAAAUGGGUCUACAAGAUCAAGCGUAAUGGCAAUGACCAAGUGAAGCAGUUUCGUGCAAGAUUGGUAGUGAAAGGAUAUGCUCAGAAAGAAGGUAUUGACUUCAAUGAGAUAUUUUCGCCGGUGGUUUAACUCACAACAGUCAGAAUAGUCUUGGCAAUGUGUGCUACGUUUGCAGGUUGAACAAAUCUCUAUACGGUCUCAAACAGGUGCCGAGGUGUUGGUAUAAGAGAUUUGAUUCCUUCAUCAUGAGCCUUGGAUACAAUAAACUAAGUUCAGACCAUUGUGUUGAAAUGAAGGACUUGGGACCAGCAAACAAGAUUCUAGGGAUGCAAAUUCACCGAUACAGAAAUAACAGGAAUAUUUGGCUUUCUCAGAAGAACUACUUGAAGAAAAUCUUGCGACGCUUCAACAUGCAAGAUUGUAAGUCAAUUUCUACCCCACUUCCUGUUAAUUUCAAAUUAUCCUCAAGUAUGUGUCCUAGCAAUGAAGUGGAGAUGAAGGAGUUGUCUCAAGUACCGUAUGCAUCAGUAGUGGGAAGUUUGAUGUUCGCUAUGAUAUGUACAAGACCAGACAUUGCACAAGCAGUGGGAGCAAUCAGUCGAUACAUGGCGAAUCCUGGUGGAGAGCAUUGGAUAGUUGUGAAGAGGAUUCUGAGAUAUAUCAGAGGAACCUCAGAUAUUGCAUUAUAUUAUGGAGGAUCAGAGUUUACUGUCAGGGGCUAUGUGGAUUCAGAUUUUGCAGGAGACCUUGAUAAAAGGAAAUCCACUACUGGUUAUGUGUUUACACUUGCGGGAGCAGCUGUAAGCUGGGUUUCGAAACUGCAGAAUGUUGUGGCUUUAUCUACAAUAGAAGCAGAAUACAUGGCAGCUACACAAGCUUGCAAGGAAGCUAUUUGGAUACAAAGAUUAUUGGAGGAGCUCGGGCACAAACAAAAGAAAAUUUUUGUGUUUUGUGAUAGUCAUAGUGCCUUGCACAUUGCAAGGAAUCCAGCUUUUCAUUCCAGGACAAAGCACAUAGGAGUUCAGUAUCACUUCGUUCGAGAAGUAGUGGAAGACGGAAGUGUGGAUUUACAGAAAAUCCAUACCAAGGAGAACCUAGCAGAUGUUUUGACUAAGCUGAUCAAUGUUGACAAGUUUAUCUGGAGUAGAUCCUCUUGUGGCCUAGCAGAAACGUAGGCAGCAUGAUUAUGGCGAAGCAGAAAGGAUGGUGUAGAGAUUGAUUGUUUUUCAAUCUAAUCUCCAAGUGGGAGAAUGUGGAAAAUAGCACCACCUUUCCUAGAAGGUGGUGCCCACCACUUUUCCCUGUUUUGAAUGCGGUUGUUGCACUCUUUGAAUCAACAAAAACAAAAAGAAGAAGGAUUUGGUGCCGACCAAAGAAAAAAAAAAGAGAGAAGAAAAAAGAGAUGCCGGGCCGAAGAAGGAAAAGAAAAAAAUAAUAAUUAAAUAAUUGAUGAAUAGUGCCAAAACUUGCUCUAUAAAUAGAAACGAAGAGAAUGAGCAAAUUCAUUCCAUUGAGAGAGAAGCAUUUCUUUCUUUUAGAGUUGAGAGUAUUAAGAGUUUAAUAAACUCUUGAGUGAUUAGUGUUCUGAGAGUUUGGGUGUAUUGGGAUUUUGGGAAAUGAGCUAAAAUACUACAAUACUUGUAACUCCUUUUCACUAGUAAAAUGUUUCCUUCUGUUUUCGCCCGUGGACAUAGGCUAAAAGCCGAACCACAUAAUUUUUAGUGUCCAUUUUUGUGCUUGUUCUUUAUUUUUCUUCCAAUUUUACUUUAGCUGCGUGUCUGCUUCACCUAUCAAUUUCCUAACAUUUAAAACAAUGCUUAAAAACAAAUUAUCAUAUUCAUAUAAAACUAGUUUUGGCUCUUUAAACCAUUAAACAUGAGCUUCCUGAAUAGCAAAGCAUAUCAGUAAAACUAUAAAAAAAGAAAAAGAAAAAUUAAAACACUUGGAGUAGAAUAAAGUACAUCAGUGGCCUUAUCUAACAACUAGUUAGUACACUUGCGGAAUAAAUGGUUGGUAAAGUCGAAGAGUUUAUGAAGUAUAACAAACAAGUACGUUUAUCAAAUUUAGAGAUGAUUUAAAAUUUAAUAUUGUUUAUCUCAACUUCCCUGAAUGUCUGGGUACUCAUAUGAAUAAUUUAAAAUAAAUCAAGCACUAGAGACAAACUUUAAUGUUGUCAUCAAUGGUGCACUUUCCUUUGUAAGCAUACGUUGACAUUUUAAAGCAAAAUAUUCUGAUCCAUCCGUAAUGUAUAAGAGCUUUGCCAUUUGAAUAUACGACAUUGCAAUUUUAACAUGUAAUUUAGCAGAUAAUAGUCACGUAUGGACCUGUCCUAAUAUCCAAAUAAGAUUGAAAAACUAAAUUGUAGAUCAAACACAUAAAAGUUGAUCAUCUAUCCUUUCAAUAUUUAUUUUUAAUAAAAUCAACUUCCAACUUGUAGGCUUGAAUAAAACAAGUGAUAACCUGAAUUCCCAAAAGAGAGAGUUAGGCAAUUGUACAUUAUUUAUGCCUUGGAGUCUUUUUGUUAAACACAUGAUGUGUUAACAUGAAAUGAACACCUUAAUCAUUUCAAACAACCAAAUUAAGUACAUGAUGGCUCUAGUGGAAAAGGUACAGAAUGCGAAAUUACAAAAUGUAAUUAUAACAUUAUUGAAAAAUUUUAGUGAGUCAACAAUUGAAAGUAUAUUGAUCAAAUUGUAAUAGAACAUAAAUUCAUAUAAGUAAACAACAAGUAAAAGUUAGUAAACAGGCUGCAGUAAAUCGUUGGAGCAGCAAUAAAAUAAACAAUAGAAAAGAAAAUGAAAAACAUAAAGUUUAGAAAAAUCCCGAGGCCUGUUAAACAACAGUCUCCUUAAAACAGAUUUACCACUAUUACGGUGCUUUUAGGUUUAUUGGUAUCUGUUUCUCAGGAUACAACGGGAACAAAUUAUUCGUCAAGCACGCACAAAUAAUUUUGGCAAACAGUAACAAUGCAGAAUCUCGAUCAAAACAGAACGUCAGAGGAGGAAAAUUUUUUUUUUCAAGUGCUCUGUGUGUUUGUUGUGUAUAAAAGAGAAAAUGAAGACUCGCUUUUAUAUACAUGAGGGUAUGUAAUUGUUGAAUAAUAAAAUUGAAUAUUUGAAUUUAAUAUUUGAUUUAAUUUGCUUCUGUAACAGCCCAUUUGAAUUAAAAAUAUUCAAUUUUGUAACAGUUCAAAAUUUAUUCACAAAUCAAAACUGCUUUUGAUUUUUAAUUGUGCAAAACUGUUACAAAAUUUAAAAGGAAAGGAAAUAAAAAAACGUGGCCAUGCAGGCCUGGAUGAUUUUGGGCCGACAUUUGUGUAUGCAGGACGUGUGGACAUACACGAGUUCAACCAAAUUGGGCUUGGAUUUGCACCCCCCUGCACACGCGCGAACGGAGAGAGUCUCUAUCUUUAAAAUUCUUACUCAUGUAUGGAUGAUUAUCUAUAUAUAAACACAAAUCAUUUAGCUUAUUUUUCCCUCAUGGGAUAAGUUUCCAUUUCCUUUCAAAUUUCCAACUACAAAAGUGCACUUUGAGAGUCAAUUUCUCAUUCACCUAAGCAUCAUUUUUAGUAUAUAAAUAUACCAUUUCGAAGUGUUCACAGAGUAGAAUCCGAACCUCUCCAGAUUUUCAACUUUCGCUAAGUGGGUCCCACUCAAAAUGUGCCCUUAAAAUAGCUUCCUAAUAUGUUAUUUUUUCAACAAUCCCCCACAUGAAUGAAAAUUGGCAGUAAAACAAAAAACCGCUAAAUUUGACAUCAAAACCACUUUUGACCUUAAUGAUUGAUAACUCUAUGAAAUGAGAGUUAUUAUGGCAAUUUUAGACUUAAAUCAAGAUCACUUAGAGAGUAAAUGAUGUGUUUUUAUUGCAUUUUUGUUACAUUUUGCAUAAACAUUCAUUUUAGUUUAGUCUUAAUAAGUUUUGCUUGAUUUAAAGUAAUUCGUGCUCAAAUUGUGUGCAUAAUUGUAGGUUUCAGAAGCUUAUAAUUCAUGGAAGGAAUGUCGAUGCAAUAGGUUGGCAAAAAGGAGGAAGAACAUGACUAUAAAAGAAUUGAAACAAAUCUGGAACAGUACAGUUGUUGUAGCAACCAUUGCUGUAGCCGUUGUUGUAGCAAUCCUGGAACAACGACAGAGAAAAUUCCACGCGGGAUACUUGCAGAAUUGCGAUCUGCAGUUUCCUAAUCUGACUUAUGCGCACCUUAGGCUUCCGUUUACGUUUAUUGACUGAAUAUAUGUGUUGCUGCAUGUUUGCUGUAGCAGUUUGUUUUGAUAGUAUUUAUUUUUAUUCGUUAUUUCGGUUGAUCACCCAUUUAAUGAUACAAGUUAUGAGAGAGCCGCAAAAAGGCCUAUCUUAGUGUACAUAGGGAUUCACCUUGUAGGGUAAAUAGAACCUAAGCGUGUAAUGCUAUGUCUUAUGUUGGCAUAGCAACUGAUCAUUGUUAGGUUGCAUAUAGAUAUAAGAUAUCCAACAUGCGACGGCUAAGGAUACAUAAGAAUUCUGCCUAAAAUGUUGUAGCAACCGAAUCAAACAUUAGAAAAAUAGUCAAGACCAUUAAGAAAGUUUAUUCACUCAACUACUUUAUAAUCCCAUUGAUUUUAUCCUUGAGAUUGAAGUGAUAAUUUACUUUGUUGCAUUUUAUUUAUUGCGUUUUUAUUUUAAUUAGUAUAUUAGUUUCAUCAAUUGUUUAUCUUAAUUUAGACACAAAAUCUGCACUGUUACGAUUGCUGUAGCAAAUCUGAUAACAUUAAUCCCUGUGGAGACGAUCUUGAAUACUCAUCACUUUAUUACUUGUUGUGUACACUUGCACAUUGACACCAAUAGCAUUAGUAUUUAUACACCAACAAUGAUCGAGUUCACUGAAUCGAAAUCUUGCAUAGGAUAGGUAGGUCUCAUCCUUUGAACCUUCCCUUGUGAUAGUAUAUUUACUUUACUAGCUAAUCAGUAGAUGCGAUGUCUUUGAACUGUUAUGCCGUUUGUGUAAACGAUGAUAUACUACACACGGAUAUCGCUCUUAACAUUGUUGAGUUCUAAUGGUUAUGUUCGUUUUGGCCUUGAACAUCUACCUAGUUCUACAAGAGUUUCUAAGAAUUGAACCCUUAUCAGUUCCUUUUUAAGCGACCCUACUUCUCUCUCACAUAUCUUAAUUAAGAGUAACCCGCAUUACUCCAUUUGGAUUUCUGACGUAUAAGAAUCAUUAAGAGCCUAGCUUAACCUUUCCCAUGCGAGCAUCAUUGUUUCAUCGUAGAAAUGGUCAAAGAGGUAACCCUCACAAGAAUAUGACCCCCACAGUGAUCCAACUUUAGUCUUUAAUAAUUAGGUUGUCCUUUGAACCUAGAUCUUGGGAUCUCCAGUCAACUAAGUUGCGUAUUCCUUCGUUAUUGACUUAUCAUUCUAAGGGUUUUAGUCCCAUUCCCCUCAAGGAUUUUUCUACUAGCUCUUGUUUUAAUCCUUUGGUUAGUGGAUCCGCGAUGUUAUCCUUUGACCUUCCAUAGUCAAUAGCAAUAACUCCAGUAGAAAUAAGUUGUUUAAUGGUAUUAUGUCUACGACGUAUGUGUCUAGACUUACCAUUAUACAUGUUGCUUUGUGCCUUACUAAUAGUUGAUUGACUAUCGCAAUUAAUACAAAUUGUAGGCACAUGCUUUGGCCACUUUGGAAUACCCUCUAAAACAUUUUGUAGCCAUUAUGCUUCUCACCAUAUUUAUCUAAUGUAAUAAAUUCAUAUUCCAUUGUAGAUCUGGCAAUUAUUAUCUGUUUAGAAGACCUCCACGAUACAACUGCACUUGCUAGUGUAAACACAUACCUACUAGUGGGUUUUGAGUCUUUUAUAUAUGAGAUCUAGUUAGCAUCACUAUACCUAUCUAAUAUGCUGGAUACCUAGUAUAAUGAAGUCCAUAGUUAUGAGUGUAUCGAAGAUACCUGAGUACUCUUAUGAUAACUUUUCAAUUAUCAGCUCCUAGAUUACUCGUAUAUCUGCUAAGUUUACUUAUUGUAUAGGCUAAGUCUAGUCUAGUACAGUUGUUGGUGUAUAAAUACUAAUACUAUUGGUGUCAAUGUGCAAGUGUACACAACAAGUAAUAAAGUGAUGAGUAUUCAAGAUCGAUGCCACAGGGAUUGAUGUUAUCAGAUUUGCUACAACAAUCUUAACAGUGUAGAUUUUGUGCUAAAAUAAAAUAAACAAUUAAUGAAACUAAUUUACUAAUUAAAAUAAAAACACAAUAAAUAAAAUGCAACAAAGUAAAUUAUCACGUCAAUCUCAAGGAUAAAACAAUGAGAAUAUAGAGUAGAUAUCUAUAUGCAACCUAACAGUGAUCAGUUGCUAUGCCAACAUAAGAUAUAGCAUUACAUGCUUAGGUUCUAUUUACCCUACAAGGUGAAUCCUUAUGUCUAGUUCAUCACUAAUCUUAAAUCAAGCAUGGCCUUUUUGGGACUCAAGUAAAACUCAAUCCGGGAAACUCAAUUUAAGAUCAAGUAUUGCUUUGAUAUGUUCCACUAAGAUAUGCCCUUUUGCGGCUCUCCCCUAACUUGUAUAAUUAAAUAGGUGAUCAACCGAAAUAAUGAAUAAAAAUAAAUGCUAUCACCGUACAGCAGUGAGCUCCCAAUUGGUUUAUGCAAAUUCUCCUCUUGUGCAGCCCUUAAUCUCUCUCUUUAAUCUUGUUUUUCUUUUGUUUCUUUGUGUUUUUUUCCUUGGGUGACGGCCCCCUUUUUUCCUUAUGAUGUGUGCUUCUUUCAUAGUUGAAAAUUAGGGAAAACGGAACCCUAGGGCGCGCAUAAGUCAGAUUAGGAAACUGCAGAUCGCAAUUCUGCAGUUAUCCCGCAUAGAAUUAUCUUUGUCGUUGUUCCAAGAUUGCUCCAGCAAUGGUUGCUACAGCAACUGCACUGUUCCAGAUUUGUUUCAACUCUUUUGUAGCCAUGUUCUUCCGCCUUUUUGCCAGCCUAUUGCAUCAACAUUCCUUCCAUGAAUUAUAAGCUUCUGGAAACCUACAAUUAUGCACAAUUUGAGCACGGACUAAACUAAAAUGAAUGUUUAUGUCAAAUGUAACAAAAAUGCAAUAAAAACACAUCAUUUACUCUCUAAGUGAUCUUGAUUUAAGUCUAGAAUUGCCAUAAUAACUCUCAUUUCAUAGAGUUAUCACACCCCCAAACUUAAAUCGUUACUUGUCCUCAAGUAAUGACAACAACACUCACUCUGUAAUCACACAAUCAUGCAACAAAUAACUUAACUAUGUCAUCAAAUUUGCAAGGAUUCUUCCACCCUCAAAUCACACUCUUAAUCAUACAAAAUUGCCAUAGUAGUUCAGUUCUAGACGUAGGCUUCAUUCUGUCCAAAGUGUGUAUGUGCCACUUUGAUCAAAUUCUAGAGGUGCUACAACAUGGCACAAACUUUGUAUACAAUUCAGAGGUAGAACACAAAUAUAUUCACAUAUGGGGGAGCAGAACUCACAAUUAUAUUCAAACUGUGCUACAACAAUAAUAAUUUUUUUUUUCAGUUAAACCCUUCAAUGCAACAUUAAGCUUUCAUGUGAAUGCCUAUCACUUGUAAUGACGACACCCAAUUACUCAUUCAAAGUACAUGUCAGAGUUGCUACAGCAACGCAUUCAGGAUGUUAUAUUUAGGUCAUACCUGUGGACACCUUUGACUCAAGGCUGAAUAUGGGGCUCAUGAACAGACCAAGUUACUCAGUAUUCUAGGUAGCAGACCUCUUUAUAAUCAUUUUUUUUCUUUUCUUCUUUUUUUUUUAUAAUUGCUGCAGCACUGCCCGUAGCUCAUGUUGCCUUUAGACUCAAGUUUGCAUAUGGGGUGCAUACUCAACCCUGGUUACUCAGCAACUUAAACUAUUGGAGCAGAAUUUAUUUCAUAACAGGCACAGUCCAACAAAAAUUUUUCCCCAAACUUGAGAUAUUUUAUACUCUUUUUUUUUUCUGGCUCUGCUACAGCAUUCUCAUAAAACUCAACCAAAGUCUAAGUGUCGGGACAGAAGUUCAACCUUCAUCUAUAACUAUUUUUACUUGGCUUUCUCAUAAAUACUGAAUAACACUCAAUUUAUCUUCAUUAGGUUUUCAAAUCCAUACACAAAUAUUAGAUAACAGAGCUUUACACAACACAAGCAUAAACAUAUGCACUCAGAAACACAACCCCCCCAAACUUGAGUGGUGUUGUGUCCUCACAAGCACACAAAAUAAAACCACAUAAACUAGACAUGCAUACACUAAAUAAAAGGACAUGCAGAAUGAAUUAGAAAAUUAAAACUAAAUGAAAGAAAAUUUUUGCAGCAAGAAGUAAAAUAAACUAGCGGUUAGGGGUACUGCUAUGUUGCUAGAAGCACUGUUGCAGCACAGGCCAUAAAGGGGUCACUUCUUCUUUGAUCCACUUCUCAAACACUCAUCAUAAAAUUUGAUCAAUCUAUUUGCUGCUGGAAAAGCAAGAAAUGCCUCUGUUGUUUGAGAAUCUUCUGUUAUAUGUCAUGUUGUAAGUGAUGCUGCAGCAAUUCCUUCAUGUUCUUUUUGCCCACAUUUUUUUCUUACUGUAAUUUAAUACAAAAACAUAAAAAAAAAAAAUUAGAUGCACACUUAAAAUAACAAAAAGACAAACUAAAUAAUUUAAAAGCUAAAUUCAUGCCUUAAAAACUUGAAACAACUUCCCUUAUUGGGUUGCCUCCCAAUUAGUGCUUGAUUUUAGGUCUUUCAGCCUGACUUUUCUUGUUUGCUCAACCUGGAUCAUUCAAGAACAUAUCCGUCUUUAGGCUGUUCACAUCAUCUCUCAUACAGUGCUUCAUUUUCGACCCAUUAACCUUGAAUUCUUGUUGGUAUGGGGUGAGUUCCCUUUGUUGGAUUUGCUCGUCAAUUCUGAAGGGUUGCUUCUCUCCUGACCAUGUUAUGUUAGCUGCUUCAUGAUCUUCACCAUCAAGUUCUUCCAAUGUUACAGCAUUGAUUGCUUCCUCACUGCAGCAACUGUGUAAUUUCUCUGCUACAACAAAGUCCACAACACUGAUAAAAUUACAAUCUUCAAUCUCAUCGGAACUCUUCAUGGCAUCCAGCACAUUGAAUUUAACUUGCUGGUUAUUCACCCUCAUGGUUAAUUCUCCUUUUUGAACAUUAAUUAAAGUCUUUCCCGUGGCUAAGAAAGGUCUCCCUAGAAUGAUUGGCACUUCUUUGUCUGCCUCAAAGUCUAGCACAAUAAAAUCUACUGGAAAAAUAAAUUUAUCCACCUUCACCAACACAUCUUCAAUCUUACCUUCUGGAUAUACAUGAGAUCUGUCAGCAAGUUGUAAAGUCAUUGUUGUUGGUCUACAUUCACCAACUCCCAAUUGCUUAAACACUGAUAAAGACAUGAGAUUGAUGCUAGCCCCUAAAUCACAAAGUGUUUUGCCACUGUAUUUAGUGCCUAGGGAGCAUGGGAUUAUGAAGCUUCCUGGAUCCUUCAUCUUCUGCGGUAUCUUACUCUGAAGCAUUCGGCUACACUCUCGUGUUAGAGCAACUGUCUCAAAUUCUCCAAGUCUUUUUUUCUUUGUCAAGAUAUCUUUCAAAAAUUUCACAUAAUUUGGCAUUUGCUCUAGAGCUUCCACAAAAGGAAUAUUGAUAUGUAGUUGUUUCAGCACUCCUAAGAUUUUGUUGAACUGCUUAUCUUGUUGCUGCUUCUGAAAUCUUUGAGGGAAGGGUGGUGGGUGUCUAAACUACUGUGCUGCAGCAGGUUGUGCAGGCUACUUCUCUUUUGCUUUACUCGGUUCUGUUGAUGUUAAUGUUGUAACUGCCUCACCGCUAAGUGUUGGAUCAUAACUUUCUGCAAAUGUUGUAGUAGAACUGUGUCGAUUUACAUUUUGAAAAGUGAAAAAUUAUGACUCCUUCUCUACUUGAGUGUCUUCUUUACCUUUGUUGGAAUCAAUUCUCCUUUUUAGUACACCAAUUGAACUAUCAAUAUCUUUUCCAGAUCUCAAGUUAAUCACUUUGCAGUGCUCUUUCCCUUCUCUUCUUGGGUCUUCUGUGUUGCUGGGUAAACUGCCUUGAGGUCUGUUGCUUAAUGCUACAGCAAGCUGUCCAAUUUGAUUUUCCAAGUUUCUCAAAGAUACAGUAUGACUUUGGACAACUGCUUCAUUCUUCACAAUAUAAUCCUUAAUCAAACCUUCAAGGGAGCUGAGUUGAUCAUUGUUGAUGCUUCUUUGCUCUUGAUUUUACUGAUAAAAUCCACUAGGUUGAGCAAGUCUGUUCUGUCCACUGAAUGUUGUAGCAGGUUGAUUCUGAUUACUCCAUGAAAAGUUCAGGUGCUGUCUCCAUCCAGGGUUGUAAGUGUUUGAAUAUGGAUUGUCCUGGUUCUGUCUAUUGAAGCUGCCACAUAAUUGACUGAAAUUGGAUUCCCAGGACAAUUGUCGAAUAAAUGCCCUUCUCCACAAUAAACGCAAGACACAUCAGAAAUUUGGUUAACAGUUGCUGGAGCAAUACUCAUAGCCUUUACCAGCUUUGUUAAUGAAGCUACUUGGGCUGACAAUGCUGUCAAGGCAUCUACUUUAUGAACUCUUGUUGUUCCUCUUGCUGCAGCUUGUCUGGUUGAUGGCCACUGAUAGUUAUUGUUGGAUAUCCUCUCCAAAAUUUCAUAAGCCUCAUUGUAAGACUUAGAUAACAAGGCCCCAUUUGCUGAAGCAUCCACCAUCAAUCUAGUGCUUUGGUUGAGACCAUUAUAGAAAGUUUCCAACUGUAUGCAGCAAGGAAUACCAUGAUGAGGACAUCUCCUGAGUAACUCCUUAAAUCUCUCCCAUGCAUCACACAAGCUCUCAUCUUCAAGUUGAUGGAAAGAUGUGAUCUCGUUCCUCAACUUUGCAUUCUUGGUUGGCGGGAAGUAUUGCAUCAAAAAUUUAUCAGCCAAAUCAUUCUAUGUAGUGAUAGAAUCUAGUGGUAGAGAAUUCAACCAUGCUCUUGCUCGAUCUCUCAAAGAAAACGGGAAAAGUUUGAGUCUCAAUGCUUCCUGCGAUGCUCCAGCAAUCUUGAAAGCAUCACUCACUUCCAAAAAUAACUUAAGGUGUAGAUGAGGAUCUUCGGAUGGCAAACCAUUAGUCUAACUAUUCCCGGAUGUAUGGCGAAACAUCACGGGUUUGAGUUCAAAAUUGUCAGCUUGAACGUCGGGUCUAACUAUUCCCGGAUGUAUGGCUUGAGGAGUCAACACUACGUAGUCUCGAAUGGCUCUAUCUCUAUCGUUCGCCAUGUGAAUAAUGUUGUUGUUCCCUGGUUGCCUUUGAACACAUUGAUCAUUCAGACUUUCAUGUACAUUGACUGGUUGUAUCCCCUCUCAACGGUUCAAGUUUCUCAAAUCUUACAAAUCAUCAAUUGCUACAGCAGCUUGUAAUUCCCGAUGCUCUCUUCUCAAUCUCCUUGCAGUUCUUUCAAUUUCUGGAUCAAACUGGAAGUCAAUAGAUUUAUAUUUGCGCAUGUAAGGGUUGCUAGAUCACCUAUGUCAAUAAAAUAAACAAAUUAAAAUAAAAUAAAAAAUUAGCACCGUUAAAACUAAUUUCACAAAUCACAAUGAACAAUCAAUCCCCGGCAACGGCGCCAAAAACUUGUUGGUGUAUAAAUACUAAUGUUAUUGGUGUCAAUGUGCAAGUGUACACAACAAGUAAUAAAGUUAUGAGUAUUCAAGAACGUCUCCACAGGGAUUGAUGUUAUCAAAUUUGCUACAGCAAUCUUAACAGUGUAGAUUUUGUGCUAAAAUAAAAUAAACAAUUGAUGAAACUAAUUUACUAAUUAAAAUAAAAACACAAUAAAUAAAAUGCAACAAAGUAGAUUAUCACAUCAAACUUAAGGAUAAAAAUAAUGAGAAUAUAGAGUAGUUGAGUGAAUAAACUCUCUUAAUGGUCUUGACUAUUUUCUAAUAGUUAGCUCGGUUGCUACAGUAUUUGCUACAGCACUUGGCAGAUUCCUUAUGUAUCCUCAGCCGUCGCAUGUUGGAUAUUUUAUAUCUAUAUGCAACCUAACAGUGAUCAGUUGCUAUGCCAACAUAAGAUAUAGCAUUACACGCUUAGGUUCUAUAUACCCUAUAAGGUAAAUCCUUAUGUCUAGUUCAUCACUAAUCUUAAAUCAAGCAUGGCCCUUUGGGACUCAAGUAAAACUCAAUUCGGAAAACUCAAUUAAAGAUCAAGUAUUGUUAUGAUAUGUUCCACUAAGAUAAGCCCUUUUGCGGCUCUCUCCUAACUUGUAUCAUUAAAUGGGUGAUCAACCGAAAUAAUGAAUAAAAGAAAAUACUAUAAAAACAAACUGCUACAGCAAACAUGCAGCAACACAUAUAUUCAGUCAAUAAACCAUCAAGAUUGUUUAUCACUCAACUACAAAUAAAUUUAGUUCAUGGUUUGUAAAAGAAAAAUAAAGAACAAAGUUUCAGCCAUGAAACACAUCCCCAUAAAUAAAUAGAAAACGAGAAAGCAAGAGAAGAAUAAGAAUGAUUGAGCUCCCAAUUGAUUUCUGCAAAUUCUCCUCUUGUGCAGCCCUUAAUCUCUCUCUUGAAUCUUGUUUUUCUUUUGUUUCUUUGUGUUUUUUUCCUUGGGUGACGGCCUCCUUUUUUCGUUAUGAUGUGUGCUUCUUUUAUAGUUGAAAAUUAUGAAAAACAGAACCCUAGGGCGCGCAUAAGUCAAAUUAGGAAACUGCAGAUUGCAAUUCUGCAGUUAUCCCGCACAGAAUUAUCUCUGUCAACACAAUUUGAGCACGAAUUACUUUAAAUCAAGUAAAACUUAUUAAGACUAAACUAAAAUGAAUGUUUAUGCAAAAUGUAACAAAAAUGCAAUAAAAACACAUCAUUUACUCUCUGAGUGAUCUUGAUUUAAGUCUAGAAUUGGCAUAAUAACUCUCAUUUCAUAGAGUUAUCAACAGUUUGUCAAGUACAUUAGGCUGCCUAUCACUCUAGCGUAUUCUACUUUAGAAAUUCCCUCUCCACUAUUUAUAGAUAGAUGUAAACUCGUAUCUAUAACACAAUAGUAUCAUCUUUAUUAACUUUUCUAAGAAUUUUAUCUACAUGAUGAGUUUGGCUUAAAAAAUGUCCAUUAGAAGCCCUUAAGAUUUUAAUCCCCAGAAUGACAUCUGCAAGACUGAUAACUCUAUGAAAUGAGAGUUAUUAUGGCAAUUUUAGACUUAAAUCAAGAUCACUUAGAGAGUAAAUGAUGUGGUUUUAUUGUAUUUUUGUUACAUUUUUCAUAAACAUUCAUUUUAGUUUAGUCUUAAUAAGUUUUACUUGAUUUAAAGUAAUUCGUGCUCAAAUUGUGUGCAUAAUUAUAGGUUUCCAGAAGCUUAUAAUUCAUGAAAGGAAUGCUGAUGCAAUAGGCUGGCAAAAAAGAGGAAGAACAUGUCUAUAAAAGAAUUGAAACAAAUCUGGAACAGUGCAUUUGCUGUAGCCGUUGUUGUAGCCGUUGCUGUAGCAAUCAUUGCUGUAGCAAUCCUGGAACAACGAUAGAGAAAAUUCUGUGCGUGAUACUUGCAGAAUCGCGAUCUGCAGUUUCCUAAUCUGACUUAUGCGCGCCCUAAGCUUCCGUUUACCCUAAUUUUCAACUAUAAAAGAAGCACACAUCAUAAGGAAAAGGGAGAGUCGUCACCCAAGGAGAAAAACACAAAGAAACAAAAGAAAAACAAGAUUCAAGUGAGAAAUUAAAGGCUACACAAGAGGAAAAAUUGCAAAGAUCAAUUGGGAGCUCAAUCCUUCUUAUUCUUCUCUUAUUUUCUCGUUUUCUAUUUAUUUAUGGGGAUGUGUUUCAUGGCUGAAACUUUGUUCUUUAUUUUUCUUUUGCAAACCAUUAUCUAAAUUUAUUUGUGGUUGAGUGAUAAACAAUCUUGAUGGUUUAUUGACUGAAUAUAUGUGUUGCUGCAUGUUUGUUGUACCAGUUUGUUUUGAUAGUAUUUAUUUUUAUUCAUUAUUUCAGUUGAUCACCCAUUUAAUGAUACAAGUUAGGAGAGAGCCGCAAAAGGGCCUAUCUUAGUGGAACAUAUCAAAGCAAUACUUGAUCUUAAAUUGAGUUUCCCGGAUUGAGUUUUACUUGAGUCUCAAAAGGGCCAUGCUUAAUUUAAAAUUAGUAAUGAACUAGACAUAGGGAUUCACCUUGUAGGGUAAAUAGAACCUAAGCGUGUAAUGUUAUAUCUUAUAUUGGCAUAACAAUUUAUCACUGUUAGGUUCCAUAUAGAUAUAAGAUAUCAAACAUGCGACGGCUAAGGAUGCAUAAAGAUUCUGCCUAGUGUUGUAUCAGAUACUGCAGCAACCGAGCCAACCAUUAGAAAAUAGUCAAGACCAUUAGGAGAGUUUAUUCACUCAACUACUUUAUAUUCUCAUUGAUUUUAUCCUUGAGAUUGACGUGAUAAUUUACUUUGUUGCAUUUUAUUUAUUAUGUUUUUAUUUUAAUUAGUAUAUUAGUUUCAUUAAUUGUUUUAUUUUAUUUUAGCACAAAAUCUGUACUAUUAAGAUUACUGUAGUAAAUCUGAUAACAUCAAUCCCUGUGGAGACGAUCUUGAAUACUCAUCACUUUAUUACUUGUUGUGUACACUUGCACAUUAACACCAAUAGCAUUAGUAUUUAUACCCAACAAAGACCCAUGUCUUUCAUGUCAAACUUAGACUUCAACAUAUUCUUGGUAGAUUUAAUCAUGUCAUCAUCACUCCCAACAAUGAGCAUGUUAUCACUCCCAACAAUGAGCAUGUUAUCAACAUAUAAAUAUAAAAUGACAUAGCCAUUUUUUGUUUCUUUGACAUAAACACAUUUGUCACAUCCGUUGAUCUUAAAGCCACUUGUGAUCAUUAUACGAUCAAAUUUUUCAUGCCAUUAUUUUGGUGCUUAUUUCAAGCCAUAUAACGACUUUACCAAUUUGCAGACUUUCUUUUCUUGUCCUGGAGCUAUAAAACCUUCAGGCUACUCCAUGUAGAUUUCUUUAUCUAAAUAUUUAUUUAGAAAAGCUAUCUUUACAUACAUUUGAUGUAUUUCAAGAUUACGCAAAGCUGCAAUCGCUAUUAUCAUCUGAAUGGAAUUUAUGCUCGUAACAGGAGAAUAAGUAUCAAAAUAAUCAAGGCCUUCUCAUUGCCUAUAACCUUUAAUUACAAGUCUAGUCUUGUACUUGAUCCAUCGGCUUUCAUUUUCCUUUUAAAAAUCCAUUUAUACCCUAAAGGUUUACAUCCUGGAGGAGGGUCGACUAGCUCCCAGGUAUACCACAAAGUGCCUUCAGGUGAAGUUAUAGCUUCUUUGAAGCUUUGAGGUUCACUUUCUAACAAAAACGUCAUAAAGUCUAGACCAAAAGACUUUUCUAUUCGAGCUCUUUUGCUACAUCUAACCCCAAAUUCUUGUUCUUCUUCUUGAACUUCUUAUUCUUGAGCUUCAUUAUUUUCAUCAUUUUGACUGUUUUCAAUGGUAGUUUCAUGAAAUUGUCGUAGUUUUCUCGAUUCCAUAACUCUAGAAUUACAAAGAAACAUAUGUUUGAAAAACGAUGCAUUUCUUGAUUCUAUUAACGUAUUUUUGUGGACAUCUAGAACUUUAGACUUAUGCACAAGAAAUUGAUAAGCACUACUAUUAUGUGCAUAAUCGAUGAAAAUGCAAUCGAUAGUUUUUUGUCCUAUUUUUACCUUCCUAUGCGAAGGAACCAAUACUUUAGCAAGACACCCUCACACUCGUAAGAAUUUAUAAGAAGGUGCUCUACCUUUCCACAACCCAUAUGGGGUUUUAUCUUCUUGCUUAUAGGGUAUCUUAUUUAACAAAUAAUUAGCUCUUUUCCAGAAGCUUCUCCCCAUAUAUUCUAAGGUAACCCAGAAUUUAUCAGCAUUGCAUUCAUCAUUUCCUUUAAGGUUUGAUUCUUUCGUUCUGCUAUCCCAUUAAAUUGAGGUGAAUAAGGGUCCGUGAAUUGAUGUGUGAUUCCACUUUGUUCACAUAAUGUCCCAAAUGGAACAAUACACUCACCACCACGGUCACUCCUUAAUUCUUUGAUUUUCCUGUUAAGUUGAUUCUCAACUUCAUUUUUAUAGAGAAUAAAUUUCUCUAAAACUUUAUCUUUACUUUUCAACAACUAUACAUAGUAAUAUUUUGUUUGAAUAGAUUUAAAAUCACAUAUAUCACUAUGUUUUAAAUCAAGUAGUUCAGUGUUUCUUUUAAUUGUUUGAAAAGAUAACCUUGUUAGUUUUGCCUCAACAUAAGUUUCACACUUAUGUUUUAAAUCAAUUUAGAAAUUGGGAAUAUGUUUAAUGUUAAUUAAUUUAUGCAAAGAAUUAAAAUUAACAUUUCCUAAUCUACCAUGUCGAAGAUUAGAAGACUCAAGCAAAUAAGCAGAAGAACUAGCUUUAUCAUCAAUUUUUGGUUUUACAGUCAUUACAUUAAGCAUAAACAACCGAUCAUUGACAUAACCUUUUCCUACAUACAUUCAAUUCUUAGACAAAACUACCCUAUCUUACUCAAACACCAUCUAGAAGCCAUGUUUAUUCAACAAUGAUUGAGAUACCAAGUUCUUCCGAAUCUCUGGCACGUAGAGCACAUUGUUCAGAGUCAACUCUUUUCCAGAAGUCAUCUUCAGAAUCAUCUUCCCUUGACCCUUGAUCUCAGACGUAGCUGAAUUCCCCAUAAAUAGCUUCUCUCCAUUGCUAACAGCUUCAAAUGAAAUUAACAACCCUUUGUCUGAGCAUACAUGUCUAGUUGCUCCUGUAUCAAUCCAUCAUUCUUUCGGAUUAGAGCCGACCAGAUUCACUUCAUAAACCAUUGCUGAUAGGUUAAUGUUUGAAACAUUUUAAGUGAUGUUUUCCACUACAUUUGCCUCUCACUUCUUCUUAGGCAAUCUGCAAUCUGAAGACUUGUGGCCUAUCUUGUCACAGUUGAAGUACUUUCCUUGAAAUUUUGUUUGCUUCUUGAAGACUCCUCAUUUUGGACUCAACUUUUUAUUUUUCUUAUUUUUAGGUCCAUGUUCAAUAAAAAUUUGCCUUAGCCAUAGAAACAGCCCCUUUAUUUAUGCAAUUAUGUUGUCUUCCUCACUUCAAAGCUUAACAACCAGCCUUCAAUGUUCAUCUCCUUGAGUUUGUUCUUCAAAUAACUCUUGAAAUCUUUUCAAGAAGGAGGAAACUUUUCAAUAAUAGCAGACACUUGAAAGGUUUCACUCAACAUCAUCCCUUCAGCAAGGAUUUCUGAUAGUAUGAUAUGAAGCUCUUGUAUUUGGCUCAUUACAGUUUUAGAGUUCACCAUUUUAUAGUUUAGGAAGUGGCCAACAAUAAACUUUUUAGUACCAGCAUCCUCAGUCUUAUAUUUUCAGUCUUAGGACUCCCAUAGCUCCUUGGCUAUUCUUUUUCAAUAUAUAAAUUAUACAAGGUAUCACUCGGCUCAUUCAUUACAUAAUUCUAACACAAGAAAUCUGAAUGAUGCUAUGCAUUAAUGGCACUGAUAGCUUGAACAUCAGUGUCACCCUCUUUGGGUUUAUAAGCAUCAUUCAUCAAGAACCUUGCAAGGUUUAACAUGGUCAGAUAAAAGAACAUCUUUUCUGGCCUUUCUGUGUGAUUCAAAGGAAUACCCACAAAGGCUGAUUCUUUCACAACAGAGGGCCUAGCAGCACAAGUUAAAACAGAGGCAGUCUCAGUUAUAGUUGGUACUGCAUCAGUGCUUUCAAUUACCAUCUCAACUUAAAUAUGUUUUAAGAUUAUUAAAAAUUUGUAGUGAAUCAACAAUUCAAAGUAUAUUGAUAAAAUUGUAACAAAACGUAAAUUCAUAUAGGUAAACAACAAGUAAAAGUUAGCAAACAAGCUGCAGUAAAUCAUUGGAGCAGCAAUAAAAUAAACAAUAGAAAAGAAAAUGAAAAACAGAAAGUAUAGAAAAAAAAAACUCGAGGCCUGUUAAACAACAGUUUCCUUAAAACAGAUUUAACACCUACUACAGUACUUUUAGGUUUGUUGGUAUCUGUUUCCCAAGAUACAACGGGAAUAAAUUUUUAGUCAAGACGCACAAAUAAUUCUAGCGAACAACAACAAUGCAAAAUCUUUAUCAAAACAUAACGUCAGAAGAGGAAAUUUUUUUUUCAAAUGAUCGGUGUUUUGUGUAUAAAACAAAAGAGGAAGGUUGCCUUUUAUAUAAAUGAGGGUAUGUAACUGUUGAAUAAUAAAAUUCAAUAUUUGAAUUGAAUAUUUGAUUUAAUUUGCUUUCGUAACAGCCCAUUGAAUUUAAAAUAUUUAAUUCUGUAACAGUUCAAAAUAUAUUCACGAUGUAACAGCCCAUUGAAUUCAAAAUAUUUGAUUCUGUAACAACUCAAAAUUUAUUCACAAAUCAAACCUGCUUUUGAUUUUUAAUUGUGAAAAACUGUUACAAAAUUUAAAAAGAAAUGAAAUAUAAAAACGUGGCCAUGCAGGCUUGGGUGAUUUUAGGCCGACAUUUGUGUACGCAGAAUGCGUGGGUGCAAAAUCUUAGGAUAGCUGAUAAUCGAGCUUAAAUCAAAGAUAUGAUUGAAGAUAUGUUUAGAUUAAAGAUUGUAAUGCAGUGUAGUAUAAUGUAGGUACUAUAGUGAAGCUUUGUUUAUUUUAUGAUUGACUGUUCCCUAAUUCGACACCAAAGACAGUUAGAGAAUUCGAAGGAUAAAUCACAAAUUUUUAUUAAAGAAAGUUCAUGAACAUUAUAAGAACAAUUUUCAUACUCUCACAUAUCACUCUCAGAAGUUUUGUUUUGCUUCUUAUGCUUUCUUCCUCUUAGACUUGAUGCACACAACACAAAUUUCAAGGGUAUUUAUAGUACCCAAAACUUAAUUAUAACCACACACAUAAACUAAACAAAUUUAAUCACAACUACUCAUUUAUUCUCAAUCGCCACACUAACUAUCAACUUAACUCAUUCCACUUCACCAAUCACACGAACCACACCAAUCACACCAACCUUACCUACUACCUAAGCUCACAUAAUUUAGAAAGUUCUAUGAGAUGGGCCAGGCUUUGUGUUUUUUGGACUUGGAUUAAAACUAAGUUUUUAAUCCAACAACCCCCCUUAAAUUUGGUUUAAUAAUGCCCAAUAAAUUUCUAACCUGAAAGAAUCUUCUUGCUUUAGCGGCUUGGUAAGAAUUUCAACAGUUUAAUAAUUUGAUUUGACAUACUUUGAUUGUAUUUCCUUUCUUUUGAUGCACUCCCGUAUGAAACGAUAACAAGUAUUGAUAUGUUUGUUUCGAUCAUCGAAUACUAGAUUCUUGGAUAGAGUGAUUUCUUAUUUGUUAUCGACAUAAAUCUCGGUUGGCUCUACUUACGACAUAGCCAACUCCUUCAACAAAUUCUUCAGCCAAAUUGCAUGACAAACACAUAAAGUAGUAGCUAUAUACUUAGCUUCACAAGUUGACAGUGUAACAAUAGAAGCAGUAUCUCCCAUAAAGAACCCAAAUCAUAUGGUGCUCUUUCGAUCAUCUAUAUCUCCACCCCAAUCACUAUCACUAUAUCCAAUAAGCUUGUAGUCAUUAGAAAAUGAGUAUAACAAGCCGAAAUCAUUGUACCUUCAUGUAGCCAAAAUUAAUUGUAAUUAUAACAUGUCAAGCCCCGACCCCAAGCACGUGAGAAUUGCAGGAUUAUUAUAAUGAUAAUUAGGGAUAUCAAAUAAAAACUCAUGAUUAACAAUUAAAAUGGCAUAAACUGAAUUUUUACCACAAACAUAGACAACCUAAUUUUCAAAUUUUAUUUAGAAUUCGAUACUAAUCCAAACACAAUGAAAUUUUUGGAAUAAUAAUAAACUUGUAAAUAUACCACAUAUAGAAAUUUUUAGUCAUUUGAUAAUAUCUCACUAGGUUUUCACUUAAUUAGACUGCAUCAAUCAAAACUAUCAAUAACAAUACAGCAAAAAUUUGUGCAUUUAUUAAAAAUAAAGUGCCCAAAAGAUUUUGAUACAACUACCAUCAAUGAUAAGCUCAAGGGAAAAAAUGAUCUUUUAGCAUUUUGAGUCCCAGAAGAUUAAACAAAUGUCAUUUUUAGAAUCCAGAUGGUUGAAAACCUUACGAUGUAUGAUAAUUGGGCUUAAAUCGAAGAAAUGAUUGAAGAUAGGUUUAGAUUGCAUAUUGUAAUGCAGUGUAGUAUAGUGUAGGCAUUAUAGUGAAGCUUCGUUAACGUUAAGGUUGACUGUUCCCUAAUUUGACACCAAGGACGAGCUCUCUAAAUGUGCGCAAUUGUAAUCUCCUAGUAGUAAGGUCCCACAGAUCCACCCAUCGCUCCAUUAGUCAACCCAACCCAAGUCCAUAAACCACAUGACUAGGAGUUGACCAAAGUUGACUUUUGAUUUGUAUCAAAUCGAGGACCUAGAUCAUGCCACAUCACUACAAAUUUAAACCCUCGGUCGUUUGCAAUUUUAUGGUAGGUUUUAUCUUCUAUGGUUACUUAAAAAUGGGCAAUCCUCUUGCCAAAAUGGUAAAGAUAGUGAAGGAUAGCAGUUGCAAAAAUUGAAAUUGGCAUUGUGCACUUUGUAGCCCGUAUUCAUGAAGAAAAAUUAGUGAAAGGGCUACAUCUUUAAAAGAUAAAAGUCCAAUGGAAGCUUGGACAAUUCAUGCUUGGGAAAUAAAAUAGUAGGUGAUUCUAUUAGUACUUUUAAUUUUAAGCCCUUAGGUUUUUAAAGAUAUGAUUUGUUGAAUCCUUAAUCCAGUAUUGUUGGAUCUUUAAUCCAACAUUAGGCUUAAAAGUAAAUUAUUACAUGUUGCAGGUUGUCAUAUAAGAUUAAACCUAAUUAAAAGUGACCUAUUAAGGUUUUCGGUAAUUUAGGCUUUAAUACAUCAGAUAAAAUGUGGGAAUUUAAUGUGUAGAGACUUAAGGGUAAUUGUUUACUUUCAUAAUGGGCUGAAAUAGGAAUACGUAAAGACGACAGGAAAAAUUAUCUAUAUAAGUGGUUAUAGUCCCCAAAUCAUACGUAUUGUUCUAUUCUUUUUGACAUCUCAUCAUCAUAGAAAGAGCACAAAGAAACUUAAAGGACUCUCUAAGAGAACAUGUUGAUCUGGAAGGCUAACCACAUGACUUUAGAGAGUAAUUGCGUAAUUAUGAAUUCAAGUACACUUUCACAUAUUCAUUUAUUUAUUUUUAGUGAUACAACAUAAUGUUCUUGGACUAUAAAUGAUGUUUUUCACCAAAUGCUUAAUUAUGUUCUAACAAGUGGCAUCAGUGCCUCUUCAUGUUAAAUCAUUGAAAUCAAAUUUAUUUUAAAUUAAUGAUUAAAGUUUUUAGUGCUCUCAAAUUUAAUAAUUAUGAAAUUAUUGAGUUUGAGACCAAAAUUGGUGAAAGAAAAAAUAUUGAAGAAAACACAUCUGAUGGAAAUAUAUGGCAACCGCAUGGAAACAUAUAUAUUCGGUAUCAUAAAGACUUGCGGUCAGCGGUUGCCAUGAGGUUUCAUGGCCAUCGAUAAAGCUAGUAAGGCUGAAGCAGAUAGAGAAAGUGGCGACCAUGGCUGUCGCAUCAAGAAUCAAGAUAGUAAAAAAUAAAAAUGGAAACAGGAGAGGUGCAACUAUUAGGCUGUGCCAGAAAAAAGCUACGGCCACAAGCCAUGAUAGAUUUAGUGAAGCGGCAGUAAGAAGAAGCGACUGUCAUGGCCAGUGCAUGAAGAAGAAGAAAAAUUUUUAAAAAUUAGGGUUUUUUUAACAUUUGGGGGCUGGUUCAGGGUCCAGUUCACCCGAUUUGGGUCUAGCCCAAACCAAUCAAUAGUUGACCAUUGACCGAUCAAUAAUUGAUUGUUGACUAUGACUUUGACCCUAAUUUUUUAUUUUCUAUUAUUUUUUGGUAAUUUUAGUACAACUUUAAAUUCAAAUAUUGGAAUGUUUAUAUAUAUUUUAAAAUGAAUCAAUUAAAGCAACAUAUCACCAAAGUAACCUAAUUUGUGGAAAUUAUUUUGUUUUACAAUAUAAACGGUUGUGUGUAUGUAAUUUCUCUAAAUGUCAAUCGGCCCAAAGGAGAAUUACAUGUGGGUCUGUAGUAUCAAAUGCGUGAUGAUUAUUCUAUUUUAUAUGUCAACAAUAAAUUGGUCCAAAGGAAGAUUUAUUGUUUUACAUUUUCUUAUUAUCAAUUUUUUAUUACUAUACCAAGAUAUCACUUACAGGUUAAUAUUUUGUCCAAAGAUAAAAUAUUAAUGGAGUGUCCGGUAUCUUGAGAUGGGGUAUACAUUUAUUUGAAUUUAUUUUUAUUUUAAGACUUAUAUGAGCUCGUAUUGUUUGUUUGUUGUUCUAUGUUCAGUUAUGACUCCUACUAAUAUCAUUGCCAACAUCAAUUCCACUCUUAUGCUAAACGGCUAUAAUCUCACAAUCAUAGAUCUCGACCUUGCAUUAAGGGUUGCUUCUCCCCCAUCCCUUACGAAGGAGAGUACCCAUUAAUGACAAAAGAGAAGUUGAAAGGUAUGAGAAAUCAAAUCACAUGUGUAUCAUAAUCUUAAAGAAGGCCAUUCCGGAAGAAUUCAGGGGCUUAAUGUCUAAAAAGAUAAUUAUAGGUAAGGAAUUCCUUAUAAAAAUUGAAAAGAGGUUUGCCAAGAACAAAAAGGCAAAAGUAGUACAAUCUUAACAAUUUUAAUUUCAAUAAUGUAUAUGGGCAAAGACAAAAGAAAAAAAAGGAAUAAGGAUGAGAAAACUACAGGUACGACACCUCAAAAGAAAUAACAAAAUAGAUUGGGUAAUUUGAAAGAUAUUAGUUGUUUCUUCGGUGGAGCUGAAGGGCGUGGUUUGAUUUAUUCUGAGGUUAAUUUAUAUUCAGCUUAUUUCAUGAUUCAAAACUAGUUAGUUUCGGUUUCUUGUCAAACAAUGAUAAUCUUUUAUGAUGAAAUACUAGCUAAGUAACCCAAGCGAGGGAGAAUUGAGUUUCUAAAAAUUAUGGAGAACUUACAUCAAAACAUAAUGCAAAUAUCAAAUAAAAUUAUGCAAAUAGCAAAUAAAUCACAACAAUCAAGAUGCAAAGAGAUAAGGGAAAGAGAAUCAAACACAAUAUUUUUAUAUGGUUUGGCAAACCCCGCCUACGUCCACGCCUCCAAGCUCACCGGGCUUGAGGAUUCCACUAAUAAAGCCUUUCAACCCAAGGCUUCAAAAUCUUUACAAUUGACUUCCAAGGUGUCAAUCAACUUUGACAAUAAAAGGUUAUCCCAAACCUUUUAACCCAAGUGUUUCCCAUACUCUCAAACACUUAAUUUGAUGUUUAAAAUGAAAAUUACACAAAUUUUUCUUCACACAAUAUGUGUUUACAAAUGAAAGGCCAAAGUGUGAAUUGAUGAAAAAUCAACAAGAUUUAAGCACAAAUAGGAUUGAAUACAAUAAUAGGUCAAUCACGAUUGUAGAAUUCGUUUUUGUUUGAAUUUGAUUGAGUCUUUUUAUAUUUGGAGAAGAAAACUAGGCGUCAUUGACUUUCUAGGAAUAAUUAAAUCGCCGUUAACUGUUAUCGAAUCAUUGUUUUGACUUUGUACAAGUUAUCGUUAUGUUGAAUUUUAAAUAUUUGGUUCACCGUUUGAAGUUGUCAGUUUUUCAUUUAAUUCCAGAGACCUACAGGAUAUUUAUCGGCUAGCCGUUUGUGCUAAACGAUUCACCAGUUGCAAACUAAUUCCUCUUUGGAAUUUUUCGGUUAGCGGUUAUCAGUAAACGGUUUACCAAUUCUAAAGAAUUUGCUCUCUGGAAUUUUUCGAUUAAUUGUUUCUAAUAAACGAUUCACCAUUUUCUUCCAGAAUCAAAAUUAUAAAACUUCCUUUAGAAAACAGUUUGCCAAUUUAAAAUUAACGAUUAUCCGUUUAUUUUCAUAAUCUUAUUUAUGUCUAAGAAACUUCAUACGGCCUAAGAAUUUGAUCAUUUAAAGACUCCAACUUUGUUAAUUCAGUUUGUUAUCAUCAAAAUGAAAAUUUAAAGAAAUAACCACAAUAUUUUAGCAUUUUACAAAUUUGACCGCAAGUUUUUUUUAAUCAAAAUUAGCCUAACACUAAAUUUGAGGAUGAAAUUGCCCUUGUCAUUCUCACCCUUCUCUCUCGCUGCAACCUCUCUCUUAUAGAAAGUUCUCUCUCACCAAAAUCUCUCACACAUUGUCGACAGCUUAAAGUGGCGUUCAAAGUCCACAAGCAUCAGCGAAUAUCACUGCAAUCAUAUGGAAAACUACCUUGUGUGCUAAGUUUUUCUACUUGUUAUAGUUUAUUGUGAUUCCUAAAUGACUGAUGGAACUAGCCUUUAAUGGAUUUUGCAAAGCUCACAUUGAUAAGUUCCUGUAGUCUUAGAAGAUUUUUGGCAUGUGUAAUUAAAUUUUAGUACAUUUUGGGAUCUAUUAAGUGUAAUAUGCCUUUAAAUUUUGGGAGUUCUACUGUUGAGCUUUAAUUUUUGGGAGUUCUUCUGUUGAGCUUUUAUUUUUGGGAGUUCUUCUAUUGAACUUUAAUUUUAACACUUCACAAAUGUUUAAAUGGUCUCAUUAUCAAUAUGUUUUCCACACUUUUGAGAUAUUGAUUGAUAGAAAAAUUACCCUUAGACCUUUUAAGGUUUGGAACACGGCAUGACAAGUGUGUAACUGAAGUUCUAUAAUGAGCUAACAAACUCAGUAAUUAUUUACAACUAUCAAAUGAAGCAGAACACUCCAAUCUUAUCAUUAACCAAUUGCCAUUAUAUGUUAAGAGUAUAUAAAUGUGCAAGCAUAUAUAAGUAAUAAACUUCUGUUUCUUUUCUUUUAUUUUUAUCAUCUUUGGCAUCAUUCAAGUGUUGGGGCAAGAGAAAACUUUUGGUGAAAACCAUCACUUAUAACCCAGGAACAUUCAUGUUGUAUCACUAAAAAUUAAUAAUAAAAUUAUGCGGAAGUGUACCUGAAUCCAUAAUGUUUAAUUCCUCUCUAGGGUUGUGUGGUUGGUUUUCCAAAUCUACACAUUCUCCUAGAGAGUCAUUUAAUUCUCUCUGCGCUUUCUCUCCAAUGAUGGGAUGUCAAUAGAUAAUAGAAAGAUACGUGUGACCUGAAGAUCAUAACCACUUAUAUAGACAACAUUUUCCUGUUGUCACUAGGUAUUCUUAAUUCUGCCCAUCAUAAAAUUAGAAUACUAUUGGGUCUCUACACAUUAAAGGUUUACACCCUAUUAAAUACAUUAAUGCCCAUAAUACCGUAAAGCUAAAUAGAUCACUUUUAAUUAAGCUUAACCUUACACGACAGUCAGCAACAUAUAAUUAUUCACAUAUAAGCCCAACGUUGAAUUAAGGAUCUAACAAUAUUGGAUUAAAAAUCUAACAUCAAGUUGUCGCUCAAACAAAUGAAUGAUGUCGCUAAAACAAUUAGAAGCUAUAGAACUUAAACGAGACGUGAGCUUAAAAUGGAAUCAAUAAACUAGAAACAUAUUAUAAUAAGUAUUCGAAUAGAAGAAGAAGAAGAAGAAGAAGAAGCUAUUAACAUGAAUUUGAACAAAGGUUACGAAACAAUAGCAUUGGUAGGACCUAGCUACUAAUGGAACUCUUACAAUUGAAAAACUACUGGCAUAAAAUAACUUUUGGUCAGCGAAAGAGUAUCUAUGCAUCAAUGAAAAGUAAUAAAUAAAUAAAUAUUGGAUCGACAAUUAUAAAUUUCUUGAAAAAAAUAAUAGAAUAUAGAAGAAAAGCCAUAGCACCAUUUGCAUAAAGAAACAAGAAUAACAACUGAAUCUUUCUGCAUUAAUUAACUAAUAACAACCAAGUUUCGAUAAUAAAAAGACUAAUUUUUCUGCAUCAUAAAAAGUAAACCCGAAUGAGGCAAUUCAUCAAGCACUAAACCUGCAUUCGAAACACAAACAAAGAACACUCAAGAGAAAGCGGAUUUCACCAAAGCACCUACGAAAUUGGUAAAAAAUAUUAGACUUUCCCAGCCUAAAAGAAAAACCAAAGCAUUAUUACCAAAUUCAUUCAAAUCCAAAAGUAAAUACAUAAAAUCAACAUUCAAUUCGCCAGUACACCUAAAUUACUCUAGAAAUUCAAAUUUAUAGCUAAUUAAACAUUAUAAAAUAUUAAAAAAAUGAAUCUAAAAGCAAAAAUAUGUCGACAAUCAAAUCAAAAUCAAUUCCUCUAAUUCGAUUCCAAAUGUCUCAGGCACGGGUUGCACGAUAGAGUGAACGAGCUUGCCAAUUGUGGUACCUCUAUUUACAAGCUUGAAUAUCCUCUCCAGUAACUAUUCUUUUGCUCAAGUCAAUGUGACCUUUUAGCUUGUCACACCGACCAUGACGGCUCGAUGCGGCUGACUUUAAAGAACUCCAACAAAAGGAUAAUCCUGACGAUGUUGUUGUACUUGAGCAGGCAAGCUUUUAGGGUUUAGACUUUGAUGAAAUCAAAAGGGUCUUUUGACCUAGAGCUUCAAUCUUCAAUCUUCGAAUCAACUUUUUGCUUCUGGUUCGAUCUAUCAUUAAGGGAUGGCAAUGGGGAGGGGAGGAGAGGGGACAAUCUCCUCGUAUCCAUCCCCGAUAUCCCCGUCCCCUCCCCGUCCCCGUCAGAAUUACUUGAAAGAAUCCUCAUCCCCUCCCCGAAUAAUAAUAGGGGAUCCCCGAGGGUCCCCAAUCCCCGAAUAACUAAUACAAUUUUUUUUUGUUUUUGAUUUUGAGUUAAUCAUAUUAAAAUAAAAAAUUCAAAUAAAAGUAAAGUUCAAAAUAUAUCUUACAUUAAUAUCCAUUACAAAAGUCACAUACAUUAAAUUAGUGUGUAACGCAGCAUGCAAGGGAUACAAACUUCUUUUACAAACUAUUAUGAACAAAUUAAUAGUCUAAUACAAAAUUGUUACAAAUAAAAUCGAAUUUAUAUUCAAAAUUAAUUUUUUCAAUGGUGGCAUGGGCACUUUAUAAAUGUGGACUAUUCCCUUUACAACACAAUAGUUAAAUCGGAGCAAAUCAAGAGCAAAUAUUAGAUUAGAUAUUAAAAUUGUGAUUCGUUGUGGGUAAUUAUAACAUCUAAAAAUAAAUAAAAAAUAGAUUUAAGUUUAAAAUAUUUAAAGAAUAUUAAAAUUAAAAAAUUUUAGGCUAAUAAAAUCUACUCAGUCUUUUUAAUGUCCUAAAUAAAAAUUUAGAACUUUAAUUAGUUAAUUAGGCCUAAAAGUUUAAUAAUAUAAAUAUUUUGAUAUUUUUUAUUUUUAUCAAUAUUUAUAAUUUUAUAAUUUAUUUACUAGUAAUUUUAAAAAAUUAAAAUAAAAUUAAAAAUUAAAAUGGGGAAAUGGGUAGGGGAUGGGGAUUCCACCUCAUCCCCGUCCUCUCCCCGAAUAAGAAAUUGGGUAAAAAAAUUUCCCCGUCCCUUCCCCGAAUAAGAAAUUGGGUAUGAAAUUAUCCUCAUAUCCUCCCCGAAUGGGGAAAAUCCCCGAGGGUACCCGUCCCCGUGGGGAUUUUUUCCAUCCCUACAUUAAGAGGCUAGAGAGGUUGAGCCGUUUGAUCUGUUUUUGCUUUUGGUUUUGGCCUUUGUUUUAUUUUGGUUUUUUGUUUUGUCAAAAAAGAGAGGUAAACGAUUUUGUGAAGAGAGAGAAAUGAAGAGUUAACAAUUUAUCCAAAUUUGAAGUCCAAAACGACAUCGUGAACAAUAAAUAAAAUAAAAUAUAAAAUCUUAGUAUGAGUGAAGAUUUAUUAUCUUAUAAUAUCAAUAACUGUUGAUACUGGUACGUUAAAAGUGUUAAAAACUACUUAAGUCAUUAAAUACUGAUAUUCCUUUUUUUAAUAUUAAACCUAAUAUCAGUGAAUGGAGAAAUUGUAUAGUAUAUCAGAGGCAAUACAACCAAUCGAUGCAUGUAUGACAUGUGUAAUUAAAUUUAGGAUGGGCCUAUUUGCAGUCUAAAUAUUUCUUUGAACACUCUAUUACUUUACACACUCAUACACAAAUUAUAAAAGAUUAAGUUUUACUUUGUACACUCUUUAAAAUUUCAAAAAUAUCCUUACUUAAACUAUUUAAAUUAUUUAACUUUAUUUACUUAAAAAACUAAUAAAACUAUUCAGCACACCAAUUUUAAGAGAUUUAACAUGUACUUACAACAAUAUAAUUAAGUCAAGUUGUAAAAAAAAAAUUAAUAUAAAAUUAGUUAUUAAUUUUUUAGUUAUUUAUGUUCAAUAUUGAAUUUCACACCCAAAAUAACUUGCAAUGAGAAUAUAAUAAAAAGAAUCAUAUUCCAUAGAUACUACCCAAAAAAUGAAAAAAGUCAUAAAGAUGAAGGAGAUGAGAAGAAGGGAGAAGCAUAAAAAAGAGAAGAGGAAGACGUAGAGAUGAAGCACAAGAGAAGAAUGGUGAAAGUCAAAAAGAAAGUUCGUUCAUAGUACUUUUUUAUUUUAUUUUAAAAAAAAUGUAUCACACAUAUUGUGUAAUUAAAUUUUUUUUAAUAUUGAUUUCCUUAUUAUUCAUCUAAAUGUUAAAUUCAUAUAUUGAAAAUAAAAGUUUUAGGGUCCAAAAUAUGAUAAUUAAAAAUGAAUAAUGAGUGUGUUAUAUGUAUGUUCAAAACAAUUAUAUAAUAUUAACUUAUAAAAAACUGUCCUUAAUAGUAAUUCAUAGUAUGGGUAUUUUUGUAAUAUAUAUUUUUAUUAAAAUUAGAGUGUCCAAAAUAAUUUUUUGAGUGCAAAUAACCCCACCCUUAAAUUUAAUGUAACCACCAUUUGCAUAAUGAUCUUUCACAAUAAAUACAUAAAUAUCACAGUGUCAUUUGCUUGUUAUAUGGUUAAUAUAAUAUCUUUAUGCUGCAUUUACUUGUCAGUAAUUGGAAUUGGCUGUAAUCGGAAUGGGCAAAAAUUGGAAUGAGCUGGAAUGGGAAUGGGGAAUUAGAAUCAAAAUAAAUUAUUUACUUGACCUACAGGAAUCGGAAUUGGAAUGGACUGGAAUCACAUUGAUGUGUUUAUUUUAUCUUGGAUUCGGAAUCGGGAUGAGUUAAAUUGUAACAAAUUACUAAAAAGUACUUAAUGAAAUAUUAUCAUAAUUAUUAUUUUAUAUUUUAAUUAUAGUGAUUAUUUAUUCAAAAACUAUAAUUAUUAAUACAUUAUUGUUAAUAAUAUAUUAAUAUAUUAAUUAAUGGUAAUAAUUAUAUUAAUAAUUAUUAUAAUAGUAUAUUAAUUAAUUAAUUAUAAUAAAAGUAUAUUAAUUAUUGUGAUUAUUUAUGAAAAAUUACAAUUAUUCAUAAUUAUUGUGAAUAGGAUCACCCUAUAUUACGUUUAACAUAACGUACACACACUCACACUGCUGAUAGCGGACCCCACCAUUAGUACUGUUGCUGUGAGUGUGUGUAUGUUACGUUAAACAAUUAUAUUAAUUAAUUAAUUAAUUAAUUAUAAUAAUAAUAAUAUAUGAAUUAAUUAUAAUCAUAAUAUAUUAAUUAUUGUGAUUAUUUAUUCAAAAACUAUAAUUAUUAAUAAUUAUUGUUAAUAAUAUAUUAAUUAAUUAAUUAUGAUAUAUUAAUUAAUUAAUUUUAAUAAUAUAUUAAUUAAUUAUAAAUGAAGAUAAUAUGGGCAUUAUUAAUUUCUGGGAGAGGGUAAAAUAGUCAUUCCUAGGAAUGAGAGACUCAUUCCCACCUCUCCCUUGAGAAUGAGUCUCCUCAUUGCCAAAUUGUGGUAGGUCUUAUGAUUCUAAUUUUAUUUUAUAAUUUUAUUUUGUAAAGUAAAUAUUGUCAAUGAUUCCGAUUCUGGAUUCUGGAUUCUGGUUCCCUAAUUCAAGAAGUAAACGCAACAUGAAUGUAUUGUAAAAUUUCUCGAACAAAUGUCAUUUUUCUUCUACCAGCAGUGUAUACUUGAUAUUAAUAUUUUCGUUCAAUUCUAUAAGAUUGCCCUUUAUGGUAACUUUAAUUACAGUGACUGAUUCUGAUUCAGUAGAUGUUCCGUUAGAAAUGUUUUUCACUGCAUUGCAUAAAUCGAUGAAGACCCGUGUUGGGCUUACAUAUAGUUUCCAUUGGGCUGGACUGUAUCUAAACAGAAUGCGGCCUAUACAGCAUAAAUCAAACCCGGCUCCCUCCUGUUUUCAGACAGGUUUGCACUAUAUUUAUUUGAUUAUAAUAAUAAUAAUAAUUUAAAAACAUUUGUUUAUAUUUUUCAAAUAUUGUAUUGGUCAGCAUAUCUUUGCUCGCUCCUCAACUAAACUUUUCUUACAAUUGAUCUUUUGCAUGCGGUCGUUAAACUCAUUUCACAGCAAAUUUGGUACCACUUCAAUCUUCCUCUUGCGAGCUGCGUAGUGGUACAAGAAUCUUCCGUAACAAUUUUUAAUUUACCAUAGAUCUACCAUCAAAGUAAAGAGUUUAUUCUUCCCCUAGAAUGAUUGAGAAUAGGCUUGGUCUUUCAGAUUUUCUAUUAAAUAAAGUGUUGACCACUUUGACCAAAUAAAUUAUAAUUUUAUCCUUUAACUAUAACGAAUAAUUAAUGCAAAAUGACUUAAAUGUCCAUAAACUUUAUUUUAAUUUUCUUUUCUUACCCUUUUCUUUCUCUCUCCCCUUUCUAAUAAAUGCUGUCCAGUUAAAAAAUUUCGAAAGACUUCAUUUUUAAUCGAUUAUAUAUUUUCACAGUCAAUCUUUUCUUUUUCUGGUCUAGUGAAUCGGUUGGUUCGAAAGAGAGUGCUUUCAACACACGAACCAUUUAAAGAAGCUUUGGACUACUAGGAUUAGGCAUUACUUGAACAUUGGGUCGUUAUAACUUGAAGGUACGUGAUUCAGAAAUGUAUAAUGGAGGUUUUCUAAGGUUGAUAAUUCAGUACUGUAUUUAUUUAUUAACUCUUUAGCAACAACAAAGGCAUCAAUUUUUUUUUUUUCCUACCUGAAGUAAAAUUCUUUGAUUAACAAAACAAGGAUCUGACAAAAGGGUACAAUUUCCAGCCAAAACAAUCACGGGUUGAACUAUUAAUUUUUCGUGGCUUUUCAAUUACUCGAGGCACCAAAUCAAAAAGUGAAAAAAAAUAAUUACUUAAGGCACAAUCCUGUGACUUUUCAACCUAUCAAUCCAUGUGAUAAACGAAUUCUUAGAAUUCCUGAAACCCAAGAACCCGUGCUCCUUACUCUUGUUCAUGCUAACAAAAUAACCCGCACCAAUAUUCAACACCACAUCUGCAUAUGACCAAACAGCAACCUCAUUCAAUUUUGUUGGCUGCAGCUGAUUCUCUCUCACAAUCUCCUCCCACGCACUUUCUUUACCUUUCAUAACUUCCUCCAAUCUCACCCUCUCACUACCCAUUUCUUCUCCAAACCCAUAAUUCUCAAUCUCAAACUGCUCAGCCAACACUUUCCAUAAAUGCUUCCACUUAAAAACAUCUCCAUUGGUGCAAUUGAAAGCUUCGUUUCUUGCAUUAGGAGCCACUGCCGCCCAAAUUUCCUGCUCCGCAACCAACUCUGCGUCUGAAAAUUCUUGGAAACCUUCCCAAGCAUCUCUAGUCCCAUGAAAUACAAGAGGAGCACCUUCGUGUUUACAAAUAGCUGCGUACACGCAGAGAGUGCCUAUAAUAUGCAUCAAACUAUAAGGUGAAAACCCAAAUAUUCCGGAAGGCCGGUGUAUGGACCAAGCUAAGCCCUCUCUUUUGUCAACUUCUUCAAACAAUAUAUCUUCCUGAUUAUAGUAAAAAAGCGGCACGUUUAGUCUUGGCAAAUCCUCAGUAAAAGGCGGAUCGUGAGACGGUAUCUUGCCAAUACACUCGAAUGGACCCACGUAAUGUUUGCCUCCCGUUUGGAGACAGAUGUGGCGGACAUUAGGCGCAUUCGGGAUUACAGAACGGAGCACGUUACGAAACAUGGCGCCGUUGAUCUUGCAAUUCUCGGCUUCAGUGGGACGGCUGGCCCACGUCACAUAGAAGAUGUGGGUGACGUCAGUGAGUUUUGAGAGCUUGGCUUGCGUAUCAUCCCGGUCGGAAAUGUCGCAUUGGAUGUAAUCAAUAGGGUACCUGGCGUUCCAAUUAGGCCUGGGGCGUCGGGCCACCCCGUGGACCUUCCACGGGCCACCGGGGGUAUCUGGUCGGGGCAAAAUCUCAGCUAGGCUGUUGCCUACAAUUCCUGUCACGCCUACUACAAGUCCCACGUUCUGGUAGUCUUGAGGUCGCGCAUCUUCUUCCAAUUUGUUCUGUACAGCGAAAAUUAAACAAACAUUAUUUUAAAUAUCAGCAUGUUACGUGUAUGUAUAAGCUUUUCAAGUGAAGAGAGACAAUUAGGGGGUCGAUCUUUACCUUAGCAGCGCCAAUACUACCUGCCCACCGCCAGCUCAUUUUUUGAUGAAUCUGGAAAAUUGAUGAUAAGUUUAGAGACUGCUUAUCUAUAAACAAUUAUACGAGCACUUUCUAGAAGGUAAUUUUCAGUUGAAGUUAGAUAAUGUGAAUAUGUGAUCAAUAAUGAAAGAUCCAAUAUCAUAAUGUGUGGUGAAAUGUGGUUCCGGCUAAAGGCCAAGCUUCACACUGUCAUUGUCAGUCAGUUUGCUUUCCCGCAGUUUUCAAGCUCGGUGCCAACUCAAAUAAAUAAGUAGGCCAGUGUCGGUGACCAUUGCAAUAAAAUCGCCCUAUGAUUAUUACGGAAGCUUCAGUACGUGGACCCUGAGUUUUAAACCUAAAAUCAAAUAUAUGUCUCUUUACUUUUAUAAUUUGCUUAAGGCACACCAGUCAGUUUUGGGACAAAAAGAGUCUUCGAUUUGUAUUUUCAUGGAAAUAAUCAAAACAUUUGAUAUUGAGGUACUGUAACUUUGAAAUUAUAAGUACAAUUAAAAAAAUAAUUGUAACUAUGAAUUAAAAAUUAAUAAUUUCUAGUAAAUAUGACUAUUAAAUAAUAAUUUUGAUAAAAAUAAUAUAUAUAUUAUAGUUUAUUCGUCAUACAGGUAUGAGAUUAAAUUAAUUUAAUUUAUAAAUCAAAGCUAGUAUAUACUAAAUAGUUGUAACUUUUAAGCUGUAGCUACUUAACUUUAAUAUCAAAAUAGGCCUUAGAGCCCGUUUGGAAUUAUUUUUAGGAGUUCCCAAAAGUAAUUUUGAAAAAGUAAAUGUCAAUUUUGGUGUUCGGAAAAUUUUUAAAAAAAUUACUUUUAGCAAGAUCACCCCAUCCUAUAGCAAGUUUUUCAAAAUAGGGAUGCAGUAUCUUUUUAGUAUCGGAUUUUGAAAAUCAGUUUUAUAUUUAAUACAAUUUCAUAAAUCUUCAAAUAUAUUAUAAAAAUCUAAAAUUAUCCUUAUUAAUUACGAAAUAAAAUAAUUAAUUUUAAAGAGAUUGUUAUCACCAAUUAUAUUAAGAUAACCAAAUAAAAUCAAUAAUUUAAAAUAUUUAUUUUAGUUAUCAAUUAUUAUAUAUAUACAAUAAAAAAUAUUUUUCAUACAUGUUUAUAAAAUGCGUAAAUAAAUUAAAUAAAUUUUAUUCAACAUUGUGUCCAAUUAAUUUAUUUAUAUUCUUACAACAGUUUAAUAGUAAUAUGAUUAUAGAAGCCAAAACAUCAAUUUUUUUGGUUAUCAAAUGGUGUAAAAAGUCAAAUGAACACAAAAUGCAUUUGUAGUCUAUUGAAAUAUCAAAAUUGUAAAUACACAUAGGAACCUCGUACAAGCGAUUGUGAAACUCGAUAUAUGAAUAAAUGAAGAAUUCUUUUUUUUCUCUUAAAUUUUAGGAAAUAGUUAAAGAUGUUCAUAUGAAUGAAUGGAAGUUUUUUUUUUCUCAUCUCAUUAAUUCAUGUGAAUAUCCAUGAAGUUUAUUUGAAUGAACAAUUUUUUUUUCUCAAUAAAUAUGCCAUAAUGAAAAAAGUUUUGGCUCUUGUGUAAAAUUUGAAAAUCAUAAAAAAAAUAUAUCAAUAAAAUAAUUCUACAUAAUCUAUGCUCACCAAUUAUUAGGGAGGGUAAAUGCUCAUUUAAUCCAUAUAUUUUGACAUAACUAACUUUUCAACCAUAUUAUUGUUGGAAAAAAAAAACAGUCCUUUGAUUUGUAAUUUUUAGCUAGUUAUACAAAUUUUGCAAGUUUCUAAAUCUCACCUCCACUAGGCAAACUUACGUAAAUAAUCAAAAGAGAGACGUCAUAUUUAAUUUAGAAGUUGCUCUCGUUUAGGCCCUAUUUGAUAUUGAAAUGUUGUAGCAUAGUAAGAAAAAAGAAAAACAAAGUUGCAACUAUUAAAAAAAAUUUGAUAAUGUAUAAUAAAAUAAUUAUUAAAUAAUAAUUUGACAAAAAUAAUAAAGACACUAUAGGUUUUUUCAUACAAGUGUGGGAUCAAAUCAACUUAAUUUCUAAGCUACAAUAGCUAGUGUUUACUAAAUACUUUGAUACUGUAACUUUUAAGAUACAGCUGCCCAACCUUAGGUUUAAAUCGUUUAUAAGGUAAUAAUAGACAUGACUCUAGAAGCUAAAACAUCAAUUUCUUUUCUUUUUUUAAUUAUCAGAUAGUGUAAAACAUCAAACGGAAACAACUAAAUAUGUGAUCCUAUUGUUGUGAAUAUAUCAAAAUUAUCCUCAAAUUAUGAAUCUCUGCCAUUUACAAAAAAGAAUUUAGUACAAGUGAAUGUGAAAGUUGAUAUGCAAAUAAAUGAAUAAUUCUUUUUUUGAAACGACCCGUCCCGCACCCCAGGGCGAGUCUAUCUAAACUCGUAUAAUCGAAUCGAUAAUAAUUAUGAUAUCUAAGAAUUCUAUCAAAAAUUCGACAGAAUCUCCCCUAUAAAUAAAACAUCCCCAAACCUGCAAUUUACAAAAUAAUUCAAUAUCCAUCCAUCCUUCAUAACCAACUUCUCAAGUCAACAUAUCAAAUAUCACCCAAAUCAUUCUAAUAUUAAAAUACAAUGGUUAUCCUUAAUUACAAAAUUAAUAAAUAAAUACAAUUCGCAAUAUCCCAAAUAUCAAAAUAUUAAAUCUACGACUCCUAGCACCAUCACAUGGCCACAAUUUCAAAUCUAACUAUCGUUGCUGGGUCGACUGAUAUACCUGCAAAUCUCCUGUGAGGGGGAAAAAUAUAAUAAAAAUUGGGUAAAUAUAAAACUCAGUGAGCUCAGUGAGUGUAUAGUAGUUUUUGAAAAAAUAAAUUUAUUUAAAAUAAUUUAAACUUUCUCAAAUCAAUUUCAUCAAAAUAUCAUAAGAACUUAUAUAAACAUAUUCAAUUCAAAUCAUUCAUUGAAAUAACUAUAUUACAUAAAUCUGCAUAAAAUCAAUGAAAUCAUAAUAAUUAUAAUAUCAAAUGCUGAAUAUAAAAAACUAUCAUCAAACAAGUACCCAGGGAAAUGAUCUCAUCAUAUCCGGACCUCGACGGACGGGCAAUCAGGGAACCAUCAUGCCCUGGAGCUACAACGGAUAGACGGGGAAAUCUCAUCUCAUAUCUCAUGUAUUUGAACAUCUGUAUCUCUAUAAUCAUCAUACUGCAUGCAUAAGCCCCCAAAAGGCAAAAGCGCCCAAACACACGGCCCAAAGCCUCUAUGUGUGUUCAGACGGGCCCCAAAGGCCUCUAUCUCAUCUCAUAUGUAUCUCUGUAUUCAUCUCGUAUUAUCUGUAUCUCUGUAUCUGGAGAGGAAGGGUACUGUCCAAUGAUUUUUCAAACAACAUUUUAUACACAUGUACAUAAACAUAUAAUCACAUCUGAAAUCUCAUUUUCUUUUUAUUCAACAUAUCUCAAAUCCACUCAAUUCUAAUAUCAUGCAUCUACUAAAAAACAAUAAUAAAAUCAUUAAUCAAACUCAUUCUUAAUAACAAUAAAUAUCAACACACAGAUAAAAAUCAAUUUUCUAGAAAAUCAUUAAAUCGAAGCAUCAAAUACUUAUUUAUCAAAACAUACUGCACUGUAUCAUAAAAUUAGCAUAUACUAUGAAAAUAGAUUUUGUAUAUUCCACUCACAGUGACGAAGUCUAGACUCGGUAUCAACAGUGUCUGCGGGUUAAUUCUCAUUCACGGAUCCUCCUAAUUAAGGAAAUGACAUAAUUAUUCUCCAUAAAUUUGAAAUACAACUAAUUUUACAUAAUAAUUCUCGAAGCGAAUAUCUAUCAACAAUAAACUAUUCCCACAUGCACAAAAUUACCGAAAUACCCCUACAUGCCAAAAUUACCAAAAUGCCCCCAACAUCAUUAUUUUACCAAAUUAUCCUCAGAAUCUUCAAUUAAUAAAUUGUCCUCAAUUCAGAUCACGAAAUUAUCACAAUGUCAGAAAUUACGAAAUUACCCUCGGCACGUAAAAUUACCAAAAUGUCCUUAGCGACUUAAAUUACCAAAUUACCCUCGAAAUAUCAAAUUACCUCACUGCCCUAACAUAAAAUUACCAAAUUAUCCACUGAUUCCAUAAAUUACAAAUUCACCCUAAAUUUUUAUGAAUUUACCAAAUUGCCCGUACCGGUCAACGGUGACCGGACUUCAGUCAACGACAACGGGAAGCUUAGGUCUGAUAGUUCAGACCUCGGUGAGUCCAAUGGUGGUGCCCGUGAGUCCCCACGCGCGGCGAUAGCGGUAGAUCGAAGCUCCAAAAUCUGUGAGCUUUCCGGUGGUCGUUUGCAGCAAAGACGGCGUCCCUGGUGGUCGUGGUCAGUCGGAAAGUGACGAGUGUGAGUUAAGGAACAAGAUCCGAGUGGUGGCGGGAUUAAAGGCGGCGAAAACAGGUCUUGGCCGCGAAUUUUCGAGCUCAAUCGCCGGCUUUCUGGUAGGUUCCCGGCGGCGAGGAUGGCAGGGUUAUGACGGCCGGCUUCCAAGCUUCAUAUCGGUACCAAGCUCGGCCGGUGCGGUGGCCGGAAUCGCGAGAUCCAUUCGGGUCAAAGUCGCGGGUCGGGUCGGAUUCGCGGGUCAAACCGGAUCAAUUCUCUUUCUCUCUCUCUCUCUCACGUGCCCCUAGGGUUGGCAGAAAAGCCCGGGCCGGCCCAGGCCCGCGGGCUUUAAGCCCGGCCCGUGGCUUGAAAGUAUGGGUAAGGGCUCAUAAUUAAUAAAGCCCAUAACAUAUGGGCUCAGUCAAGGGCCUAAAUGAAAAGUCCGGGCUUAAGCCUGGGCUUUAUAAUAAAUAAUAUAAUAUAUAUAUAUUAUAUAUUAUGGAUAAGAGCUUUAUAUAUAUAUAUAUGUAUAUAGUUCAGGUACCCCAUACCCCAUAUUAGGUAUGGGGUACCUAAUCCAUUUUAAUGCUUUAUUAAGAGGUUUAUAAUUAAUAACCAGUCUUGGUGUUCCUCUUUCAAAUGUAUUAGAGAAUUAUAUUUAAGUUUUUAGCCUAUUGUAGUAUUAUGUAUUGGUUAAUUAUGUUUUGAAAAUUUAUAAUUUUAUGGCCGUACAGCAGAAUUUAAAAUUUCGUAAAAGCCCGGGCUUGGCCCGCGGCCCGGCCCAGGCCCGUCAAGGCCCGGCCCGCCCAAAGCCCGCUCAACUUGGAUGGGCUUUGAGAGGGCCUGGACUUAUUUAACAUUAUAUGGGCCUGGUCCUGGGCUUGGCAAAGCCCGGCCCAGGCCCUUAAAUUGCCAACCCUACGUGCCCCCUCUCUCUUUCCUUUUUUGGAAACCAGCUUCCCACUUUCCAUUUAUAGAAACUGGCUUCUUUUUUUUUUUUUUGCACUUAAGCUUAAUACAAAUUAAGCUAAUACCGGACCGUGAGGAAAAUAAAAUCCGACUACCUGAGCUUUUAAUCGGGCUCAAUUUAUCUCGAUUUAAUGUUGUGAUAAUUUUAAAAUUAAUAUCGAAGAGGAAAAAUUAAUUCAUGCACUUAAUUAGGAAAAAUCAAAGUGCAUAUGUUACAUUUUUAUUUUAAUUUCAAGAAAUAGCUAACUUGUUCAUAUGAAUGAAUUGAAGUUUUUUUUUUGGGCUUUCUCAUCUCAUUAAUUCGUGUGAACAUUCAUGAGGGUUAAUUGAAUGAACAAAAUUUUAUUUUCUCAAUAAAUCUGCUAUCAUAAAAAACGUUUUGGCUCCUGUCUAAAAUUUGAAAAUCGUAGCAAAAAGUAUAACAAUAAAAUAAUUCUACAUAAUUUAUACUCACCAAUUAAUCAGGAAAAUAUAUUAGAUAUAACUUUGAUGGAAUCAACAAAGUGAGAUAGAAAGAAGAAAAAGUGUCUAAAGCUUCAAUUUUGUUAGUUUUUUAUGAAUGUCUCACCAUGUUAGGAAAUCAAUAGUGUGUGUGUGUGUAAAAUGAUGAGAUUGAGAAAAAAAAAAUUAAGGUUUAUGGUAUGGAUGUGAUAAAUGGGUUUGUUUAAUUAAUAUUAACAUCUUUGUUCAAUUGUUUAAGGUUUUCCUUUAUAGUUACUUCAAUUUUGGGUAAUUUAGGAAUAAUAAGUUGUUAUUACAAAAUUUAUAUUCAAAGUUGUUUCAAGGGUGAAAAAUCUAUACCCUUAUAAUUUUGUGUGUUAUGGCUCAUCAAGUGUGUUGUAUUACAAGUGAGUGAUUCAAAUUCAAAUAGAUAUUUUCAUUGGAUGUGUUUUUCCACACUAGGGUGGGACUAUAUUGCACAAAUGGAUGGAGAGUGCAGACCCAUAUUCGGCUUACAUAAAUUUUUGUUGGGCUGGAUUAUAUCCAAACAUGAUGCGAACGACACAACAUAAAUCAAACGCGGCUCCCCCUUGAGGUUAGUCAGCUUUGCAUUACAUUUAUUUUAUAUAAUGAUAACAAUUUAAAUGCAUUUAUCAAUUUUAUUAAUAUUGAAAUACACUUUAUUUUAAUUUUCUUUUCUUACCCUUUUCUUUCUCUCUCCUCUCUCUAAGUAAUGCUCUCCGCUUGAAAAAUUUUGGAUUAUUCAAUUUCAAUCGGUUAUAUUUUUACAAUCAACUUUUUCUUUUUCUUUUUCUUUUUCUUUUUCUAGUCCUGUGAAUCGGUUGGUUAGAAAGGAAGUGGUUUAGAAGAGGAACCACUUAGAAAAGCUUUGGUCUUGAAUUAGGCUUUAAUUGAAAAUUGGGUUUAGUUAUAACUUGAAGGCAUGUAAUUAGAAACGUAUUAUGAAUGUUUUUCUCCAGGUCGACAAUUUAGCUAAGUAUAUUUAUUGAACCCAUCAACAAAUAACAAUAACACAGCAAUUUUUUUUUCCCUACCUGAAAUGAAGCUUUUCAUUGAUUAACAAACAAAAGUUACAUUUCUUCAGCAGAACAAUCACAGCUUGAACUAAUAAUUGAAAAUGUUGCUAAAUCGUGACUUUUCAAUAGCUAAGGCACCAAAUCCCAAAAAAAAAUAAUAAUAAGGAAAUUACUUAAGUCACAGGGCUGUGACUUUUUUUUUUUUAAUUUAACUCAUUAACAAUAACAAAGAAAAACAGGAAAUUACUUAAGUCACAGGGCUGUGACAAUAAUAAUAAGGAAAUUACUUAAGUCACAGGGCUGUGACUUUUUUUUUUUUAAUUUAACUCAUUAACAAUAACAAAGAAAAACAUCUCAUUUCCACGUAAAAUGAAACUUUUCGUUGAUUGGAAAGCAAAGAACAAAGAAAAGCUGUAUUUCUUGCAGCCAAACAAUCACAGCUUGAACUAUCAAUAAAAUGUUUAAGUAAGGCACCAAAUUCAAAAAAGAAAAUUACUUAAGGCACAAUCCUGUGACUUUUUAGCCUACCAAUCCAAGCAACGAAGGAAUUCUUAGAAUUCCUGAAACCCAGGAACCCGUGCUCCUUACUCUUGUUCAUGCUAACUGAAUAACCCGCACCAACAUUCAUCACCAUAUCUGCAUACGACCAAACAGCGACCUCAUUCAAUUUUGUUGGCUGCAACUGAUUCUCUCUCACAAUCUCCUCCCACACACUUUCUUUACCUUUCAUAAUUUCCUCCAAUCUCACCCUCUCACUACCCUUUUCAUCUCCAAACCCAUAAUUCUCAAUCUCAAACUGCUCAGCCAACACUUUCCAUAAAUGCUUCCACUUAAAAACAUCUCCAUUGGUGCAAUUGAAAGCUUCGUUUCUUGCAUUAGGAUCCACUGCCGCCCAAAUUUCCUGCUCCGCAAUCAAAUCUGCAUCCGAAUAUUCUGAGAAGCCUUCCCAAGUUUCUUUCGUCCCAGGAAAUAGUAAAGGAAAACCUUCAUGUUUGCAAAUAGCAGCGUACACGCAGAGAGUGCCUACAAUAUUCAUCAAACUAUAAGGUGAAAACCCAAAUAUUCCGAAAGGUCGAUGUAUGGACCAAGUCAAGCCUUCUCUUUUUUCAACUUCUUCAAACAAUAUGUCUUCUUGAGUAUAGUAAAAAAGUGGUACGUUUAACCUCGGCAAAUCCUCUGUAUAAGGAGGUUCGUGAGACGGUAUCUUGCCAAUACACUCGAAUGGACCCACGUAAUGUUUGCCUCCCGUUUGGAGACAGAUGUGGCGGAGAUUCGGUGCGUUCGGGAUUACAGAACGGAGCACGUUACGAAACAUUGCACCGUUGAUCUGGCAAUUCUCGGCUUCAGUGGGACGGCUGGCCCACGUCACGUAGAAGAUGUGGGUGACGUCAGUGAGUUUUGAGAGCUUGGCUUGUGUCUCUUCCUGGUCAGAAAUGUCGCAUUGGAUGUACUCAAUUGGGCGAUUGGCAUUCCAGUCGGGCCUCGGACGUCGGGCAACUCCGUAGACCUUCCAUGGGCCACCAGGAGUAUCCGAUCGGGGCAUUAUCUCUGCUAGGCUGUUGCCUACAAUUCCUGUCACGCCUAAUAUAAGUCCCACAUUCUGGUAAUCUUGAGGUCGCUGCUUAUCUUCUUCCAAUUUCUUCUGUACAAGUAAAAAUAAAACAAACAUUAUUUUAAAUGUCAGCAUGUUACAUGUCCACUAACUUAACUACAGAGUUGAUGUUUACCUUCGCAGCGCCAAUAUCACCCGCCCACCACCAGCUCAUCUUUUGGUGAAUUUGAAAAUUGAUGAUAGGUUUGGUUUCUGCUUCUAGUUUUAUUUAUAGAGAGGAGUUGACAACUGUGUAAAUAGACUUUCACAAUGUUUUGAAAUAGUUUACAUUAUCAUAAACAUCUAACUCUGUUCACACAUAAAGAGGAGACUGCCAAUUAUACAAGUACUUUCUAGAAGGAAAUUACGUAUUCAACUGAAGUUAGAUUAUGUGAACCAUAUUGAAAGAUCUAAUGCAAUAAUGUCUGGUGAAAUCUAAUGCACUAAUGUGUGGUGAAAUGAGGUUCCUGCUGAAGGCCAACUUCGUACUAUCAUUGUCAGUCAAUUUGCGUGCCCACGGUUCUUCAAGCUCGGUGCCAACUCAAAUAAAUUAGUAGGCCAGUGUCGGUGAUCAUUGCACUAAAAUCGCUCUACGUUUAUUACGGAAGUUUCCGUAGGGGGCCCAGGUUUAAACCUAAAAUCAAAUACGUCUCUCAAUUUUUAAAUUGCUUAUGGCACAGUAGUCUAUAACUUUUCAGCUUUCAAUAUCAAUUUUGGAAAAAAAGGGGGAUUUAAAUUUACUGUCGAGCUGCUAUUUUUACUAAUAUUUUAGAAGCAUAUGGUUGAUAGUUAUUGGAUACAAAUAUAAAACUAAUUGAAUCUUAACUAUAUAUUGUUAUACAUGUACAUGUGGUAGAAGAUUAUGAAUAGUUAAGCAUAGAUCAACUCAGUAUUAAAUCCAAAUUCCAUAAACAGUCCUUUAAUUACUUGUAGUUUCUAAUCUCAUCCUCUCCUGGCAAACGUUAUUAAAAAAAAAGCAAAAGAGAGACAUCCCAUUUAAUUUAGAAGUUGUUUCUCAUUUAAGACUUGUUUGAUAAUGAGAUAUAGUAACUUUUAAUUUACAGUUACGACAAAAAGAAAAAAAGCUAUAAUUAUGAAAUAAUUUUUUUAAAAAAUAAAGAGACUAUUAAUCGACUAGUACUUAGUAUUUUACUGUUGUAGGUUUUAAGUCACUGAUGCCCAACCUCCGUAAGAAAUAGAAUCUUAAUUUAUUUCGCUUCUUUGAGGGUUUGAUAAAGAGAUAUUUGACCUGUUUAUAAGAAAAUAAUUGACAAGACUCUAAAAGCCAAAACAUCAAAUUUUUUCGUUAUCAGAUGGUGUAAAACAUAAAAUGAACACAAUACGCAUAUGUGGUCGGUGGAAAUAUCAAAAUUAUACUCAAAUUGAAAAUCUCAGCCAUUUGCACGCGAACUUUUGGUACAAUUGAUUGUGAAACUUGAUAUACGAAUAAAUGAACUUUUAUUUUUAAUUUCAGGAAAUGGCUAAAGUUGUUCACAUGAAUGAAUGGAAGAUUUUUUUUUUCCUUUCUCAUCUUAUUAAUCCAUCUGAACAAAAAAUUUUAUUUCCUCUAUAAAUCUGCCAUCAUGAAAAAAAAUUUGGCUGUUGUGUAAAAUUUGAAAAUCAUAGAAAAAGUAUAUCAAUAAAACAGUUUACGUAAUUUAUACUCACCAAUUAAUUAGGAAAAUGUAGUAGGUAUAACUUUCACGGAAUCAACAAGCUGAGAUAGAAAGAAGAAAAAGUGUCUAAAUUUAUUAGGCUUUGAUGAAUGUCUCACUAUGUCCGGAAAUUAACUGAGACAACAAUAAUAAAACGAUGAGAUUGAGAGACGUGAAAUUAAGGUUCAUGGUAUGUGAUAAAUGGGUAUGUUGAAUUAAUAUUAACAUUUUCGAUUAAUUGUAUAAAGUUGACUUCAGUUAUGGGCAAUAUUUUUUUUGUUUUAUUGAUAAGGGAAACGAGCCUAGCAAAAGUAGCUAAGGCUUAACAGUAAGAGGGAACGCAGUCCCUAAGGUAUCGCUACGCAGCCAGAAUUCAACACCAGGAGGGGGAAAAAGAAGACUGUGGAGCCCAAGAGGUAACGAGAGAGCAAAAGUAGCAAGAAAAUCAGGUGCGAAGUUUGCCUCACUGUAGAUAUGGUGCACAAAAACCUGCCAAUUUUGAGCGAGAAGAGCCUUGAUACUCUUGACAAGGGGAGACGAAGCAUUAAGCGUAUCAUUUUGAGCCUCCAAAAGCUAAAUCACGCAUAAGCUAUCAGCCUCAACAAUCAUCGAUCUGAUACCCCCGUUCCAUGCCAUGAGGAGACCCUGAUAAAGGCCCCACAGCUCAGCAAUUGUGAUUGAACACAGCCCAAUGUUCAUUCAAAAUCCUUCAACACAUUCUCCACAAUUGUUUCUGAUUAAGCCACCAGCAGAAGCCAAAUCCGAGGCCUUACGAGCUCCAUCCGUGUUCAACUUGAAGAAAGGCUACACAGGAGGCACGAAGCCAUAGUACAUCUCUACUCUCGUGGGCUUGUCCGUUAUGGCAAUUUAAUACAUAUUGUUAUUAAAAAGUAGUGCUAAGAGAUUAGUGUUAAAAAUUGUAUGUUUAUUAAGGGGUAAAAAUGUUAUUUUGUGCUAAUAAUAUAAUUUACGUUUGUAAAUAUGUAACAUAUUAUGAAUUUCUAAUUAUUUUUCUAAAUAUUUGAUUUUGUGUGUUUAUUAGGUAAAAAUAAUAAUUUCACACAAUUUGAGACUCCAAAUAAAUGUACGGAUGUCAAAUUUGGAUUCCGAAAGCCUGAGAAAUGAGGUCCUUGUCGAUCAGGAUCUGCGACUUUUGUUGUAAAUUUAUAAGUUGUUACCAAGGUAAAUGUGGUAAUUGUGAAAUUAUAAACUUUUACUAUAUUAGGUGUGGUAAUUGUUAGUGGCAUGUGUUAGAUGUGCUUGAGUGGAUUAAGUUAGGUUUAUGUUUUAUUAGUAUGACAAAUACAUGGUUAAGAUAUACUUAGCUUUAUUUAUUUGUGUGGUGUGGAUUAAUCAUGUAUUAGUAUAAAUAGAUAGGGGGGAACACACCUCUUCACACAUUUCCUUCUCUGCUUUCCCCUCAAAUUCUUCUUCUCAUCUCUCUUUGUAAUAAAGGGGGGAACACACCUCUUCACACAUUUCCUUCUCUGCUUUCCCCUCAAAUUCUUCUUCUCAUCUCUCUUUGUAAUAAAUUUUCAAUAAAUAAAAUUAGUUUUAUUUUCAAUUUUCAAAUACUUUUUUUCAUUAUGUUGUUUUUUUUUAAUUUUAAUAAUUCCUUUUAUUUCAAAUAUGUUUAGCUAAAUACUAAUAGUUAGGGGAAGAUGAAACUCUUAGUAAAAAAAUAGGAUUUAAACAAAUUCUAUUUUUAAUUAUAGAAAUUAAUUAUUUUCCAUCUAAUUUUAUCCAUAUUUUAUAUUUUGAAAUUUUGAUUUAUUGUAGACAAACAUGGGGUUUAGCAUAAUGAAUUUUUAAUAUCUUAGUAUAAAGUAUGGUAAACUAGUAUUUUAACUUAUUGUAAACAAAUUAAAUUUUGGUACACUAAGUACUUAGUUCGUAAUAAAAUUAUUGGGAAAAUAAUUGUAAUUUAUACAAUUAAUCAUUUGGACAAUAACCUAAAAAUAAAAAGAAUUUAUUAAAUUGUAUUUGUUACUAAGAGGGGAUCUAGAACCUAACUAAUUUAAUUUUAUAGUUUUGAUCAAAUUAAACUGCACAUUUUAAAAUUUAUUUUCAUUAUUUUAAAAUAAAAAAAAAUUAAAUAUUUUCUCUGUAGAUCGACCUCAGAUUCAGUGACUCACCGAGCUAUAGUUUAACUAGGCACUCUUACACUUGGGAGUAAAUUAAACACUUUUAAGUCGUGCACUUAGAUUAGCUUUUGCUGCUAUUUAAACCCACUAAUUUCUUCUCUAUAACUAUUUUAAAAAAUAACUUUAUCAUUAAAGUUUUAAAAUUUGAAAAUCUCGAAAUUACCCCACCAAUUACUUUCUUUCUCUACUUUACAAUUACAUACUCUCCCAUUAUUCUCAUAUAUAGUCUACAAACAAAACACUCAAUUUCACUUUCUUUUGAAUUUUUUUUAACAUUUCUUAGUAUAUUAUGAUCUAUAUUUCAUGCUUUCUGUAUAUAAGAAAUUUUUUCCUUAAUAUUCAUUAGCUUUUGUGUUUAGUAAAAAUUAAUUUCUUGAUAUUCAUUCAUUUUCAUGACUGAUAAAAAUUUGUUGAUAUUCAUUUUUAAAUGAUGGAUUUUGUUCUUCUUAGUUAGUAAUACUUAUUCUUUAUAGGUAAAAGAAUAUAUUUGAAUGGAUUGAAGAGAAUUUGUAAAAUUAAGAAGAGAAAGAGAAGAGAGGAUUAAUUAAGAAAUUUUUUAAAAAUUAUUUAGAUAAUAAAGUUCUUAAUUAAAAUGAGGGUUUAGAGAGGAAAUCGAUAAGUUCAUAUAGCUCUUCCUUAGUUUUUAGAGUGCAAAUUUUAAUACCCUUAUAGUUUUGUGUGUUAUGGCUCCUUAAGUAUGUAGUAUUACAAGCAAGUGAUCCAAAUUCAAUUUGAUAUUUGUCUUUCUACAUUCUGGUGGGGUUGUAUUGCAUAAUCGAUGCAAAGGGCUCACUCAUGUUUGGCUUACAUAUAACUCCUAAUGAGCUAGAUUCUAUCUAAAACUAAUGUUGGGGAAUUUUAAUUCCACUCAAGAUCUUGAAAAUAAAAAUAUCAAAUAAAUAAUUAAUAAAAUAUACAGAUGAAGAAUAAAAUCAAUCCACUACAAGAAAAAUGGCCUACUAUGACAGGCAAAAACGGUUAUCUUAGGGGGUGGAUGACGGUUAUCCUUACUGUCAUUGUAGCCAGCGUCAAGAAAAGAUAACAGACAGAAACCCGUCACAAGUUGUGAUAAAUUUUACCUGUCAUAAUUCAGUCAUACAACUUAUAUAAGGGAAAUUGGCUUUUUUUAAUUUUUAUGUUUUAUGAAAUUAAAACUGUAAUUAGUAUUUGUGGAUAAAAGUUGUGUGUCAAAUGUUGUGACUAGUAUUUUCAAUCACAAUUUUUUUUAAAAUUGACUAUUUAUUUUAUUUAUUAAUUUAAAAAAUAAAAAAUAUGCAAUUUUAGUUUCCUCAAUUUAAAAUUUAAAUUAUAAAUUUUAUAUCAAAGAAAAUAAAUUAAUAAAUGCAAUCAAAUCCAAAACUAAUGAACUAAAUUAGUGAACUUUAUUAUCCAUAAAAAUAUCCAAAGUACUUCUAAAUUUCAAAAACAUACAAUUGAAACUUUACAAUUCAAUAGUUAAUCAAUAUUUCAAACUCAAGCCAACAGCCAAAAAAAGCCAAUCCAAAACCAAAGCAAAGUACUCAGCAUUCAGCAACAUCCAGCACUAAAGCUAUGCAAAAUGUAGUCCUUUUCUAGCAGCAAAAUCCAGCAGCCCCCAAGCCAAGAAAGAAGUAUCCCAUUUCAUCAAUUGAAAAUAUUAAGUGAAAUAUAAGCAUUUACACAUGAAAAUAUUAAGAAUAACAUCUACAAAAAGGAAAAAAAAUACAAGUAAUAAUAGAAUACGAAAAUACUCAGUGAAAACUAAGGCGAGACCCCUUUUUUCCCUUCUCUGGAGUAAGGCACUAAAAGGGAUUAAAGAAAUUAUGAUUGUGUUCCACACCUGGAGCUGGUAGAGACAAACUCUGGUCAUGUAAUAUUUGCCUUGGCACCGUUUGAAUAUGUCUAUAUUAGUAUCCACAAAUUCAAGGAAGAUGAUUGGCCUACCUCUUACAUAUAUCAUAUUCAAGUCCAAACAGCUUUAUUCCUCGUGGGAUUUAUUUGAUCAAAUUAAUAGUUCAGGAUGAAAAAUGGUUAGAACCUCACAGUCAUCAAAAGUUACUGUCUCAUAAUUCAUUUUAGUGCUUAUAACACAGAGGAAAUAAAAUAAAAUAUCUAAACAUACAUUUAUCAUGUAUGUAAACAUUUUUUUUCUUUUCUUUAAAUACAGAGAGGACAGUAGUUAGUUAUUUAAUUGAAAGGAUGCAUAGAAAGUUUCUUUAAACCAAUACUAGUGGUUAAGUCUCAAAAAGAAAUAUUAGUCCAAAUUCAUUACUUCCAAUCAAGCAAAAGCAUGCAGUAUCAAACAGGAAAUGCAUCCUCAGGACCCAUAAGCCAAUUUGUACUCCAUUACUAUCAAUUUCCUAGCUGGUCAAUUUUUUAUUUUUUAUUUUUAUUUUUUUGUGGGUAUCUCUUAGGUAUCGAAAGUCAAACCCUAAGUAAUCAAACAAAUUCAGAUAGUGCUUACCCAAUACAAGAUAUUGGAGAUUAAAUCCAAGAGUAACGGAAUGCAGAAAGUACCUUUUUUGAAGAAAAUGUCAGUGACGUCUUUCGAAGGUAAGGGUCCCAGUAAACAACAGGAUCCACUUUCUGAUUCAGCACAACAUUUCCACAUUUCCAAUCAAGGGAGCUUGAUAAAUACUGGAUGAUGUUAAGACCAAAAUCAGUUUUAAACGAUUUGUCUUCCAAGAUCGUACAACACGCAGGGAAAAUGCCAGUGAGUGGGUGAUCAUAUCUCUUCCUCCAGCGAGGAUAUUAUUAUAUAUACAUAUAUAUGCACACUAUAAAACUACUGAUCAUACAUUCAUCCAUUAAUAAUUUUUAUUUUAAUCGUCUGCACAAAUUAAAGGGAAAUGAUCAGCCUAUCCUCGACCUCAAGCAUGCACCAAUAGCAUUACAAAUAAUUAAACUUUUCUCCAAUCAAAUUUCUUAACUAGCUAAUAGGAAUGAUAAUUAGUAAUAAUAAGAGAUUAAUUAGAAACUUCAAAGAAAUACAACGUGUGCAUAAGAUUUAAUUCCUCAGUUCAUGUUUUUCUAAUAAUUUCAAGAUAACUAGCUUAUUUAUUUAUCAGCACAAGAUGAAGUCAUUUUAACUAUAUGUAUCUACUUUUACAAGCUAGGUAGGAGUACUAGAACUAUUGUUUAUGAAAUUAUAUUUAUAAAUAAAUACUUGUGUAUGCAUGUGAUCAAUAUAUAUAUAUAUAUAUAUAUAUAUAUAUAUGCACACACACAAAUUACAAGAUUGAUUGAUCGGGCUGAUGGAUAUAUCUAUGUAUGCAUGCAUUUAUUCCUUAGUUUUUUUCUUUAAAUUAAAUUGUAAUUCUCAAAAAAGAAAAAGAAUAAUCACAGCAACAGGCAUUUAGUCCUUAGUUUUGGAGGAUCUGUCCUUCUCCUUCCUCUGUCCUCCAAGAAUACGAGAAAUCUGUAAACCUUUAUGCACUAAAUACUUAGUUGAACAACAUUCUUGUUUGAAAUUCUAAAACAAAUGGGAACCACGCCAAGAAUGCAACCGGGGUGAAUAGAAGCAAUCCCAUCACUAUUUCAUAACCAUGAGCAAGUGUCCUAACUGAUCCCCAAAUUCCACCAUGUUGUAUCACUGGCUUACAAGCUUGUAAGAUCUAUAUACAGUUCCACGCAUCCAUAAAAAGAAAAAAGAUUACUUAUUAGAAAAGCCCCAAUGAUAAGCAAGCCUGGUCAAUAUCCCAACACCCAUCACGAUUAAAUUGGCAAGGAUCUUCAUAGCCUAAAUCAAAUUUAAUGAUAAAACUAUAAUAAUUGAAUUCCAAAAAAAAUCAAAUAAAUGUUUAAAAUUUCAAAAAUAAUUAAACAUAAAAUACCAAUCAAGUAGAUCCAAAUUUAACAAGAGCACACCGAGGAUUUUCAAAUUUUACAUGUAUAGGGUUUAAAUUUGAUGACAACACAUCUAGGGUUUUCAAGAUUUAGGUGUCUAGGGUUCGAAUUUGACAAGAACACAUCUAGGUUUCUCAAGUUUUACAUAUCUAGGGUUUGAGUUUGACAAGAACAUUAAAAUUGAAAUGGAACACAACACUAGAAACAUUAUUUACCUGUAUUAUUCAAACGAUUGCAGCAGUGGGUGAGUGAAUGAAACGACCCUCCCCGAACCCCAGGGUAAGUGUAUCUAACCUCAUCCAAACUGGAUUGAUAAUAAUCUAAUUAGUAAGGAUUUUGCCAAAAAAUCGACAGUCUCUUUUAUAUAUAUAACACUCCCAACCUGCAAAUAUAUAAGACAAGCACUCCCAAUAUAAUUCAAUACACAACAAACUCCAACGUUCAACAUCCUCAACCACAACACUGAGCUUUACUCAAGAUAUCUCCAGAAUCUCAAAAGAUAAUAUUAUAACUAAUAUUAAUAUCUCAGUUUAUUCUUAAUCCCAAAAGAAUAAUAUAACAAAAUUAUACAAUCCCAAAAGAACGAGAUAACCAAGAUGUCCUAACAAAAUCAUCUAUAUCUUCUAACACCAUCACGUGGCCAAUACUCAAAAUAUAUUUACAGUCGUUGGGUUGGUCUAAUGUACCUGCAACCUCCUGAUGGGGGGGAGGAAUAUAAUAAAAAUGGAGUGAGUAUAAAACUCAGUGAGAUCAGUGAGUGGAUAGUAGUUUUUAAAAAUCAAUUAUUACUUCAAAAGAAAUAAUCAUAUCAUUUCCAAACACGAUUUCAUCAAACCAUAUGCGAGAAACCAGUAAUAAAUCAUUUAACAUUUAAAUCAAAUUACUAACAAUGAAAAGCAUAUAGAAUACACAAAUCUGAAAAUCAUCACCAAACAAGUACCCAGGGAAAUAACCUCGUCAUAUUCGGACCUCAACGGACGGGCAAUGACGUACUAUCUAGGUACCGUCACGCCCCGGAGCUACACGGAUAGACAGGGAAAUAUCAUCUCAUAUCUCAUCAUAUCUGUGCAUACAUAAUCUAGUUCCCAAGGGAUAAAAGCACCCAAGCACACAGCCCAAAGCCUCUGUGUGUGCUCAGACGGGCCCCAAAGGCCUAUAUCUCAUAUGUAUUAUAUGUAUCUCAAUAUCUGUCUAUAUCUCAUAUUUGUAUAUUUGUAAUCAUCAUACUGCAUGCAUAUGCCCCCAAAAGACAAAAAUGCUCAAACACACGGUCCAAAGCCUCUAUGUGUGUUCAGAUGGGCUCCAAAGGCCUCUCAUCUCAUAUCAUGUGUAUCACUAUAUCUGGAAGGGAAUGGUAUUGUCUAAUGAUUUCAAAAACAAUCAUUAUACUCAUAUUCACAUACCUUUUACCCAUACUUUAAAUCAUAUCACAUUUGAAUCCACUUUUCUUAUCUUUAAAAUACUAUCAUGCUUAUUCAAAGUCGAUACGCAAAAUCAUUAACCAAACAUUUUAAUAAAAUACCAAUGCGUGAAUAAAAUCUAUUUCAAGGGAAUCAUUAAAUCAGAACAUUUAAAAUACUUAUUUCUCAAAUAUGCUUUACUAUUAUAAUUAACUAUGAAAUUAAGUUUUGUAUAUUCCACUCACAGUGACGGUGUUCACGCUCGUUAUCGUCCACGUCCGCGGACCGAUUCUCGCUUGCGAAUCCCCCUAAAUUAUGGAAACGACAUAAUUAUUUUCUGUAAAUCGAAAUUACGACUAAAUUUAUGCAAUAAACUCGAAACGAAAUUCGAUCCAUAAUUUACAACUCUCGUGUCGAUAAAAUUACUAAAAUACCCUUGAGUUCGUAAAUCAUUAACAUACUCUGAAAUCGUAAAUCACCGAAUUACCCUCGGAAUCAUAAUUACACCCAAUCCUCAAUUCUAGGAAUUACUAAAAUAUCCACAGGCUCAUACUAAAAUAUCCACAGGCUCAACGGAAUCAUAAUUACACCCAAUCCUCAAUUCUAGGAAUUACUAAAAUAUCCACAGGCUCAAAAAUUACAAAAUUGCCCUUAUAGUGUGAAAUUACCGAAAUGCCCUUCCAGGUCAAUGGUCACCAAAAUUUAGUCAACGCUGGCCGAGAAGGUCAAGUCUGAAAUUUAUGGUCACACUGAGUCCAACGGUGGCAGUGGUGACCUCCCACGCGCGGUGAUGGCUCCGGAUCGAGCUCCCAAAGUUGUAACUCCUUCAACCGAUCAACGGCAAAACGAUGUCCCUGGUGGCAGUGGAUGGUCGUAAAUGGAAGAGGGAGUCUCGGGGAACAAAAUCCAACCGGUGGUGUUACCCAAAAUCGGCGAAAAUCCCAGUGGAGCAAAGUGGAAAAGUCGAGGGUUUUCAAGCUUUGGUCGCCGGCAUUUUGGUUGUUUUUCGGUGACGUGGACGGCAAGGGUAUAAUGGCCGGUCUUCAAGCUUCAAAUUGGUACCAAGCUUGACCGGAACGGUGGCCAGAAAUGGAAGUUACGACCGAGUCAAGGUCGCGGGUUCCAGGUCGGGUUUGAUAGCUUCUCUCUCACUCUCUCACACGUGUGUCUCUGUUUUGCUCUGUUUUCCAACUUCCUCUUUUACUUAUUCUAACUUUUUAACCACCUCAUUUUAUUCCUUUAUUUAAUUCACAUAUGUUACAGUGAAGGUUCUCAGUUAGGGUAUUGAAAUUCAAUAGUGGCAGAACACGCGUUUGAUAGGCACUCCUUGUAGUUCUUGGUGAGGGCCUAAAUCAACGGUGAAAUACAAGAGAAUGUCGGCGGCAGUUCAGUGCCUAUGCAAGGAUUUUGGGCGAAAAGGGCUUUGUGAGCGUAAGAUUGAUGAGAGUGACUAAGCAAGAGACAAGAGUAAAAGUGCCAAUACUCACUGAGAAAAAAAAAUUACGAUGAGUGAUAACUAAAGAGGGUUUCAUUUUUAUUUAGUUUUAAUCUAAACGGUGUCGUUCCUUGUUUAAAGAGAAAACUUUUAACCCAAAUGGUACUGUUUAUUCUUUAUUUAUCUUUUUCAUUCAUUUUAAAAUUUUCAGUCAACCCUGCAAAAUAAACUCAAAAUAAAAAUAUUGUUUGACGACCAAAAUUAUAUCACAAACUUGUCAUUGUUUUUUGAUAGCCAAAUAAUUUAUCACUAGUCUAUCAUAAGUGCUUGAUAGAUGAAAUUUAUAUCACAAGUAUGUCAUAAACGCAUGACAAAAAAAAAAUAUCAUCGAUCUAUCGUUGUAACUCUCAACACCAAAAACUGUCACAUAAAGGACUGUCAUAAUAGGUCCUUUUUCUUGUAGUGAUCAAACAAUACAAAAAUUUAUGAAAAAAACUCUUGUACCAGAGAAAAUCAUGCAACUAAGGACAAUGAGGGAAAAAUUUACUACAUGGAAAAUUAUUGCAAUUACUUGAGUAUUUUCCUCAAACCCCAAAUCCUAAUAACACUCAUUCUCUCAAUAGUCUUAUUGUUUCUCUUACAUUAGAAAUUGUCUACUUGCUUAUUUUUAUAUGACCAAGCAAACCAAACAUCCUCAUAUACAGUGAUUAUUUCUUAUAGGAGAAGUUUUUAUUUCCUUAUAUAAAUUAUAUUCCUCUUUGAAUAAGUUAUGUCCCAAAUGAGGAAUUUCUUAUUCCUCAAAUAUGAAUUCUCCAAAAUAAGAAAAUAGCCUUGAAAACCCUUAUACUGGAAAAAGGAGACAUAUUUCCUAACAAUCUCCACCUUAACAAGUUUUUUGAUUAAGUGAAAAAAAAAAUAUAUAAUCCACCGUGUAUCCACACAAGCAUGUUGUCUGCAUCUUCUUUCCUCCACCAAAAUCACAUUCAUAUAGGGCUUAUGAGAAUCACUCUAUCAUGGGUAAAAUCUUGUCACGACUAUAAUUCUCCACAUUGAAAAUCAUCAUACUCCACUUUAUAUAGAGUACACAUAUUCAGCACAUCUCGGUCACCUUGCUGAAAAUCCUACUCUCAUGUUUGGCUUCCUUAAGAGUCAUCAACCAUUAACAUAAAAAUUCUACCAUACACCUUGUAUAAAUGUCAAACUAUGUCUUGCGUGUAAAUUUAUGGACCUGCUAGCAGUAACACAUUCUCUUUCAUGACACGCCAAAAAGGAUAAAUUAGUCUCUCGUGAAGAAAAGAGACACACCACUAGAUGAGAUUACUAGUAUUUCCAUCUACUAAUUUAAAUCUACUUGCCAAACCUGCCUCAUUCCAACAAUCUUUAUUAAGAUGCCUUGAUUGUCUACACACCUCUAGGAGUUUCCAUCAGUGGGAACAUGGUUUACAUCGUCUUUACUUUCAUUGUUUAACAUAGAUUGGAUAAACAUAUAUCUUUGACUUCAAUCUGUCCCAAGCCAAAACUUUUUCUCCCAUUAAACUUUCUAUUUUACCUUCACAAGUUUUGAAACCCUCUUUGCUGAUAUAUUUGCUCUGCAUUGCAACCUUAACUUUAAUACCACUUGUUACAAAAUUUUAAUUCGAUCCAAGAUCUUGCAAGUAAAAAUAUCAAACAAAUAAUAAAUAGAAAAUACAGAUGAAGAAUAAAACUAAUUAUACAACAUAAGAAUUUUAAAUGGAAACUCUAAUACAGGAGAAAAACUAUACUGUAAAAAAAAAAGACAUAAAAUUUUAUUAUGUGAAAAAUUAUUUCAACUACUCUGGCAUUUUUCUCACAGCCAAAACUCCAAUAACACUAAAUCUCUCAAUAGACAUAUUGUUUCUCUCACAUUCAAAAUUGUUCACUUGCUAAUUUUUAUAUAACAAGUGAACCCAACCUCCUUAUAUAUAAUGAUUAUUUAUUUCUUGUAGGAAAAAUGUUCAUUUUCCUUGUACAAGUUGUAUUCCUCUUUAAAUAAGUUAAGUCUUAAAGGGAAAGUUACUUAUUCCUUAAAUUGGAGUCCUCCAAAAUAAGAAAAUAAUAUAGAUAAGAAAUUCUUAUUAAAAAAAGAAAACAUAUUACUUAACACCUAUGCAGUGGUAAAGAAUCAACCGCAACACUAUUUUUGUUUACCUUAUAUCUACCAUCAAAGCUUCGGUAGGAUUAAAUAUAAAGGUAAAUUUUUCUGCACACGCAUUAAAAUCGACAUAAACAAUUUACUACUCUUCCCCAAGAAUUAUGAGAAUAGGCUAUGAACAAUCUUUUAGAAUUUCUAAGUAUUGACAGCUCUGACUCAAUAAAAUUACAAUUAUACUCCCUAACCGGAAUAAUUAUGAAAAAAUGACAUAAAUGCCCAAACCUUUAUUUUAAUUUCAUUUCUCACCCAUUAUCUUUCUCUCUCCUCUCUCUAAAUAAUGCUCUCCAGUUAAAAAAUUAUGGAUGUUUCAUUCUAAUGGAUUAUAUUUUCACAAUUUAUUUUUCUUUCCCAUUUUCCUUUUCAUGUCCUUUGAAUCAGUUAGUUACGACGGACUAACAAAUUAAAGAAGCAUUGGACUGGGAUUAGGCUUUGAACGUCGAGUGGUCAUAACUUGAAGGCAUGUAAUCAGAAAUGUAAAAUGAAUGCUUUUAAGCUCGAAAUUCAGUACAGUUUUUGACUAUUGGCACACCUCUAACUUUCUCGUCAAACCCCUUUUCUAUAGAUAUCCUUUUUAAUUCUUAAAAUAACCUCAUUUGCUAUACUUUCUUAAUAAACCACUGCAUAGGACGAAAAAACAAAAACUUCUAUCAAUGAGCUCUCUCUCUCCCCUCUCCCAUUUCAAGCACUUACAAUUUCUUAUUGACUAUAGCAUUCAUGAAUUUCUGAUUUUAAUCUCUAUCUAUCUUUAUUUUUCUUAGUAGGUAAUAACUUGAUUAUGUAUACAAAGACAAGUAUAUGCAUAUCUGAAAGAAAAACUUGGCGUAAGUAAAUAAAUUUCACCGAAUAAUCUUUCCUAAAAUAACUUAGUUUAUAUUUAGAUCAAAUUCUUAUCUUAUGAGAAUUCAUUGUUUUCUCAAAUUUUGUAGAUUUUAAAGUGUUUUAGAAUGGAGAAAAAAACUAAGAAAACAACAUAGGUUAGUUUAAUCAGAUAAGUUUUAUUUUUAAUAUAAUUUAAAAUAUAAAGAAUAAAUUUAUAAAUAUAAAAUAAGUGGAAUUUCAUAAGAGAUAUAGAGGAGUGCGAAUAGCGCCACUCUUUUAUUUAACUCAUUAACAAUAACAAAGGCAGCAGUUUUUCUUUUUUUUUAAUCUUUUUUCCCCCAGAAACGACACUUUUCAUUGAUUGGAAAGCAAAGAACAAACGAAAGCUGCUUUUCUUCCAGCCAAACAAUCUCAAUUUAAACUAUUAAUUGGAAGUUUUAACUAAGGCACCAAAUUAAAAUAAAUAAAUAAAAUUACUUAAGGCACAAUCCUGUGACUUUUUAGCCUACCAAUCCAAGUGACGAAGGAAUUCUUAGAAUUCCUGAAACCCAAGAACCCGUGCUCCUUACUCUUGUUCAUGCUAACUAAAUAACCCGCACCAAUAUUCAACCCCAUAUCUGCAUAUGACCAAACAGCAACCUCAUUCAAUUUCGUUGGCUGAAGCUGAUUCUCUCUCACAAUCUCCUCCCACACACUUUCUUUACCUUUCAUAAAUUCCCCCAAUCUCAUCCUCUCACUAUCCUUUUCAUCUCCAAACCCAUAAUUCUCAAUCUCAAACUGCUCAGCCAACGCUUUCCAUAAAUGCUUCCACUUAAAAACAUCUCCAUUGGUACAAUUGAAAGCUUCGUUUCUUGCAUUAGCAUCAACUGCCGCCCAAAUUUGCUGCUCCGCAAUCAAAUCUGCAUCCGAAUAUUCUGAGAAGCCUUCCCAAGUUUCUUUCGUCCCAGGAAAUAGUAAAGGAAUGCCUUCAUGUUUACAGAUAGCAGCGUACAUGCAGAGAGUGGCUAUAAUAUUCAUCAAACUAUAAGGUGAAAACCCAAAUAUUCCGAAAGGUCGAUGUAUGGACCAAGUCAGGCCCUCUCUUUUCUCAACUUCUUCAAACAAUAUGUCUUCUUGAUUAUAGUAAAAAAGUGGUAUGUUUAACCUUGGCAAAUCCUCAGUAAAAGGCGGAUCGUACGGUAUCUUGCCGAUACAGUCGAAUGGUCCCAGGUAAUGUUUGCCUCCCGUUUGGAGACAGAUGUGGCGGAGAUUAGGCGCGUUCGGGAUUAUAGAACGGAGCACGUUAC